GGCCAAAAGGAGCCCCAUCCAUCUAUCACACGUGUAGACAAAGGGGGACUCCACAACACAAAGCUAGAUGUGCCCUCUUAAACUUUUUACCACGACGCACGGCGACGCGCGCACAGCCCAGCACAGCACCCACAGGUGAGUUGUCUCCUGUCUUGUUUUGCUUGCACCCCUGCUGCGAUUGUCGAAUUUAUUUCCAGUGAAAAGUUGCUGCUGUAGUUGGUGCGUCAGCGCUCAAACUUGAGCACAAAGCAGAGGAGAAAGGGAGAGAGACAUAGAGAAACACAGGCAGCGAGGAGAGAGAGCGCGAGAGGAGCGGUCCCCUUUUCCUUUGUCUGAUGCGGGGCGCUUUGAGGAGAGAACUUAAGGGGAUGCUCAGGCACGCAUCUUCAAAACGCUCAAUAUUAAUCAGCAGAUCAUACUUUGAAAUUAUCGAAAGAGAGCUUUUGUGAAGGUGAGAUGGAGUUUGUGUUGCUGACGGAUCUUUGUCUCAUGGGGAUGUUGCGGCGCACAAGACAAAGCAACUGCCUGUCAGAAGUUUGCGGAGAAGAGUGCUUUUACGCACACUGCAAAAAGACAAAAUAUGACAAUUAUUAGUUGAUAAAGAGUUUGUAAAUAGUUUUCUCCUCUUGCAGUUGUUUGCUGACAGCGGUGUUUGCGGUCUAGGCGAAGUUGCCAGCGCUCUGUGGGGAUUCAGAACAAUGCAAUCAGGUGUAAAGUCUCAAGAAACAACUGAAACAGAAUCAAACUUGUUGCACGGAGAAGAAAUAACGCUUUAAGGGAAGAAAGGGUAUUGACAAAAUAGUUUCGUUUGGAUAAUCUCCCAGCAACUUGUUGUAGUUUAUUUGAGACAGAGCAACAGGUAUAAGUCGCUGCAGCUUCUUUGUUACAGUAAAGGCUCCUUUGUUCUCAGUCCAUACAAAGAAAAGCAGCAGAAAGGAGCGCAAAUCCCACAAGGAAACAAGUUUUUCUUACGCUUUCAAUGAUAUUCAGAGGAUGAAAAAUAUUUUUAAAUUAUUUUUUCCACCCAAAAAGUGUUGAAAAAGCCUUUAUCUCCCCCUUUCUUUAAAUAUUUAAAAACAAACCGGAUCCUUCUGAGAUAUAAAGUUAUUGACUUGACGUUUAUUUCUGGAGAGUAACUUCGAUUUAAUCCGGUGUCUUUCACACUAAAGGAACAAGUUUACACGAUUUUUACAAACUUUUUCCAACAUAUGAAGGUGUGGCCAAACAACUUGUUUGAAUUUGCUGCAUUCCAUUGUACAAUAGCCCUACCCUUAAACUUUUUAGACAACAUAGAACAUAGAAAGCACUUUUUAACAUUUAUUGAAUUGUAAAAUUAACUGAAGUUUGCAUUUUAAUAAAAAAGGUUUUUCUGAAAAGUUAUUUUUAACUUUUUCAUCUAGUUUUCUAAGUCAGAGCAACUUUUACCCAGCCCAUUAUACGGCAUUUGGAGUUUGUAGUUUAAUUGUAAUUACUCCUCUUAUGGAUUCUCAUUUUUGUUGUAGGAAAAUUUGUUGAAAUAAGUUUUAUCUUCACCAUUUUCCCUUUCCCCCUCUAUUCCUCCAGGAUCUGUCUUUAGAUGGAGUUUAGCACCAGAUUACCCAGCAGAGCGUUUUCUCCUGUGGGCGUUUGAGGAAAUACAAAUAUGUGGAAAUCACAUGGAAGAUGUACCAAAGGCACCUAUCAAGCAGCUUUGGAGACGCGGAGGCGGAUUAGGAGACUGUGCAGUUUUUCUUUUGGAGAAGGUGAAGACUCAUCUCUGAAGGAUUUAAACCUCAGCAGCAGCAGUGCCAGGCAGGAUGCAUUUUAAGCACACUUGGAAAUCUAAAACUCGUGGAGGACCUUUGAGGAUUAUAAAAAUGUGCAGCUUGUCUCUCCACAAGACUCAUCCAGAGCUGAGGCCCAAAGUCACUCCGAAAGUGGGCUGUGAUCCUCCUCGGGCCCUCUGCGUUGUGGGUAGGUGAUCAUACAUUUUCCUGAGAUGUUACACUUGCUCAAACACUUGUUUGUGGGGCUGUCUUGCUCACUUUGAAGCAGAAGAGACACAUGUGCACAAACGUUACUUGUUCCUCAAAAUCAGUUGUUCCAAAAGAAAAGUGUGGGCCUUUUAUCGCAACAUUUGAGCACGGCUACUUGUGGAACAAUAAAAAAAAAAUACAGCUGAAGUUUGACUAAUUUGUCUCUAAUGAUUUAAUGCCCAAAAGCAUUUUAAAACCACUUUAACAUACAACCCUGCUACUAUUAAGACAACUGUAUCAAGUGAUUAAGUAAUUCACAGCUUUAACACGAGCUGAGCAGCCACUCAUUCACUCAGUUUACACCACAACUGAAAAUCCAAACUGCAUUGAAUGGAUAGGCCUACUGAAACUUUUCCACUACCUCCAGUCGCAUUGUUGGAUGCCAAGACUCGAAGUAAGGGCUUCCCACACUUACUUACAUACUUGUUGCACAGUCAAAAAACACACUGGGCCAACAGCUCUCCAUGAUCACUGGUCUACACUGUCAUAUCAUGCUGUAAAUACAUAUAAGAUCAAAUUUAUGUUUUCUAUCUGUGAACAUCACUUCUUGAUGUCCUUGAAUUAUAGAGAAGUUUUCAUAAGUUUUUCCACAUUGAUAUGUUUAGCACUAGGGCAGCAUCUGCAAAGUUUUUGUCUCGGCAGACUUUCUCACUCUUUGAGGGAAGUUUUGUUAUUUUUUGGGCCCUUGUUGAUACUUUCACUAAUCGUGACACUACUUUAGUCCAUGUCUGGAUUAUAUGAAAAAAUAUAAAACAACACUGUUAAGUACUGAUAUCUCAACAAAAAGUUAGACUGCUUAUUUGCUAAAACUCACAUUUUAAUGUCUAACUGCUGUUUAUCAAGACAAUAUCUGUGCAGCAUUUUGAAUUUUCAACAUGUUUUUCCAGAUAAAUAUAUAAGUAUAUACUAUACUAUAUACUUAUAUACUAUAAGUUUUUUUUUUUUUAUUUGCUCAAAUUAAUCUGAGGGUUGCAGAUGGCCAGCUUCAGCUUUAUCUGAGUGCAUCAAAGUUGUGAAAGUACAUGGCUGUUAUAUUCAACAGGUGAGAUGUAACCGUGUUGAGUGACAAAAGGCUGAUUUUCUUUUACAUCAAAUCAUUUUUCAUUACAUUAAAUGCAUUUUCAUCAGGAAUAUUUAUAAUUACUGUGACUUUGUGAUUGGUGCAGCCCUCUGUUUGUGAGUUUACUUGUGUUUUUAGUGUGUUCUUUGAUUAACAGGGAUACUGCAGCAAUACUAUAUUGUCAUAAACCUGAUUGUGGUGUUGUUGAUCUUUAAAUUGAACCCAGUCGCAGCAAUGUUUCCUAGCAUCUAGAGUUCAAUUAGGAGACAUGAUUGGAAAGAGUAAGCUAUAAAAUGAUGACUCUGCACGUCAAUUGUUCUUUUUUUACGCAGCAGUUAAUUUAAACAAGCCUGCUGUAUCUUUGCUAUAAAAAGUUAUGAGAUUCAAGCAGUCCUGCUAACUCCUGCCUGUGUGAGAGCCUGAGGGAGAGAGAGAGAGAGAGAGAGAGAGAGCAACACACUCUCCUUAUCAAUGAUGUCAUUAACAGCCAAUCAGAGCAUGCUUGUCAGCAUCCAAGCUCCGCCUCCAGUCUGUGCAUGGCAGCCCACAUGGUCCUGCAGCAUCACAUUUUUGCCAUGCUUUUCUCUGCUGCAGAGAGGCAGCAGCAGGAAAGAGAUGCUGCUCUGGGCUGUGUACUCUGAUGUUAAUCUACCAUGUCUGCUCGGAGACAGCUUGUUUACCACAGUAAACAUAUGCAAGUGAGGACAGAUUUUUUUUUUCUUUUUGCAUCGUUGAUAAGCCAAAUUUACAUUGCACAUACCCCUAAAACAUUAGCUUGAAAUGAGAGUAUGGGGAAAGAACACCCAGACUAAUGAAGAUAAAUGAUCAGGAUGCAAGGCUCAGCACAGUGAGGGAGGUGCUAAAGAAGCAGACUAAUUCAUGUUUCUACAUAGUUUUCUAGAGAAAAUAUUCUGUAUAAAGAGAGACAGAUUUAAUUAAUACCUCAAUCCAGUGCUCAACAUCAAGAUUAUAAAGUAAAAACCCAAAGUAUAAGUCAACUGAUCAACCAUUUGGUCUGCACUUGUUAGCAGUUGAGCUAUUAGACUGGGGUUAAAACAGCAUUGACCGUGGCCCCCUGCCGCUUGAGUGGAACAGGCUCAGGUCACCGCCUGCAAAUGACCGGAUCAGUGAGAAUGUGGGUCAGUUAGCAGUGACACACAGGUGGGACAGAUAUAGGUCAGUGGUGGAGUCAGGGUACUGAUGACUCAUGUGUCUACGGUGAGCAGUGGCAGAGGAUACAAAAGAGCAAAGAGAAAGAGAGAAAAAGGUCGUUCAGUAGCUGAAAUGUCGAGAGAGAAAAUUUGUCCUUUUUGAGUGUGUCAGAAACCAGAGGAGCUGGAUUAUAGCUUAUGAGACCCAAGAGAGCAUGUCAGUCUGAUCUUGUUUUUUUUUUCUUUCUGUUGUACAUGUUCAUGUGUGAAUGUUAUAUUGGACACAGUAAAAUCUGAUUAUUGCACUCUAAAGCACACUUUUGGCUGAUUUUAAUCAUAGGAAUAGCAGCCCACUGCAAGAAUGCUGAUACUUUACUUUUUUCAUUUUCUAUAUGAACAUCUGCAUGUGGUCCAUAAGGAAUCAUUCGGGGCUCUAUAACUCUCUCACUCUGCUAUUUACCUACACAUAAUACAGUGCUGUGCAGAUUCAAUCCAAUACCAAGUUAAUGAACUUGAGAGUAAAACAGAAACAUCAGCUUAAGCAUAACUAAUCAUAGUGACAGGCCCAGCACUGAGCUCUUAAUAGGCAUCGUUUCUGCUACAAUACAGUCCUCUCCACUGUAUGCAGCUUAAUUACAUUGCUUAUCUGUAAUGCUAUUAUCAAGCACACUGCAGUUUUCAUAACAUUUGCCAUUUGCUGGACGCUUUAUGAGAGCAUGCGUUUUUUAUUCAGUGCAGAUGUCCCAGUGGGAGUUGAGCUUCAUGUCCUAAUCCAGUGAGUUACACUGGGGCAACAUUAGGACAGCAAUCUGUGGCAUCUUCCAGCUCUCAAAGUCUCAAUAUCCCUCUAAGCUGGGAUGCUCAUUAAAAUGGGCAAUGGUUUCACACCAUCUCUUUCACUGCAGCAUAUGCACAAGUAAAAUCUGUGUCACCAUAAUCUCCCCUCCAUCUGUAUUUGCUAUUACACUCAUAUAAAGUGCUUCAUUUGGUUUCUGCUGCAGUCUGAUUAGGACUACAAAGCAAAGCACUCGAGCAUUGAGCAUUUACACAAAACCUACAGCAAUAGUUUAUGGUUGGUGUUCUUCCAUUGAAGUUAUACUUCUGCAGCGCAUUGCAUGUCAUAAACUGGUCAGAUGUUAUGCAAACUGCAUUAGACGACAACAUCAGGCCUAGAAUAACUAAUCACUACUGUAAGCCUAAUUCUCCCAGACAUCCUGUGGUCAGCCUCAGGAAAGCUAUCAGGUUUAGUUUUAGCAUUGCUAACUUCUAGCUUCUGGGCAUUACAGCAUGAAGUCCCUCAUAGAAAACAUUCAAAUAGAUCCAUGUAUACACUAAAUGUUUUUUCUGGUUCAUCACACAACUUAAUGAUAACAGUAGGGGUCCAACAUGUUGUUGCAGCAUUAACUACAUGCACAUGAAACACUGUUGACCUACUACUGUGUAUGUUUACACUGUACCUCAUUACGUUCGGAUCACUUUUUUUGCAUGCGUAAAUGUAGUGCUUGAUGCUCGAUGAAAGCUCUGACAGAUGGACAAAUUCACUCUGAGUUGAAUCUUAGAAGUGGAACAGCCGCUCAAACAGAUUUUGGAUGUUUUAUGUACUCAGUGUCUUUACAGAAAGUUUGACUAAAUUGAUCAAGAGGAGCAAAUACUCAAACGACUGCAAUAAUAUCAUUUCCUUUUCUCGACAAGCUGAAUUUGGGUUGAUGCUCCCUUUGUGCGCAUCACAGAAUCACACAGCCCACUACACUGUGAGUGGAGUACAGUGAAUUACAGUGCAGUAAAACAUUAGGCCCACCAUUACUAAUCAUGACGACAGCUCUAAUUCUCCGAGCUACAGGCAUUCUGUGGUCAUCCUGUUGCAAACUAUCAGAGCUUAGUUUUAGCACUCAGUGCCUGUAGCCGCGAGAUAAGUUAACGUGCUCCGCUGGCAUUCUAAUACAGGCCCACACUGGGGGACGGGAAUAAAUUAUUUCUUUAUGACUGCGCACAAGGCACAGCUUUUGAAGGAGGAAUAGAGAGGGAACAGAGGGAGAUGAAGUAAGGAGAAGAGACAGGGGGGUAAAUGAUGGGUUAGAAAGAAAAGAAGGGAGAAGUGGAGAGGAAAGAAGACGGAAUAAACUAUAAGAACAAGACAGACAAGAUGUGUUAUAGUGCUUUUCAUUUCUUUCUCUUUUCACUUUAUAUUAUUUCCUCACCAGGAAAGAACACUUGUCUUUUUUUAUUUCUUACCUUGACUUUAUGGAAAACAGUCCUCCUGAGUCUCCCUUUAUUUUACAGCCAAUUGUAGCCUCAACUGAGAUGUCACAUCUGAAAAUAAUAUAUAUGUAUUUUUUUAUCACUUUGGCCUGAAGACCAUUUAACCUGCAUCCAACACUGUGUGACCCUUUGAGAGAUUUAGUCCUCAUUAGAAAUUUUCAAAUGAUGUGAGGAGUAGCUGGCGGAUAAUGAUGCGGGUAAAAGACACCACUUUAGCACAGAACAGAUCAUAUUUUAGGCCUCUGAAAGAGAUGAGGACUCUAUUCUGUGAUUCAGCUCAAUAUUUACUGUUUUCAUGUCUGGGUGCAUAAGUUCAUGUCCUCUGUUGUUCUGCUGUGUGUCUGGACUUUUCUGCUGACUGCACAUUUGCCCUCUGGGAUCACAGUGAAUUUAAAAGCAAACCACAGACAAUAACAUGACAAAUCAGUCGGAAAAUGCGAAAAAGGUAAGCGCCAAAUCAGAAUUAACUGGAUGAGAGCUCCCGAGCUGAGUUUUCUUUUGUUUUUGUCAACAGGUUUAAACUCUAUUUAGGAGUUAAACUUUCUGUUUCUCCUUGGGUAUACACACUGAGAGAAAACUAGCUCAGGAGAGAUGGAGCUGUUUGUCUGUCUGUCUACCACAGGUCAACUUAUUACCUCCAUAAAUGCACAGCAUGUUGCUGUCUGGGGCUGCACUGAUAAUCCCUCUAAAGACUGGGGUUUUAUCAAAGCUAAAUCUGCUGCCCACACACACACACACACACACACACACACACACACACACACACACACACACAGUAUCCACAAGGAAUAUCCACAUGGGACACACAAUAACAGAGUAGCCACACACAGACAUACAUACAAAAACAGACUGUCCCGGUAGACAGACAGACACGUGUAAAGACCAGGAUUUCAUCACAGACAAAUCUGUUAUUGUCUGGCAGUUAAGAGAUUAAGAAGCAGUCAUUUUAUAGAUACAUACACACACAUCCAUCCACCCAUGGGUCAUUUGAGGAUGAACACCAGCUUGCAUAUUGAGGCUUAAAGGUGAUACCGUCACUGAUGGGUUUUAAUGCUGUGAUUAAUUAUGGUUAAUGUUUUGAUAAGAAGUCGGUAAAUCAUUUGGGUGAUAGCUUUCAGAUCUGUGCUUGAUUUGUUUCAUUUAAUAUGCAGGCAGUCCUUUUACUGUGCUGUUUUUGUCGGAUUUAAAUUAUGAGCAGGUAUUAUUCACCUCAUUGUCCAUAUAUAUGAAGGCUUCAUUGGUCCGAGCUAGAGAUGUAAUACAUUUACCUCUUGUAUCAUGUUUGUAUGUAUGACUUUUUUUAAAUCUCAAUCACUUCUUCUGGUUAAAUAAAAGUUGGAUUUAAAAAAUACGUUUUUUUAGUUUUUAAUGCACAGUUCUGCAGAGAGCUGAAAUAAUUCUACAAUCUACCAUGUUUACUUGUUUCAGAAACAAAAGCCAAGAGCAAUGACCCAGUGACUCAUUGCCGUUCUUCACACACUGUUAUCCCUUCAACCCUUUUGAGGACAGAACAAAAUGCUUGAGCAUACACUCCAAUAUGUGGAUCCUCCCACAGUGGGAGGAUUAGGACAGCUGCCCAUGGCUGUCAACAUGUUGUGUGUGGUUGACCCUCCUCAGUCUGGUAAAAACCUGUGACUCCUUUCUUUUCAUCUUUCCUGGUACAGGGAUGGGUGUGGCUGGUGGUGAAUGUGAUGCAGACAUACUUAAAACAGACCUUUUCUUGCCAGCCCCCCAAAGUUAAAGUCUAAAUGAGCUGAUGUGUGGAUGCAAAUGUGCAGAACAUCAAUAGCCAAGAUAUUUAGGAACAGAAAUUGAGUAAAAUAUGUCACAAGUUUGUAUGUGACAGGACUCUUCAUUCUGAUCUGACUUAAGUAUAAAAAGGAGUACUGCUGCUGAUAAGGCUGACCAAUCUGUAUGAACUUAAUGAGGAAUGUGCAGCAAAUAAGGAAAUGGAGGACAAAAAGACAAAACAGCUGCCUUUAAAGUAACCAUGCUUGACAAAAUGCACAAACAGAAAACAGACAUGAAGAAAAAUGCAGUAAAUUAGGUCAUUACAGUGUUAAGAGUGCUGACUAGAACAGUGAUAGCUUUUAAGUGCAGCUUAGUUUAGCUACAGAGCUCAAUUAGCCAAGCAGCUGCAGGAAUUUUAACAUUACUCCAUGUCAUUAAACUACGCCACACAUCUUCUCAUCAAACAAUAAUUGUCAUUGAAUUUAGAUGACGUUUAACUGGGGAUAAAACAGUUCACAUCUGUACAACUGAGUACUAAUAGAGGCCUGGAGCACUUCUGCUGCCAUGGCUUCAUUUGCAGGGAUUUUCUUUCGCAUAUGAUGGUGUGGCUCCAAAAUUUGCAUCCUUUUAUAUAUCUGCAGUACAUUUGCUGUUUAUGCUAUUAUUUUGGCUUUUUGGGCACCUCUUUUCUUGUGUUGUGUUUAUUAGUUUCCAUUGUUACAAAUUGUCAGACUUUUGCACAUGUUUAUGAAUGAGCGUCACUCUUGACUUUGCAGCAAGUUUCUGUAAAUGCAGAUUAUUUAGGCCCUGGCAGCCACUAAAAAAGAAGUUACACCUUAAUGCGUUUAAUAAGGUAGUUUUACUGCCAGCCACUUCAUAGAUGAUAAACUUUACUCUAAGGGCCGGCUAUUGGUUGUGACUUACUUUAUGAUUCCCAUCAUAUGCCUGAUGCAUCUCUAAUUUGAGUUCAGGAAGCAGCUUAGCAAUCAUGUACCAUGAAUACAUUGAAUUUAUGUCGGCUUAAGCUGAACUUUCAUUGAGAAUCUUGCAGUGUUUCCAGUCCAAGUCAAGGCGAUGUUGUCCAGUUUUUUUCCAGAAUAUGUCUGAUUUGGACAUAAAUAUUAAACAAGAUAGUACAAGGGUAUCUACCUGCUCUUUCCACUCAUAAACACACCCAUAGUGAUGUUGUUUCACCUUUCCACAGUUGCUGCAUUUCUUUUUAAAAACUCAAUCUGUCAGCUCGGAAGUUAGGCGUCUCUACGUUAGAUAGUAACCUGCUUUAACUGUCAGUCACAGCCCAGUUUAAGCACAGACUCGAGUUGCAGCCAGCCAUAGUCUGCAAACUGACAGGAAAAUGAAAGCCUCCUGUUCUGUUUGAAACUGGCAUCCUCUGAUUUUCCCUGAGAACGUGUAAUAUUUUGACAGUAAUUAUUUAAAAAUAUUUACUUUGCGAGACAAAAAAAGAUCACAGCCAAAUAGCAAAUAUUUCAUAAAGGGAUAAAAGCGCAGGAGGAUGACUGAGGAUGCGCAGUGAUGUGAAUCCAUAAGGGAAUGUGGUAAAUGAGCAAAAACUCUACUUCUGCUGCCCUGGAAGUGUCACUUUAGAGUUUCCUUUUUCUGUUUUUUUAAUGCCUUCUUUCUCUACUCUUUUUUUUUUUAAGAUGAUACGAUACAAUCUCAUAAUUUGUCCUUACAUAUCAAGUGAUGUGAAGGAUAGUGAUUUCUCCUUUUUCAAGUCAAGGACUUGCUAUCCAUUUGGGAACUUCAAAUAAAACCCAAAUAUAGAACCAGUAUAUAAAGUUUAUUUUACACCGUCCCACUAGUAUAAUACUUAUCCUCUCAAAUGUGGCUAUUUGAAGCUCAGAGCUAUUUUCAUAGAGGUACCGCCAUUAGUUGUAAUCUCUUACAGAUCCAGCUGUCAGAUUACAGUAGGGUGUCAUAUCAGUGUUAGACAGAAAGUGUCCUGACUUGAAUACCUUCAGUAAUAUCUUUGUGCGUGUUUACGUGAUAUCGUGUGCUGGAUGCUCGCCACGGUUAGGGCAGUGAUAGUCGAGCAGGUUAAUCCAAAAUAUUAAUAUCUGUCCUAUCUCUUCUUUUUACAGAUUAACACCUUGUCAGGGUUGUGGUUGACUAGUGCUGAAUCAGAUCCGUUCUGAUGGAGAUAUCUUUGAGCUUAGCUCGAUGUGGUGUGAUAAAUCAGUCGAUAAGUCAGAUUAUGUCUCACACUAGCUGAGACUGCAGACUCUAAACUGUCCCAGUGUCUGCCAUAGUCGCCGUAUCACACCAAUCCCCUCUACUUUGAAUACAUACAUACAAUACUGCAUUCAGAAACACGAGAUUACCUUUUUUUAGACCAAGAUGACCAUGUGCGAUGACGAUCUUUGUGCUGUCUGGCUCAUUGCUGUCUGUCCUUUGAGAGAUAACACAUAGACAGUCAUGUUUCUGUAAGAAUGCAGUCUGUGACCCUAGCUUGUAUUAUUUUCUUCCAUAUCAAAUUAACUGUUGUGUGGCUGUGAUAUGGACACUGACGGUAUCAGUACACAGCAAACCAACCCUGAACUUUAUGUUUGUGUUUUGGCCCUGUGUGUGGACAGAACAGUCAAUCAUUCAAGCGGGAAAUGUCAAGAAUCUUCGCCAUGGAAAAUGUGUAAAAGGGAAAUUUGGCUGUGCUCUUGUAUCUGAUCAUUUUUUUGACACCUAGCCUGCUGCAGCGGUUUCAGACAUUAAAAGUAACCUAAUUACUUCAGUAAUGGUGGUCUUGUUUGCUUUUGAAGGCUGCAGAAACAUCUGACUGAAUAGCAGUCUGUUUCAUAACCAGCUAAAUCUCUUCACAGGAGCUCUAACUCAGUCUCAGAAAAACUUUUCAGUGUAUAAAUUAUACCACAGACACAUCAUAUCCUAUCGCUAUUUCCCUUUAUCUGUCUGUACAUCAAAACCCAAUCUCCUCUAAAAUGCAAAUGUUGCUGAUAUGUUAAUUAUAAAGCAGUAUGAGGGUACAAACACAUGAAAUAAAAUCACUCCAAACUGAACAGACAUUGCCUUUUCCUUUUUUUUUUGCUUUGUUUUUCAAUUCUGCAUCAGGAUCCAGUCAUGUCCGGGAAUCUCUGUGUACACAGGCAUGCCAUAUAUAGCCUUGAUGUUGAUGCGAAGAGUUGGUCUUCCUGGAGGCAGAUUAUGCCUCAGACUAUGACCGCCUUCCUGUAAGAGUAUCUGCACUGACACGAUUUUCUAGUCCAGCGCCAGGCAUAAUCUGAGUGCCUGGAAAUGGGCUGAAUAAGCCCAAGUAAAUGCCCUGCUCGCAAUAAUGUAGUAGCUCCAUGCUGGAUACAGGCUGUACGCUGAGCACUGCUGGAUACAGGCCCACUAACUUAUACAACAUGGCACACAUCAGUUAAGUAGGAGUUUUGAAAUUAAUUUGAAAGCACUUUGAAAUAAGUGCCGUACUCAUUUACAUAAAAAUAUCUAUUUUAGCAUAUGGUAAGCUCAUUAAGUCAUCUUUUCACCUGCAGUAAUCCCUCACUAAUGUGUCCAAUUUGUAUAAGGUCAUAGGAAAAUCCAGAUUGCAACUUAAAGCCAAGGCUUUUAUAGACAAUAUAAAAGAUUGAGCGGAGAAUAAAGGACGACAUAAUUCCUUUCAGAUCGUUUCAGAUGAGGUCAAUGCGUAAUCUCUGGUGGGAAUGUGGCUGAAUAAGGCCAAGUCAUGCCCUGCUCUUAUUAUUAUGCAUCUAAUUACUAUGCAUCAGCCGUUAGCUCUUCUGUGCUUUGCUGUGUUGCCAGUGCCAGUUCACAAGGUCAAAUUCAUGCUACUUGUUAAUGUCCUUGCUGAAUAAAAUUAGACUGUGACUCAAACUGUGUGUAAUAUGCAUGAGUGUGUGUGUGUGUGUGUGGCUUGCUCAUAAUCUUAACACACUUGCAUACCCAUCCUACACACAGUGUUUGUCGUAGCCUGUGGCGAUGUUCACAACACCUUAACAUUAAGAAACCGCUCCUAUUAAGACUAAACAUCGAGCGCUGAAUCACAAUGGACACGGGUUCAUUCCCAGACAAGGUUAAGGCUUUAUCUUCAGCCGAGAAAUGAGCUGAGUAAGCAUGAGUCACACUUUCAAUUAUGCAUUAGCCUGUUAGCUUGUGCGGUUUGACUGACAGGCCAUGCUGGCUUUCAGAUAGCUGUCAGAGGCUAGACUUACAAGUGACCCCUUAAUCUAUCUGCACGCUAUCUUUGCCCAGAAACAAGAAAAUGUCAAAAAUAACCAUUAAAAAGGGGGGAAAAAAAUCCCUGCUGAAUCAACAUUCACUCAACUUCAUACUUCAAUGGACAGUUAUGUAUAACUACUCUUACUGGUCUACUAGCACUAUGUAAAAUUCAGGCUAAUAACUUGUUAGCAGGACUCAUUUGCUCUCUUUCCAAAUUAAAGUGCCCUCCUGCAAACACCCUAAUUGGCCUAAAGGGUAUUAAGAAUGUUCACAUGCAAACUUAAUUGUCCAUUAACAUGACUCAUUUGCUUUUAUUUCAAAAAUUACCUGCCUUCACAUCACCACCUCAGGCUGCCUGGAGGAACCUGACUGGCCUCGUUCUGGCGGCUAAAAUUAAAUUCAGAUUAAUUUAGAGUAUUCUUGCAGACACAAAGUUAAUCCCUGUGCUGCAGUCAGACUACUUUUCAGUUGGGUUGGGUAGAUAAUCCACUCCCAGCCCUCGACAGUUAUGUGUGAGUGUGCAAAUGUUCAGUGCAUCAGUGGGGCUGAGCUCAAUUGUGGGCUUCUUUUUCCCCCGCUGUGUGUGUUUACGUGUGUGUUCUGGUGUGAGUGCUGGUCUCUGUGCUGCUGUUGUUUGUAUGCAGAUAAACAGAGGCGGCUUUAGCAGCUACUUAGCGAGCCCUCUGAUGUCCCCGGCUGUGUGUGGUAAUGCUGACACAGUGAACUGCGGCCACUCAGACACAGAUAUUCUGAAUGAAUGCACGUCGAGUCAAGGACGCCUCACAAAUAGGUGUUUACUCUUUCUCCCCCUCCAUUUCUUCCCCUCUUUUGCCUCUCCCUCCCCUCUAAUUUAUUCCAUUUUCUUCUCCCCUUGCCUCCCCCCCCUCCCUUCUGCCUCUUUAUCUCAUUCUCUGACUUAAUUUCUCUGUCUGAUUUUCUCUAUCACACGCAGGCACAGUGAGAUGCUGCCGUGCCACAAAAGACAGCGAGAGCACCCAAGCCAGCCUCCUCCUCAGUUCACCGCCAGUUCACUCGGCUCCACACUGACAGAAAUGAUGCUAGACGGGAAAUGCAAAUUUGACAAUGACAGCCACAAAUGUUAACACCACUCCUCAAAAAAGUUCAGGUACCAAUUUGCAUCCACUUGAAAGAGUAACUCCAGACUUUUUUCGACAAGGGUCUGCAUUAUUCUCGUCUCGGAGGAACGCACUGCUCACUUAGUCUGGCGAGCUGAUAAUAUGCUGUCAUUUUGAGCUGACUCAUAUGUCCCAGGAGCCUCAAAAGCAUCUAUAUAUAUUGUUAGACUUUAUAAAAACAAAAACAGUUCAUUUAUGAAAAAAAGCACACUAAGUGACAUCUCAUCCCUCCCUCGAAAAGUGCAUUCUGGGACGUAUAGUCCCUGCAGGAGUUCACGCAGUCCCUUUGUAAUGUCCUUGUGUAAACUUUAAUCCAACUAAGUUGAUGGAUUGCUCCCGUCAUCUUUUACAGCGUGGACGGCUGGUAAUCUGGUUGGCUGACAGGCUGGUUUACAGGCUGUUUCAUGAGCUAAAGAAAGUGUGGAGGAAAGGCAAGUUGUCCUUGUCAUGUGGAGUGUUUUUUUCUGUUGGACUGUGCCCUUAGACAAGAAUGUAAGAAUCCCUGCUGAGUUACACAGCCUCUAUCAGUCUCCCUCAUACUCUCUACUUUGACUUCCUCCUCUGUCACUUAUUCUUUUUUUCUCUCCCCUUCCUCUGUCUUUCUCUCUCUGUUUCAUGAAUAGCUAUCUGUCAGUGUUUACACUAUCAGUUUCCUUGCACCAAUGCAGUGUGCCUGUCACAGUUGGGAUGCCUAUCUGUCUUCUUCUUCCUCUGACUAUUUUCUCAUGAUCUCUGGCUGCCUCUCUGGCUGGCUGCGUGUCCAUUUCGAUUUCUCUCUCUUUCUCUGUAUGUUUCUCUGUCUGCCUCUUCCUCCCACUCUCCACCUCUCUCUGUCUGCUGCAAAUCCGCCUGAGCAUAAAUGUGCUAAAGUGUCUUCUUCCCGUUGCAUUUUUGUAAAUAGCUGUUCUCUUCCUGUUUCUCGACACUAUAGUUUCUCAUGCCCAUAAUAGCUCAUUUAUCAGCCCUUCUUCUUUCUGCAGGUGUGCACUCACUGCUUCCAUCACUCCCUGACUGAGUCACUGUCUCGCAGAGUCUCAUGAGUUCACCUGAUCUCUGUGAGAGUUUGCUGCUCGGGAGGGUUUCACUCCUCAGGUUUCCUCGGACUUGUAUUGGGAUGAUGAUGAUUUAUUACAUUUUGAGAGGGUUUUGAAUUACUCUGCUCGUUCUUUGUGUUAUCACGCUCAUUCACCUUGCAUCACGAAUGGCAGAGGAAGGUUAAAUCAGGAUUCCUGGGAUGGAAAAGAAACUUUUGAGUGUUAUCUAGUCUGUUGCAGAUUGUAAUUUUAAACACAAACUUGCAGCUUGCAGCUUUUAUCAACUCUGUUGGGAAAAAUAUCCUCACUAUUAACUGAACUCAGCUCAGUUUUUCACGAUCUGGCCUUCGGAUAGGCCGCAUAAAUCAGCUGAUAUCACGGAAAGGCAAUAUGAUUUGUACACAGUAUAUUUUGAUGGAUGAAUCUUGAUUAUUUUGCCCUGCCUGUGUGUGCGUUUCCCCCAGCUUGUAUCCCUCGGUAUCCAUGUGCUCAUGUAUCUGUCUGUGCAUCUGUGUCAGUGUUUGUCUGUUUACACACACACAGCAUGUGCCUGCCUCUGUGUGUAUGUACAGUGUGCACAUUUACCCAUACUGCACUGAUUUGCCUCUGAGUGUGUCAUGUUAGGUUUUUCUAGUCAGCCCUGCCAGGACAUCUCUAGUAGUUGACAGGAAAUUCCCUAUCAACCACCAAGACCAUUGUAGCCAUUGUCCCAAACUUGGGUGCCAUAAAACUCAAUUUCCCAUGGAGGAGGGGGAGGGGGGGUGUUGAUGGUGGUGUUGGUGAUGGGGGCAUUUUGAAGUCCAAAUGUUCUUAUCUCAUGCACUAUUAAGCGAGGCAGUGGGGUGUGUGGGUAACGUGGUUUAGAGUCCGUCUGUCACCGCCUCGGGGUAUAUUGCUUUGAGUGCACACACACACACACGCACGCACGCACGCACGCACACACACACACACACAUUUGCAUGCCCAGUAUGAACAUAUACAUAUGCAUAAACACAGGCAGUAAAACACACAUGCACACACACCGAGCUCUCUCACUCAUUUGGCCAUUAACACACACAAACAUGCACACUGCCUCAGGCUCUAGCUGUGGUCCUAUAACGGCCUGGGUGCCGGUCAGAGGGGUCGACUGAGACUUUCACUUCAUUAAUCACAUCUGGGAAGCUAGCAGCUUUUAUGUAUAUGUUUCCAUAUGUAUUCACCCUCUAUUCAACUUUGACUUGAGGGGAACUUGUGGACCUAAAGCUGUUCGUUGAUUAUUUAAUUAGAUGGACAAAAUAAUGUAAUUGAGAAAAUAGUACAUAUGUAUAAACACUUGUUUAACAUUAUGUGACUGUGCUCAGGGGAAUUCAGAGCAACAUGCGUCAUUUUAAAGACUUCUUUUUGUAAAAGUCUUUGAUUUUGUUGUUGUUUUUUUUUCUUGAAUAUUUAAAAUACAGUGCUUUAACACUCUGAUAACUUGUAGUUGAGCCUAUUUUUUUCUGCACUUUAGCUGCUUUGUGUAUUUUGUUUCCUUCAGCUAAUCAUACAUCUAGAUCUGUCACCAGACAACUGCUGUACAAAUGUGAAGUUGUUAUCAAUGAACUUUAUCCUACUGCAUCAUACUGUAAACUAUUGUACCUCAUCUCAUUGAAUUCUAUUAUAUUGUAUCAUAUUGUAUGACAAGCUAUCAUAUCAAAUCAUAUCGAAAGUCAACUCAUAAGUAACAUGAAAACAAGUGAUGUAUUUACUUUACAAGGAUAAUAAAGAAAAGUAAUAGCUGUCAACACCAAUUUAAUUACAAAACAUGUAAAAGGCUGUUUAUAAAAACAACUGGGAAUGGGGGUUGUCACUUCAUUUAUUGAUAAUGAUACCACUAUUGAGACUCUUUAACAACAUUGGUUGGAAAGUAAUUAUAUAUCACCGCCAAACACCCAAAACGGACAUUUCCUUUUUCUCGACACACUAUUUGAGUACAUCAUGAUAACGUUUUAGUAAUCUUUUCUCAAAAGUCCCUCAACCGAUCUGACCUUGAACACAUCCCCUUCUGCCACCUCUUUUAGUUGGCGAACUAGCUUUUAUUCUGAGAUAAACGUAAAAAGAUUGAUUACUUAUUUUACUUUACAGGUGUGGCUGACCAUGAAGUAGGAAGAUGACUAUACGAAAUGAGAGCAGAAACCAACAGAUGAACCACGCUGCUCCUUAGCUUUAGCCAUACGUCCUAACAUUUUUGAUUUUUCAAGUGUAUUUUUUAUCCCUGUUCCAGAUGAUAACCUAAAGAAGAUUUUUCUUUUUGUAAGUGCAAACACCUGACUGACACUGUACGAGGAAAGAGUGAUGAUAAAUGUCUGAAUUGUUUCAAGCCAUCUUAACUGUGUGCCUGUUUUUGUUUACUUGAAAUGUGGGGGUCACAUUAACUGGUCAGUCAGAGAAAAAACAAGACCUCAGAUGGACCAAAACCAGACACUAAGCACAGUAUCUCAUUUGGGGGGGAAAUAUUUUGACUUUUUCAGCACGCAAAUAUUCAUGAAAGCUCAUAAGCACUUAAUCUCCAGUCUCUAAGCUGCCCUCAGGGGGAUUUGUGUUUCCUCUCACUUUUUAUUGUAUUUGUUGAAAAGUGAUUUUAUAUUUGAGGCAUAUAAACACAACAAUAGAGAGCUUGGAAAAGAUUUGUAUUUCAGGAUUUAGUUUUUCAGAGAAUGACACUGUAACCUCUCUCUGUAUCUGCAAAGGACCUAAUUGUCUUGAUUAAUCUCAUUAAAGCACAGAAAGAAAAACAGUUUGACCUUACACAGCGUUGAAGUCAUUUAUCAUUUAUACGGGUGUAUCUCCAUCUACACAACACACACUUGUUAUCUUUGUUAUCUCUGAUCCACUAAAUGAUGAUGUGAAUGGUGUAACACCAUUUACUCUGUGCACAAACUGACUACACACACACACACACACGCACGCUGCCAUCGCACACCUUUAGCCUGACAGAGACUCCUGAGAGAGGCUUUGGCAGAGCAGUGUGAGGUGCUAUCCCAAAGCUUGCGGUGAAACUGAUGUCACACCAUUUCUAUUGUGUGCGUGUGUGUUUGUGUGUGUUUUGCCCUUGACUGUUGGCACUCCUGCAAGCUGGGAAAAAGGUAGAGGCUUUGCUUGCAAGUGUGUAUGUGUGACAAUUGGGCUGGAGUUGGAGAUUAGCCUAAUAGCUGCAACCAAACAGUCUUUCUCACAAAUUCCCCACACACACGCACACACUCAUGGUGUAUGAUGUCAGUCGUACUAUAAGCAACAAACUAACACCUAAGUAGCUGGCUUUAAUGGGGCAACAUCUAGUGGAGAGAGACUGUUAUGUGAGAUGUGUGUGUGGGUGUGUAUGCAUAUGACAGACAAAGAGAGACAGAGUAAGGAGGAGAGAGGGAGUAUUUGUGUCUCUUUGUGUCCAUGCCAGGAGAAGUGAUGUUUGAUGUGUGUCUGUGUGUGCAUAUGUGGGCCUGACAGUGGGUGAGGAGUGUAUUUGUGUCAGCACAAUUAACAUGAAGGCAGGGGCGAAAGGAAGUGAAGUAUGUCUGAGCAUAUGUGGGUGUGUGAGUGUGUAUGUGGAUAUUGUUUAUAUCUAUCCAUGCUAACUGUGUGCUACAGAGGGAGAAACUAAGGGGGAGAAAAAAGGCAUUCAUACUGUAUUAGCGGCCCCCUUGUGGUUAAAACUAUACAACAUUUCCUCCACUUGGCAAGUCAGAUUGAAAUAUGUGCAGCUUAAAUGUUGUGUUACCUGCGGGGGUCAUUCAUCAGUUAUCAAGCAACUUCUCUGGGGGAUUUUGUAUCCUGCUGACUUUAGUCUGAGCUCAGUCCAAAACUGUUGGCUUCAAACAUCUAAGCCUCAAAAACUUGCAGUCAAUUCUUCAGUUUCUUUUACUUUGUUUCCAGGUUAUCCAGGACUUUGUUUUUUGGACGGUGGCACAAAACACUUGUGCACAGUCCAUGCUUUUGCUGAGUGAGUAACACAGACUAUGACAGACUGUGUGUGAAGUGCUAAGUGAGCAGAAGACUCGACGACAGCCUCUCACAGCGUUCGCCAACAGCAUGUUGCCUUGGCAAAAGAACUGUCCUUUUUGCACAGCGAGCGGUAGCUGAUCAAAUGUGUUUGUGUGUCUGCGUCUGCUUAUGUGUGUGAGUGUGCGUUUCUCAGUUUGUUCUGAACACUAAGUAAAGUCUGAGGAUGCGAGUGGCUGCCUGCUCUGAUAAUGACAGAAAAAAGGUGUGGUUUUCUUGCAUUUGUGUUUCAACACCACUGUCUGUGUGCAUGCAUUCAAGCAUUUCAGCAUGAAUGCGUUGCACCCUGCUGAUCACAAUGGCUUGCAUUAAAGGCCCUCGAGAGAGUGAUAUCGGUGUGCCAUUUAAACUCAUCUAUCAGUUAAAACUACAGGGACAUCUCUGUACACACACACCCACACAAACACACUUCCCUAUUACUUAAAUAGCACGGGGAGGUGAGCAAAAUCUCCAGAUAGACCACUGAACUCUGAAGUGGAUUUAUCAACAGAACACUUUGCAGAGGCAGCGAGGGGAAGGAGGUGGCGGAGGAGCCGAGCAGGGAGAUGAACAGUUGAAAGUAGCAAUGGGGGUCUUUUCUAGUUGAAAGUUUACCUGAGAGUAAGUUUAGGAUCAAGGCUCAGCUGGCUGACUCUCAGCUGACCCAAGUCCAUGGGAGAGUAAAAGAUAAAAAACACAUCUAUUUCAAACUUGGAAGUUGUAAUCAAAGACUUUAGAGACAGAGACGGAGAAGGGAGGGGAGGAGGGGUGUGAGCAGAGGAGAGGUGGAAAGGGAGGUGAUGAGUCAGGGUGACUUUUAUCUUCGCUUUUAUGUUGCAGCCAUCCCUUAUGUCACGUUUUUUUUCCAUCAGACCUUGAGAAAAAUCUCUGUAAUCACACUUUGUGUUUGUCCAAAUUUUCUAUUUGGCAAACAAGAAAACAGAACAAGUACAGCACCCUAGUCAUUUAAGUAGCUCAGAUAAAGACCAGGAUUAUUGUUGAUCUGAUUAAAGCCUAGUGUGUUUAGGUUCUACGUGUCACAUCGAAUUUAACAGCAAUAAAGCUAAUGCAGGAGCACAUAAUAAACUGCAGUUCUUUAAAUGUCCACUUGAAGCUUGCUCCCAAGCUGAGGAAACCUCAGUCAAGCCCAAGUUAGAGUGGCUAUUUUUACAGUAGAAUCAAACACGUUUGGAGCCAGGAACAGGAACGGAUUCAGUCUGCAUAACUUAUUUCUUUACUUAUAACUCAAUUCUUUUGUCUAUACUAAAGCAAAGAGUCAUGCAUAAUUAGGCAUGAUUUUUGGGCAGGGCUUAAUUUGCUGACAUGUGGGCAUAUUGUUUGCUAGGCGGCAAGGCUACUCAACUCUAGUUUAAUUAGAAAUGCGUUGGCAACCCAACCUGGCAACCGCCAUCCUCCGGUUAUGGGUAGGGACAGCAUGCCCACACCAGCCUGAUGUACAGCUACAGGAGCAUUAUUUGUUUUACCAACAGAUGUGAUCGGAUACAUUGGUAUUUUAUCAAUCAGCAACACAUUCCUGGUUUAGGAGGAAGCAAGCCAGUAUGUCAUGCAUUAGACAGUCAGCACAGCAGCACAGUACAGUAAAGUGAUAUGUGAUUCUCUUAUGUUUCUAGAAAGGUGAGAUGCACCAGAUACAUGAAGGUUAAGUUGAUCAACUUGUGUGAGGCAACCUUUUUGAUUUUGUAAAUGUAAAAAUUAUAGAGGAAGCUCACUAUCAGUAGCACUUGGCAUGAGUAGCAUACAAGCAGUGUUUUGGCAGAAGUUAACUGUAAAGUUUGAUACAUUUAACAUGUAUUAAAAAUGUGUUAAACUGACGAUUUUCUGUCAAGAGUAUUACAUUACAGUCCUGGUACUAGCAAGUCAUUGAGUUUAUUGCCUGCAGUAGCAAAGCUGCACUGUUCAGUAAAUAAUACGUAAUGAUAAACCUGUUUAGCAGGAGGUAAGCCCAGUCGUAAAGUCAGAUUAGCAGCAUUGUUCCCACAAGACUGCCUUUCCAUGAUGUUUGCAGUUGUAGAGUCUGUAGGUAAACAUUCCUUACAGAAAUACACUGCCAUUAUUCAGUGAGCGCAGCACACGCACAACUUCCCUCUUAAGGAGGUGAGACAUGAAACCAAAAUGGCCAUCUGUAACUGAAUAUAUUCCACCUUAAAUAUGCCCAGGUCUCCCUCUGACGUUAAUUAACCACCUUUCAGCCUCAUCACUAUUUUGUAACAGUAUCCCAAGCCUGUCUGUUCAAUUAAUUAAGCCCCAAAGUUGCCAUCACAGCCAUAUUCUCAAGGAUGUCUCGAGGCUGCUUAUAUCAUGGAAUUUUUUUUCACCACAGCCCUCUAAAUUUGGAUGAGCAGGGCCUAAUUAGAGGCUGAAUUUGGUUGCGUGGCUUUGGCUGCACCCCUGAGUUUUUCUCCAGCCUUAAAGCACACCAGAGGGGCUGUGUUGGCGUCUCAGCAGAAUUAAGAGCAUACCCGCACAUGUGUUGAAUCAGCUCAUUGGCCUGAAUGUUUUUUCUCCUGCCGCUUUUCAUUUCAUGCUAUGAAAAUCUGAUAAUGCAUGUAAGGAAAGCAUUCCUGUUUGUGUGUGAAUGAAAAAUAGACCAAUGAAAGGCAAGACCUUACAAAAUAUAUAUAGAGAGAAAAGCAAUAUGUAGUCUUCCAUAUUUGCAAAAUAAGUGCAAUGAGAUUUUUGGCAACACAGUAAUGAGAUACUCCUGCCAUAAUUUAGAUUCAUCAGAUUUUAUAGCUAGUCCAUGUUUGGGACUGGCGCAAUUAUGCAUCCACUCUCCAAAAACACAUCUAUGAAAUAUCUCAUGAAUGAUGCCUCCCUGUCUCAUGAGCUUCAAUAUUUGAAGUGUUGGUCUCAUGGGAUGUUACUUUCCACUUACAGUGUAUCUGCAGUGCCAGAAGCAAAGAGCCUGAAGUUGAGCCUAUUAAAUAGAUCCAAGUUUUCCCCAGGCCUGUGUUGAGUCCAGCAGGGUUUUAUGAGGGUAUAUUUCACUGACUCACUGGCACAGCUGAGCAGGGAAAUCCUUCUCUUCACGGUCUAGUUGGGAUGACUGAUGCAAAUAUGCUGCUGCUGAGUCCAGACACUGACACCAUCAUCACACUGACCCAGUUUGAGAGAGAGAGAGAGAGAGAGAGAGAGAGAGAGAGAGAAAGACACAGUAAAAGAGAGAGAGAGAGAGGGUGAAAGAGAGAGAGAGAUGUUCUGAGUCAUUUGUGACUUAUAUUUAUAUCUUUGACUCCACAUGUUUUUAAGUAGUUCCAACACAGUAAAAACCUUCGAGCCAUGCAUGGAAGCUUUAUGGUGCAGGGAGGAAGAUGAGAUAUAAUCCAGGUCAUCUAGGGAGUAAGCACAAAGUGACAGGACAUUUUUCUAGACAUGCAAGGAAAAAAAGGCAGCUUCGGAUCAUUUAUAAUCCUUUUUUUAACAAAAAUAUAUAUUCUGUGCAAGGCAUAUGCUAUUUCCAUACGCUGUACUUUCCUCGAUGACAUGUGUGGUCUCUCUUAGCUAUACAUUAUGUACCAGUGAGUGUUUGGACAUUGAUACUUUUGGGUUUUCAGGAUUUUUGCAACAUUCAAUCUUUUUGUUUAAAGACCGUUUGUGCCAUAUUGUAUAAAGUCAACAACUGCACAUUUGUUGUUGUUGUAGUUUUCCUGAUCUGGAUCUCUAGGGAGGGGAUAAGGGCCUAUGUCCACCAACAGUGUUUUUCACUCUGGCAGCACCCCAAAUCUUAAUUUUCAGAGCACUCCUUACAAACUCACUGAUGCUUGGUUACAAAAAUUGUUCUGCCUCUCAUAUGCAAAAGCAAUUUGGUAGAAAUCAUGUCAUAGUAUUUGCAGGAGUUUUAGUCCUAGAACAACUCUAGUGCACCAAACAGUGUAGUUAGUUUUCCUCCAAAUUUGUUGUUGAUACCCAGCCUUGAUUUUAAUUGGUUGUUGAUGGGAAAGUGAUGCUGAUGAACAGGGCAGGAUUUUAAAAGUUGAACCCUAAUUUUGUAGAAAACAUAGAUGCUGCCAGCGCAAAAUGUAUCAUCAGAGGACACAGAUCCUAAGUGUUGUCUUCAAGUCCAUGUGACUGUUAAAGAUAUCACUUCUAACUCAAGCUAGAGCCACAAUAACUACAAAGAAACUUCUCAUACCCUGAAAAUCCUGUUUUUCUGACCUUCAGUUGUCCAUCUUCUCACCUGAGUGUUUCUAAAAAGGUUAUUUCCAGGAGCCGAUAACAUCACUGGAGGCUUUGGACUGGGGUUAUUUCUUACCACAUCCGACCACGGCUAGACAGUGGACACUUUCAUCCAGUGAUGUGUCAGCAGAACACUUCGACAACCUGGUGUUAAAUUACUUUUAAACCACAAUACACUGACCUUUGGAAGUGGACUGUCAUUAUUGCGUAACCAACAUGGGAUUCUUGUUUUAUAAAUAAAAACACAGAUCUGAUCAUUUGUGUUCAUCAUUUUUUUUUACAAAAUGAUUUUUUAUUUUCUUUCUUCCCUUUCUCCCUAUCUAAGCUUUCAGUAAAAGUCAAAUCACAAAGGAAGAUGAAUGCUGUAUUUGUAAGAUGGAGCUUUAUAUGUGCUGCUGCUAGUUUUUGCCAUAACACUCUUCAAAAGAGAUUUUUAACCUCAAUGGACCUUUCCUGGUUAAAUAUAUUUAAAUAAAUAAGUUAAAUAUUGAUGUAAGCAGGGUGUUCAUGUGAACCAGCUUUGCUGAGUCAGUCAAAACUGCAUAAAUAAGGAGAAAGGGAAACACAUAUACGUGUUAACUUGGUCCUGAUGUCUUGUCAUCUUUAAGAUAGUGUUGACCUUUUAUGUAUCCCUAAAUGUGAGCCUCUCUUGGCCCUUUUCUGCAUUUAUUUAAUCUUGACAUGUUGAUUUUGUGCUUCUUUUUAUGGACAAGAGGACACACAAGCUCAAGUUUUGCUGACUCCUUCCUCCUGUGGUUUCAACUUGUCACUUUUAAACCAUCAGACUGUGUGCUCAUUGCCAUUAGAGCAAUUCAUGUAAAUCUGUGUACUAUGAAUUUACUGCAGUGUCAUGAAGGCAGAUGUGUUUUAAGUGCGUUCAAAGUCAUGUGACUCUCCCUCUCACCUGUGUGGAGUUAGGCUUCAGUGUGUUUGUAUUCCAUGUGAGCGGUGCUGGCCUUACUGCUCAUUAACCUUUCCUAAUACGACCUGCAUGUAUUAAUAACACUCAGCUGGAAAGGUCAAUCGAUGUAUGUGUGCUGGUGUUUGUGUAAUUGUUUGUCACAGGGAAUGCUUAUGCAACCUAUAGCAUGCUGUAUAUAGAAUGUUUAUGGGCUUUUUGGUGAACUGGUGUGACUAAAUUGCUUUCAAUAAUUAAACAGUUCUGAUAGUUUGAUGAUUUGCUCUGCUUGUUUGCCCUCGGCUGCACUUUAAAAAUCUUACUAAUGAUGAUAUGCAGUCACAUGUUAAGUGUAUCAUGAUGUGUAUCCAUCUGUACAGCCAGUACUAGAUUAAAAAAAGUCAGUUUCAUAAUUUGUAAACAAGCAGGGGUUUUGCCUGGUGGCCACUCAUUAUUAAAAGAUAUUUUUCCUACCUGAAAUUCAGUUAUGAUAUUAAUAAGAUUAAAACACUUUCUUUGGCACUGGAGCCCUUUGGCUCUGGAUUUAAUUGCUGUGUAGUGAUAAAUUAUGUAAUUGAAUUCACUUUGACCUUAAGGGUUAUAAUAAUGAAUGUUAAUGUAUAUAUCUGACCUCAGUGACCAGGUUAAGGGGUUUAAAUCGAUUGUCUCACUGCGAUCUUGUAUGCUGAGUCUGUGUUGACCUUUUCAGUGUGUCCGUGCUUGGAAAUGUAGCCCCAAAAUCAGACCAAAGGGGAAGUAAUAACACUGUUUUAGCUUAAAUGAUAAGUUGACUGGAGUGUGCAGCAGAGACUCAAGAAAACAUCUAUACUAAGUAAGCAUAUGAGGUAAUAGGAAGAAUGGUGAGUAAACAAGCAUUUUACACAUGUGUGCUUAAUGUGCACAUCCUGUUCUGAAGUGGACAAUUUUCUAUCUACAUAAAUGGAACUGUAACUUUUGACUGACUGAUCAGUACAAAGGUAGGAAAAAUAUUAACAGACAAAAUUAAGCAGAUUUUUCUCUAUCCAUGGAGGUCAUAGAGUCUGCAAGUAAAAAUGUCACAGCUGUAUGGCUAACAUUAUCAAUGCUAACACCACCAGCUUUCAGUCCUCUGUGCAGGGUGAUAUUUAAAUGUCUGAGCUGCUUACACAUUGCUCCGGUUGUGUGGUACUAUGCCAGCUUAACCAGACACAGCCUAAAAAUGACUCUAUUACCUAUAAAAUUCAUGCUGUGUCAAAGAUGCUAUCUGUCAUCUGUGCUUGUUUACAUCCAGUGAGUGGAGCUAUAUAACAUUACGGCAGAAGCCAGUAGCUUCAGUCAUAGCAAGUGAGUGACAAUACAUGACCAGCAUUUCAGGGCCUACAAUGAUAAAUAAUGACUUGUGUAAAGCUCAUGUGAAGAGUUUUGAAUGGGUUAUGAAACACACUUGUGGUGUCAAAGUUCAAGAAUAAACUGAACUUGAGCAACACUGUAGUCACACCCUUUGACCACCAGGGGUGCUAAAAUCAACACAAAAAUUCCCUGGAGAUCAGCUUUAAAACUCCUCUGUACAAUAUCCCUUUAAAAUCUUUUGGAGCUACUUUUUUUGGUUUAUUGUUUUUUGUAUGCUAUCAUUUUUGGAGUCUAAGAGUCUUUCUGUGUGAUACCAGCAUACCAGCUGUCAGUCCUUGAACAUGACGUGAAGCAAGGCUGUCUGCUGUGAAAAGCAUCAGUUAAAACUGAUUCAGUUUAAACAUUUCACUUGGUUAACUACACCUUAUAGAGUAAAUAAUAUGAAGGUCAAGGAUGUGGUGUGGGUGUCUCUGUUUAUUACAGUGUAUUAUGUUACUGGGGUGAUGAAAAGGUGUCUAUGUGUUCACAGGAUUUUGUCCAAACAUGCAGUGUGUGUCAUAGCCAAACAUAGUCGGUUUAUGAAAUGUUGUAAACUCUCUUUUCAGCAUUAAAAAUAUUCAUCUUCACUCCUCUUCUUCCCUCAGUAUUCAGCCAACCUUGCCAUGAGGCAGAUAUCAACAAAAUAUGAUAAAUAAUCAACCGUCUUCUCCAGUUUUAUUGAUCAUCACCCAGAACAAGAUGAAAAUAGUAAACAGAGCCAGCCAGAGCAGCAGCACACAGUGUAUUUGAGUAUCAGGGUGUUCAUGGUUGACUGCCAAGUGAAAGUGAAUGAUUCACUCAACAACAGCCUCACCCUGAAGGCAACAGUAUCUCCCCAAAACUCCCACUAUCUUACAGGUUGGAGUAUACCUAUUAACCAGCCUGUCUGCUGUGCACAUCAGUGAGUGUGGUGUGUCAGAGCUUAGCAGCGUGCACAUGAACUUCAGCUUUCAUUUAAUUGUAACCCACCAAAGACCCAAUUUUAGGCCCUAACCCAUGUUUUAGGAAAACAGCCGACACAACCCAUUGCUGCUGAGCAUUUCAUGUUUUCUCGGUGUGUGAUUUCCAAUCUGACUGCGGCCCGAUAACGGCGACAUUGCUGUUACUCAUUCCCUCAGAUCCCCUGCCUCCGUCUCUCCUAAUCAGAUUUCUCUGGUUGGGUUAUUUAUCAUCGCCAGCUCUGACUGUGAGUGAUGCUUGGCUAAUGGGUUUAGCAUUCAAAUCUGCUGGCUUGAUGCGACAGAAUCCCAACUAGGGUUGUCAUUCCUGUGGCGGCAGCAGCUUCAGAGUGGCAUAAAUAAGAGGGAAAUGACAUUGUUGAAAUUUGCAUUCAUGGCGCGGUUGUUUUUACAUUUGGUUUGAUUUGUAUUGAUUUUUUAGGAGUCAAAAUGAAAAGGGGACAGAGAAGCAGAAAGAGAGAGAGACAGAGAGAAAACUUUAAUAUUUGUGCGUCAACAGUCAAAAAUAAAGAUGUCCACUCAUGGAUUCAUUUAUUCAUGCAUUCAUCAAUUAUUCAUUCUGUUUUUGCCUGCUCAUUUCUUCUCAGGUCUGACAGGACAAAGGCAGCAUGACUCAUCAGACGAGCCGGUAAACGUGUAAAUAAACAUAAAAAUAAAACCAUUAAACAGAGUCACUCUCUGACAGUUUGGUGAGCACAGGCACACCAGUGAGGCUGUGUGGCGUUGAAUGAAAGUUAUGGUUAUGACAGUAAUUAUAAGUCAUAAACCAGCAGCUGAGAGAAACUCUCUAUUUCGGCUUUUUUCAUGACUACACCUGCCCUGUACAAUAACAUCACGCAGUAUCUGGAGGUCGUCAGACAUAUCCUCAUGCCUUAUUGUUUUGUAUAAUCUGCACUGAUGACAGAACCGUAAAUUACAAGACAGCUGCUCUUCUGUCUUCCUCCAAUUCGUUCUCGUGCUGGAUGAUGUGUGGUUGACUGUCAGGUAUAUCAUUUUCUAAUGUUUGAUCUGAGGCCAUAAAUUAACUCACCGCAAAUAUAACAAGGCAGUGCGCACACCCUUGUGCCUGCGUUUGUGUGUGAGGGUGUGUGUGCCAGACUCUUCAGUCUUCACUACCCCGCCACCUGUUCCAUGUAAAUAUCUCCAUAUGUGUGGUAGAAAGGCUUUAUGUGGCUCAUGGGAGUCAUUCUGGGCACCCUGAUCACCUCAUUGCUCAUCAGUGCCCCAGAUACAAAUAGUGACAUCACCUCGAACAAAGGAAGGGGAAAACGAAGGUGACUAACUGAAACUUUUUAAUUUACAAUGACAAACUUUGUUGUGAAAAUAAGAAACUCCUGCAAACCUUAAAUCUGUUUGUGGGCCUUUCAAAGCAUGUUUUGAUUUCUCAAUUGACCUAAUUCACAGCAGCCAUUUUUCUUUGUUAUUCAGGCUGUUAAGUAGUCAAAAUAUAUGGUAUCCACAAAAUGGUUAUUAUUUCAACAUUUCUAGAUUCAUUAGCUACAGACAGGGCAAGGAGUGAUGAAAAUCCAGAAGUAUUUGGUUAUAUUUACAGGUAAUUGAUGAGGGAUUAGCAACCAUCAAACAAUGUUAGCAUUCAGCCACUUUCUAAACUAUUGAACAAGAGGAUCACUGGGUGCCAACAUUACCUUCUGAUUGUGUAGUUUGACACAAUAUGACUAAUACACAGUUUUCCAACAUGUAACCCAGUAGGUGGUGCAAACACAAGUAGCUGUUUAAUGGGACUGGUUUAAGAUCUUUUCACUUUCAAAAGGUAAUUUUAGCUCAUUACUUCAAUUUUGAAGUAACAUACCAAACAACUUUCAACCUGGAUCUAAGCAUUGUGUUAUCCUAAAUAAGGGAUAAUGUGUAGUUAGCUGUGGUUUUGAAAAAUAGAGUCCUGAAAGAAACUAGUUUUCGACACAAAAUAACUGGUCUGUGUUUAACUCCCGAUCUUUAGUGUUUUGCUCGAAGUAUAAUACUAAAAACGAGUUGUGUACUCACGCUACUUGGCAUACAUGCUAACAUUAUUGUCAGACUGUUUAAAGGAAGAGGUGAAAUCAUUGACUAUAAAGUACGACCUGUGCUGUACCACCCUUACAUUGAUUAAUUUGAUAUGCUUAAAAACUUUGCCUCAGUGUGUGCCAAUGAUGCUAACAGACAAUAACAUGUUAAACUUCAGGUAAAAUGUGCAGGAAAUGUUUCCCAUGAAUUAAUUUGAUUCAAUUCAACUUUAUUUAUAUGGCACUUUUCAUACAGAAGGAGAUGCAAUUCAAAGUGCCUCACAGAGGCUAAAAACAACAAUAAAGACAAAAACCCAAGCCUUCCACCCACCCACACACCCAUGGACCCACGCGCACACAGGGACACACACCCACCCUCACAUACACACACACACACACACACACACACACACACACACAUAACCGCACACAGUGUGAGAAUUUAAGAUAAAAUUUUAAAUAUGAGUGUGAUAUGAUAUCAUAUGAUAUGAGUGUGAUUUGCUUGUCAUGGCAUUGUUAUGCAGAGUUCAAAAUGUUAGUAAGGGGUUUUGAGCCAUCAGGAUUGAGUGUUCAACACAGCUGGGUGAUAUGUAAGAAAGCCAUGUCAAUUAUUUGUGAGGACUUUGCACAAUGUCAGUACAUUCAAAAUCUCUACAAUGACUACUAUUUUUCAGAACAGAACAUUCAUAAGGGCCACAAGAAGUCAUCCAAGCAUUUUCAAGGUCUAGUCCUCACAAGCAUAGAAGACAAACACACCCAAACACAGAAACACAUAGUACUGGUUGACCAUGUGUGUCUCCAUUAACAGCUCUAAAACUGGUGUUACAAGUAUCUGUCAGAGCACAUCUGUAUGACCUGACAUGACAGUGCAGUGGAACAACCUGCUGAUCAGGUGGAUACAGACAGAGUGUGAAUCACUUUCAGCACAGUGAUGGUAUCAUUACGUGCUUGCAUGAGUUGCAGUGUUUGCUUGUUGUUUGUGGUCUAGGCAUGUCUCAGCUGAUGUGAUGAUGAUCAGUAUUGACAAACCUACAGGAUGUGCGUGCCUUGCCAGGUUAGAAAGUGGAAAUCACAUGUUUGUUUUUAUAACCCAUUUAAUGUUCAGGUAAUAUCAUACUUUUACUCAGAUUUACACCUUAUGAUGGAUAAGCAUAUAUCCAAAAAUUCUUGCAGCAUUUUUAACUCAUAAUACCUCUGCAGCCUAACUUUGUGUUGCUUUGUCGUCCUUUCAUUUUCUACCUUUUUUGUCACUUUUUUACUAGAUGAUUUUUUUUUCUUUCUCUUGCCCUUUACCCAUGAAACUCAGUUUUCAGAAUUUUUUUCAAUAUAAUAGAUAUUCAAUUUUAUCAAAGAAUCACACAUACCUCUCAAAGGUUUUCCUUUCUUGUAAUACCUUUACAACUGUUGCUCAUUUUAUAAGUCUACUUACGGACUUCCUUUUAUUUCUCCCUCUAAGGAAUCACUAGCAUAACUUGAGUGAAUUAAAAUGUCAUUUGAUUGUCACAGCGUGUCUGUAUGUUAAUCCUCCUCACAUGUGUUGACACUCCCUUGUGUUCGUAUAUCUUUUUGACUAACUGGCAGUGUGUUAGUGUGUGUUUGUUAGCACUAAUGUGUGUGUCAAAGUUAUGUGUCUCAGCAUGACUUCAAGUCUCCUACUUAGCUUUGUAAUUACCUUUUUCCAGCGAUGAUGCUUAAUUGGAGAACUGGAAAAUCAUUGUUGUAUACUGUGACACACACGCCAACUGUCUCACAGAGCGAUACUGGGGCUCUUAAUAAAGUGUUUUUAAUUAAGUUAAAGCGCUAUAGUGACAUUUAUUUGUAUUUAUCUGUUAUGAAUUUCCAUUUAUUACUUGCUGGAAGUGAUCCUUUGUGUGUAUUGUAAGCCCUUGAGAAAGAGAGGUGACACUUUGACAACCUGUUAGUUCUGUUGUUAUUGUUGAAAUGUGCAAAUACACAGAGAGAAAGUGAGAAAUCUCAUUGUUCAUGCAGACACACAGGAGGUACCACUAAAUGAGUAUGAGGAAGUUUUUAAUUGAAUGUAAAAAAAAAAGAAAGAAAAAAGGAGCAAUUCAUUUUCAUUUUUACAGGUUUUAUUAUUUUGGAAGGUGAAAGCAGCUUAUUAACAUUUGUCUCUGGGUAGAAAAAGCCCUAAUUUAAUUUGACAUAAUGAUGUUUUGUAGCUUGAAAUAGUAAUUGUUUUUGGUGGUAUGCUUGUGGACUUACAACAAAGCAAAAGAAAAAGAUCUGCAGUUGGCCUUUAGUCGAUUCAGUUAGACUGCAAAGUGAAAGAAAUGUUUGAUACAUUUAUUGAGGUUUUUUUUAAAUUAUAUUUUACAGCUACUUGGUAGCAAAUUUUACCCUAAAUAAAAAACAAAAUAAGGGGUUACAAUCAGGGUGGUCCUUUGUUUACUGUACUACCUCAGUAAAUGCUUACAAGGAACUAGUUAAUGGUAAAUGUGUUGAUCAGUGCAUAGCUGUAAUUUAUUUGUUAAAGUCUAUCAGUUUGAUUAGCUCUGCAUAUCCAUAUCUUUGCAUACUUGCACAACUUUUGCAAUGGGAUUUGGGAAGGACAAGCUAAAGCCAAAGCUUGCCUUAAGUUUGCAUUACAGGCCAGAGCAUAUCCAACUUUUUAUUACUUAAAGUAUGUUUGAAGUUUGAGGUGUGUUAAAAAUCAGGUUUUCUUCAACUUUGCCAACAUCCAUUGUGUCUUCCUAGCAUUGCCUCUCCACCUGUCAUCUCACAGCAAUCUUUUUUCCUCUUCUUACAUGUCAGCCUUCUUAACUCUGAUUCCUACCAUCUCUCUCUCCCUUUGUCUUUCCUUCUCUCGUCAUAUUGUCUGUUUUAUUCUAAAAAGCUUUUCUAUUUGAAAAGAAUUCAAGAAGUAAAUGUGCAAGUGGAAUAAUUCUCAUCUGAUGUAAAUCAGCAAUACAAAGCUGCUAAACAGCGACUCUUUCAUACUGAAACCUGACAAGUUCUAACUUUGACAGACUUUGACAGACUCAAGGAUGAGUGUUGAUCUGCUCAUUUCACAGAGCAGUCGGGGUAAAAGAAAAGAGGGACAGGAGAGUGUAGUGACGCAGAAAGAGAAGCGUCAACUGACAAAAGUGAUAAAACUCACAUUCAUUUUCACCUAAACUGUCUGAGAAUUUCUCUUUGGGAUUAUUUCUGAUAGAACAGAGCUCUCAUGUACAAAAAAGGAAGAGACGAAGGCAGUAAACACAAAGCAAAACAGACAGUUAUUUAUAGGAAUCACCACAGACUGUUACUCUCUGCAUGUGUUUGGGUGGGUAAGUCUGUUACUGUGAUGGACCCAGACAUGUUCUUUAAUUAGCCGUCUCCUUUCCUACUCUGCCCAACUUUCAGGACUUUGAGAGAGUCUGUCUAUGUGUGUGUGUGUGUGUGUGUGUGUGUGUGUGUGUGUGUAUGUGUGUGUGUAUGUAUGUGUGAACACAUAAGAGAGGAAGGGGUUACACACAGAGGCCUGAUGUGAUAUUGUGGCCAUUCCUCAUCGACUGUGUGUGUGUGUGUGUGUGUGUGUGUGUGUGUGUGUCUGUUGGUGUGUAAUUUUGUGACAAGAAAGACACAGAUUAUUGCACAUGAAAUGUUAUUCAUACAAAGCAGCUCUAGCGUGACUAUCCCCCUGCUACAGCACUCAACAGCCUAUUGGAGAAACACAACAGAACAAAUCUUGGUGAAAAUACCAGUCUGCAAAUCUCACAAGGGAGAUUCUCUCACCUCUCCUCAUUUCUGUUUAGAUUUCUUCUUUAUUUUUUGAGGGGACAUCUUUUUGGUGGAUGGUAAUGGGAGUGUUGGUUGUAAUAGACAAAACAGGAUCUUUGCAGAAGUUUUAUUUUGGGUAACAGUAAAGUUUUAUCUGCAUGUAAAAAAAGUUAAGAUGUGCAUAAAUUUCAUCAGGGGUACAAUGUUUUGUCAGUGCAGGUUGACAAAGCGAUGGCAAAAUUAGUAGCUAACAAUCUUCAUGGCUCAUAUUUAGUGGUUGACGUCACUGUGGGUAUGUUUGUGUACAGACACAAGAUUGCUUUUUAUGGCUGAAUUGCCAAGAAGUGGGACAUCUUGCUUCAUUAUUAUCUUUUCCAUAACUGUUGCCUGGGCAACAGCAACUGUUUAAGUAGUCAGGUUCAUUGUUCCCAUCUUAGGUUGUCACAUACCGGCUGAUACAGAGGUAUAACUUUCUAACACCUAGUUUACGACAGACUAUAACCUGAAGUUGAGUUUCCAAACUUGGUUAGAGAUGAGUUUAGCACUACUGAAACCAUUAAGUAUCGAGUUAAGUAUCCAUCUUCCCAAACUUCCCCCCAAAUUGACUUUUUGUCUUUCUGCUACAGAAGCAGUUUGUCUGAAAAUGGCUUUGGAUGGCUUUACGUAACAGUUUUAGAGUCUGGAGGUUCUAAAGCGGACGCUGAAGGGUACUUUGGAGUCUGUAUGCACAAGGCUACACAGGGCUGUGAGAUAGCAUAGGUACUGGAUGUUCUGAAAUGCGAAUAGGCUGAAUCACAAUGUACUCUUUUCAGUCAGAAUAUGGUCUAGCAGCAACUUUAAUGUGAAAUAAAAGAGUCCGACUGAAAGAGUCUGGAUUCAUAAAGAGAUUUAAAUACUGCUGGAAACAGCACUCAAUAGUUCUUGUUAUUUUGUUGACAGAAAGCAGAUUUUCUGAAAGUGCAGGAAUAAUUGCAGAGAUAAACAGCUAUAAUUUACUUGCAGUGUGGACACAUUGAAAACAAGCAAUCCUUGUUCUCAGUUAAUAGCAAUCCUCAAUCCCUCUCCCUGCUUAUUUUGUUUCUCUCAUUCACUUUGCUCUGCUCUACUCCGAGUGUCUUCUUCUUUCUUCUCUCUGCGUUAAAGGUAUCUCUCCCCAGCUCGCAUUGUUCCCCACUCCUUUCCACAUUUCUCUUUCCAAGCUGGAUCUUGUUUUUCCUCUUUUUCUCCUUUUCCUUGUUGUGCUCUGUGAUUCCUCCUCUCGGCUGUUCUGGUUUUGUCUGUGUAAUCCCUGUGAUCUCUAUCUGAGUUGUUUAUAACUCCUAAAUGUGCCACUUCGCUACCCUGACUCAUUUUCCCUGAGUAGCAGUGCAGAGAGAAAUGUAUUCAUGGUGCUCCGGCUCACUUAUCUUUUAUUUCCCUCUAGAUUAUUUUUUUAUGGCACUUCAGCAGUGUCAGAUGUUAUAUGGUGAGAAGUGAUAGGUAAAAUGGGGAAAUGGUUUCCUCUGUAUUUUCCCCCGUGGUAAUGUUUUAAAUCUGUGGUUACACAUCUUUUACUGUUUUCUCCUACUUUGAGUUGUGCUGCUUUGCUGAAAAUGCUCUUAGAUUUCAUAUUCCAAGAAAACCAAUGUCUUUUUUUCUCUAUAGUAAACUUAUUAAGUGUUUCAUUGGUUAUACAGUCAUAUCAAUGACUUUUACCUGCUCUAAAAAUAUGAAGCAUAACCUUGUAUGGCAUCUUGCUUGGAUAAAACUUGAGGAAUAUCUUGAAGCAAUAACAAAGGCCUGACUGUGCAGGACUAUCUUUAAAAAAAUGUGUUUUUUCCUUGCUUAUCAAAGUCCUUGAGCACCUGCUGAACAAGUGGUGUUUACUCAGAAGCAUGUUUUUUUUUUUUUUUUACUUUUGGCUUAGUUUUAUUGCAGAAGACUGGCAAAUAUAGUUAUUUUCUGAGAGAUAGCAAGCCAUACUGAUUGUAUAAAAAAAUAUAUAUAUAUAUCUUAAGACAUAAUUACACACACAAACUUACAAUACUUUGAUUUUGAAAUUUUUAUCUUUUAAAUAAUUUUUUUCAUAAGUUACUUUAUAUUUAUCUUAUAAUUAAGACCGUCCUGAUAAUGACCUAUGGCUACCUUUGCUGUUAUUCAACUUUUUUAUCUGAUCAUUUUGACUUUUUUUUUUUUUUUUAAUCUCAGAACUACAACUUUUCUUUCAUAGCCGUUCUCCCUCGCUUUCAUCGGUUAAACACGUGUAUAGAGAUUUUCGUCUUGCCUCUGUCAGAGAGAAAACAAGCCCUCCCAUAAAUGUAACUUUGAUGUAUGAAGAGAACAAAGAUGGUGGCUCAGUCUUGCUCGUAUUCAUAUAGAACACACAUUUCAGUCUAUAAGAGCUAUAUAUGUGGGCCCCAUUGUAGCAUGGAUGAAUAUUAAAGAGGUUUUUCAAAUUCUGGUUUCCUUAAGAAGCUUUAGAAGCGUUCUUUCUCUGCGGCAGUCCGCCAUUGCUCAAUGCAUAUAAGUGAAACAUCUUUACUGCACAGAAAUGAACCAUAUUUCAGUUUCUCAUACUAUAGCCUUGUAUUGAAAAGAGAAGACAGACAGCUCAAAGAAUGGCCUCUAUAGUCUGCCUUUGACGCUUAUGAUGCCUUCGACUUUUUAACCCCAACUUUCAUUGGACGGAAGAGCCUCCCGCGCCGUCUGUCUCCUCUUCUCAUUCGCUCUCCUCCGCGUCUAUCAUACAUGUCACCCUCACAACCCUCUUUCUCUGUCUCAUUACCUCUCUGUACCCCCCUUCACACAGUCACACAAUGCCUUUCUCUUCUCCCCCAGUGCCUGCGGUCAUUUCCAGUUGGUGAUUGAACUGACUCUGUAAUCUUGUGUGUGUGUUUGAAACAGGAGGACCGGGAAAGAGAGCAAGAUCCAGUGAAGAGGACUGGGCAAUAUAGUAUCAGGAUGAGAGAGGGGAGCGAGUAGAGCCAGGGAGAGUGGGAAAGAUGCAGUGCAGGAAGAGAGAGAGAAUUGUACAGCUGGAUAUUGCCUUGAUGUUGAUGCUGGCCUUCUGACCUCAUCUCUUUGUUCCUCACUGCCUCCUUUCUGCUUCUCUCUCUUUCUGAACUGUUUUUGUCCAUAAACUCACUAGAACCAAUUAGUGUUUCACAGUGCAAUACUUUAAAGUUAAAAUUGUUGCCUAAUUACCUUAAAAUGUGGCAAAAGUCAGCAUUUUUGCAGUUAAAGGUGCACACUGAGCCUCAUAAAUAUGACACUUUUUGAACUUGCGUUCUUCGUCUCUUUCUCUGAAUGUAUCCAUCUUUCUCUUCUUACAUCAGCUGUCUUGUAUCAACCCCUCUCCUCCUUAUAUCCCCCUCUUCUACCGUGUAAUUUGAGAGAACGGUGAAAAAAUCCCUCGCUCGUCUGACCCACCGUUGAACCUUUGCUUGCUUUGACAGAUUGCUGCAACAUGAGCCUUUCAUUUCAUGGAGGAAAAAGGGUCUCUCUCCCCCCUUUUUUUAAUGUGUUGUGUCUUUCACCACAAAUAGAAAAAGGAUCAAGUCCAGUGCUAUUAACGUGUGUGUGAUAUGUGUGCUUAGUGUGUGUUUGUCCACCUUGGUGCCACUGAUGUAUAUAAUGAUUGUGUAUCUGUUUGGGGCCCACUGGUGAGAUAAGGGUGGCCAUAGUAGAGAUAAGGGGCCGUGUAGAAAGAGGCUUUGUUUUGGCCAGACGUGGUGAGAGAGUGAGCAGACAGUUAUAAUGAUUCAUUUGAUCACACUUUAAACACCUCCCACUGAGAGAGAGCACUCUGAAACACACUUCACAUGUUGGCCCAACGAGCCUUUGUUUUAGGGUCAGCAUUUUUGACCGAGAGCAAUUGUCCAAAAUACUAAACAGGACACAAAGACUCUUAAUUUCAUCAAACAAAACCCCAAGUUAGUGAAGCUCCACAGAUUUGUUGGCAUCCUUUGCACAAUUCUCUUUUGAGAUGAGAUAUGAUAAUUUUUAGUUGCAGUUUAAUUACAUUGACACUUUAAGAAUUGGGGCUGUUUUCAUGGACAUUUCAUAUAAAGGAUAUAAGUCUACUAUUGGUUUGAAGUGACUGAAAAUGGAUGGGAGAACAAAUACAUGUUAAGAUAGUCCUGUGUUGAUGGGUCAAUAAGGUGGUCAAUUACAAGAAGCCAAGUCCAAAAAAAUAUUCUGCUUGAUCAUCAAUAGGAUGAAAAUUAACAUAUCUUGGCUCUAUGCACAAUAGAACCUUUAUAAUUGUCUCCAAUCAGUUCCACAUGGCCUGCAAAACAGUGAGGAGGAGUCAAAGACUCAAAUUACAAUAGACAGAGGACAAAAGCACCACAAACUGCUGUCAUGUUCAACAUAAUAUUGUUGUGCGUGUAUGAUCAGCUUUAAAAGAUUAACAAUAUGACCUGCAAACUAACAGUAAUGUCCAUUCACCGUAUGAGAUCAGUAGCUAUCUAGCCACCAUCUGUUGUUUUUAUCCACAGCGUCUCUAUCCCAUAGUGAAUAUAAGUGAGUUUCUCAGUCCAUCUAUCAAAAAUCAUGGUAGUCUGUGAUGAUUUAAGCAUGAAUUCUAGAUUAAUAUUGUAAUUUUUGAUGUUCGCUGGCCAUGCUGUUUGGAAGCUGCAAUUUUUGUUUGAGUUUGCUGACCAAUUGGAGGCUGUCUCUAGGAUCAGCUGACCUGUAAAGGUCCAAUCAGAAGCCAGGCCACCUUGUCUCAACAGAAGCAAUCCUCUUCAAAUCAUGGCUGCAGAAAAGCUGUUUGGGCCCACUCCACACACAAAUUCAUAAGGAGUCUGAUACAGAACUGGGUUGUUAAGCAGAAUUGAUAAUGGCAUCUAUUGGCAUAUAUUUGUGUCAAUGAAAUCUUAUCAAUAUCUGUUCUUACUAAAAAAAAAAAAAAAAGGAGACCUCACAGUACUGUGAGGGGCAAAGUAACUGUGAUACUGAACUGGCAUUAGAGGUGGUUACAUAGAGAAGAAAACUGUGUCACUGUAAAUAUGGGGGAGGUGUGUGUGUAUUUGUGUUAAUAUGUGUGUGUGGAGCUCAUGCUGUUAGUUUGGUCGAUGUGCGUCAUGUGCUUCUGCAGUGCUGUAAUUUAAUGUAAAAAUCAUGCAAUCAAACACCUUUGUUGCACUGUGGGAUUGAAUACAGGUACAAAGAGUGAUGAUGGCAGAGCUUCUUUGCAGCACUGUUGGAGAAUCUCAAUGUAGAGAGUGUAUGUGGGGUUGCAGAUACAGUUCAGUUUGUAAAGUGAAGUGGCUAUAGUUUUUGUCACACUGCUGGUGGGAUGGAUUUUCAGUCCUGGUAUGUUUUGGUGCUGCCAUAUCUCAUCUUUGUUUUCCUGCCUCUUUCAAGCUGUCCUAUCAAAUUAAAGGCAAAAAGCCUUUAAAGUAGCUGUGUUUACAUGGGCACAAAUAAUCAGAAUGAAGGCCCGAUAGGAAUAAAAACACAUCAUGUAAACAUGUCGCUCAGAAAAUUCUGAUCCAAUUCAACCAAUCGUUAUUCCAAAUGCGUCCCUGUAAACACUUAUUCUGAUCGUGACUCUCUUACCUGACUCGAUCUUCACUCUUUAGCCUUUGGCUUAUUUAUUGAGGUCAGUACAGGAGGUUUCAUUAUUAACACUCUUGCAUAAAAUACAAACACAGGUGCCAUGCCUGCUCCUCCGAUAACAUAACAAGGCGUACAUACAAAGUAAUGAUGUCACAUCUGCACCUUUGACAAAACAAUAAAAUAAGUACGCAAGGGCGCCAUCUAGUGACAACAUUUAACGGGGGGAAAUCCUGAAUUGGAUGGAGUAAGCCACUACUGUGUUUGUUGGUUUGUUGACAGCACAGGCGUAAAUACAACUCUGCGCAUGUCUAAAUUCUUCUAAUCUGAAUAAAGCUUGGUGCAUGUAUAUGCAUGUCAUGAUCGGAUUAUUUGAUUUUGAACCCAUACAAACAGUGGAUUCAGAUUAUCCGAUCCCUCAAAUUUUUAAUCUGAUCAAGAAAUUUUGCACAUGUAAACAGAGGACACAUAAUUCUAGUUGUUUGCUUAUUGGACCAGAUUGUAUCAGUUAUUAUGAUAUCAUGAAAAACAGAGUGUUGAGUCAUGAGAAGCUGUCCAGCAUUGUAACCUGAUACUUUGUCAUGUUUGUGAAAAGUAAAGAGUGUGGGUGCACUUGUUUUCGAUGGUUGUGAUUUCAGAAAGAUCACACUAUUUUACUUUAGAGUUUCUAUACUGAGAUAUAUCAGUGGUUGUGUUAUACUUAGUGCACUGUUAUCCUGCUUGGAUUAAGGAUAUGUUUAAUCAACUGACCCUGAACCAAAUGGAGCCCCAAACCAAACUCGAAUCUACCAGUCAUCAUUAUGGUUAAUAACCUGGUUAUCAAAACUGUUUUUAAUCAUAAUUAUUAUCACUUGGAAUGAAAUGCAGUAAAAGGGCAGAGUGAAGCAUUUCCAUUAUUUGUUGAUGAUAGGCCUAUUAUAAAUCCUUGUCAUGCCAGAAGGAACAUAACGGUCCUUUUGUUGUGGACAGAAUGAAGGGUUAUGGCGAUUGAGAGCGAAAUUAAAGGUUAUAAAUGAAAUGGAGUAUUUCCUGCAUGAGGACAUUUAGAAGAUUGAGAUUGUAAUCAUUACUGUUGUGCCUGACAAAGACUGAAAUGGGUGCAGGUCUAUUGUGUGAGCUUAAUGAAAAAGUAAGGACUUGACAUUGCAAAGGUUAGACUUAUGGCAGCAGUGAGUGACAGAAAGGGAGGGGGGUGUGGAUGCAGAUAGAUGGAUGGAAUGAAUGAAGGUGGAGGGGGAGGAGAUGAUAGAGAGAUGGGAAAGGAAAUGGUGGGAGGAGGAGUGAGAGGGAGAAGUGGAAGAUCAGAGAGAGAAAGAGAGCGAGCUGGCAGGAAGACAAACCUGGCCAGGUUGAUCUGAGAGGUCUCAGGAAGGUCAUUCAUUUGACACAGUUGGCUGCCCCCUGCCAACCCUAACCCUUCUCUCUCUCUCUCUCUCUCUCUCUCUCUCUCUCUCUCUCUCUCUCUCUGUUACUCACUCUUCAUGCAGAUUAACAGUUACCUAGAUGAAGUUCUGGCACGAUGCCUGUCCCUCUCUAAUUCUCUCUUCCCCCUUUCAUCCUGAUUCCCUUACCUCCUGUCCUUUGACUGCACCCUAAUUUUUCCCUGUGACCCUUUUAGAAAAACAAAAUUACACAACAAAGUAAAAUGUUGACCUGUGAUAAUAGAUGAAAAAAGUAGAUCUACCCAGUGACAAAGAUGCUCCAAAACAAGUUAUAUUUUUCUGAGCAGAUAUUUUCCAUAGUAUUUGUGAGUGAUAGGAAAACUGUUCUCUGCUCCUACCAACCUGUAAGAAAAGUGGUCAAAGUUUGUUAUACAAUACAAAGGAAAAAAAGUGUAUGAAUUAUACCACUACUUUUCACUUGUUUCAGUUGUUUACAUGCUUAAAAUUUCUGUCGGGAACUUUUAACUAGACUUUAAAAAGUAUCUCGCUUCUCCUGAUAUAUCUGUGUCACCUACAACAGCAAAUGAGCCCAUUGGAGGGAAGAUAAGAUAUUUCUAAAACGUCUCACUCCUACUUUCAAAAUUCGUUGGUCGGGUCUGCCCACUGACGAAAUGAUUUACGGCACGCAGGCCAGAAGUUACGGCACUUAGUCAGGGAGACGAGAAGAGCAGUGAAUUGUUGCUAAGCCAGCCAGUGAAAACUGAGCAAAAAAAAAUAGCUACACAUGGCCGAUGAAGGGACGGAGUCCACAAAAAGGAAAAAAAUUAGAACAGAAGAACAAAGAACAGAUCCCCUUAUCCAAUACUAGACCAUGUGCCUCUCUAAUUUGGAUCUGGUUAGAGUGAUGUGGGGCUUAUCCUUUGCUGAUCCAUGAUACCAACACAUAUAUACAUAUAUAUAUAUAUAUAUAUAUAUAUAUAUAUAUAUAUAUAUAUAUAUAUAUAUAUAUAUAUAUAUAUAUAUAUAUCUGUGUAAAGUUCUGCGGGCAUUGCUGUGGGAAUUUCUGCUAUCUUGCAGGAUGAAGCAGGAGCCUCCACAUAUGGCAUGAACAUGAGUGUCACUUUUGGUUACACUUUAUAUUUGCCUCCUGAUCAAGUCCUCAAACUUUUGACAACAGCACAUUAUAAAACACCUGUGGAUGCCUAAAGUCCAUGUGUUUUACCAGUAGUGACACUGAAAGAGCUAAAACAAUGGAUUUCUUUUAACUAAGGUCGCUUUCACACCAGAGCUGUUUGGUCCGCUUUAAACGGACCAGAGUUCGUUUCCUCGGAUAGUCCGCUUCCUUUGGGCAGGUGUGAAAGCUCAUCCGAACUCUGGUGCGGACCAAACAAGUGAACUCUGGUCCACCUAAAAACGUGGGUCUCGGUUCUCUUGCAAGUGAACCCUGGUUCGGUUCGUAUGCAGUGUGAAAGCUCACCGGACCAAACACAGGACCAAAUGUACGUAAUGACGCUAUACGCAGUGCAUACGCAGUGCAUCUUGGGUAGAGAAAGCACAGCGUCCCUUGUUGCUAUGGCAACAAGUGACCGCUGACAUUAGCAGUUGCUGAACAACAAUAACCCAUAAAUUCACAAUUUGGCAUAUUUAAACAAAAUCAAAUCUCAACUACCAACAGUCACAGUCCUUAAACUCUGAGCUCAUAUGUUGUCACAUGUUAGAUCAUCAAAGUUAGAAAGUAACAGGAUCAAUGCCUGACAAGCUACGAUAGCAUUAUAGGAACAGUUGCGUUCACUUACAUUGUAGCAUUCCAUGAAAUAAUGUGACCAACCACGUGAUGCUGCUCGGAAAGUUCGGUGCGCUUUAGAAAUCACAGUGUGAAAGUAGAACCGAAACGAGUGAUAAAUGCAACAAUGUUGCGACUUUCAGCUCCACAAUCGAACCGAGUCCGCUUGGUCAGGUGUGAAAGCGACCUAAAUCUCCUAGUGGUAAUCCCUCCCACUUUUCUUCUUAGUGUUUAAGAUUCUUGCAACAAAGGAGUUGAGUUAAUGGUUUUUAUAUGUCCUACUACCUGGCUGUGUCAAAUACUUGUAAUAUUUCUAAAGCUCCACCACAAACAUAUCUAACUGCCUACAGCAAAAGUCAAACGAAGGACAAAAUCAUCACACAUUGUGUAAAAUCAAUCUGCUGACAGAUACCUGGCACAUGUAUGAGAUCAUGUCUUCAAGUCUUGCAAUCUGGGCAACAAAUGAGUUCAAAAUAAGUUCAAAUGAUGUAACAACUUCUUACCUUGUGAAAUUUGCUUAGACUGUAGAACUGGAGCAACUUGGGUUAUAUAAAUUAGUUGAUUAAAACCAAUAAAAUCCUUGUUAAAUCAGUGCUUUGUGUAAUCUUGUUUAUAGCUUUAGUUUAUUUUCCGGCUAUUAAUCAUGACCCUUGACCAAAAAUAGUGACUUGAUUGGUUUUCAGUGAUAAAUGCUGUAAGUUAUUAAGACUUACUCUACAGACAUUGUCCCAAGUUUAAGCAUAAUAACAUUUCUAAAUGGUUAGCUAUGAAUUUUUGAAUGCCCAUCAAAACAUUACUUUCCAUUAUAGGAACAGGUGUGGCCCACAAACAUUUUUAUCUCAUCCCUGCCACUCAAAGGGUAAAUGAAAAACCAGCACUGAAGCACAGAACUGCAACACAAGCCGACAUAAAAUGGCUAGCAAACCUGGAGUCAAGUUGGUAGAACAAGAGUGGAUUAUAGGAUAGACACAAACAGAAAAAUGAGAGAGAGUGCAAAGCAACAAGUGAGAAAACAAUUGAGCAAACAAUGUUGAGAAAUACAGCCAUGACAGUAAGUCUGAUCAUAAAAUAUACGUUUGCAAAUGGUUAGGAGAAUUGCAGUAUGUCCUGACAUUAUCAUGAGUGUAUUUCUCAGUACAGUUUGGACAGGAAAAAAUUAUAAUGUAAGAGAGAGAGAAAAAAAAAAGAGAAAAAAAAAAACAGCCUAAUGUGGACAGAGAUGAGACAAGGGCUAGCUGUUGUAUCAGAUGUAACAGAUGUGUAUAAAUGAUUCUUUUUUCCUACGUUAGAGUCCGCACCAUCCAAGUAUUUAAAGUUUCCGUGAGAGGUCACCGUUCUUUGGCUCUUUUUGGGGUCAGCAGGUCAUGCACUGUUGAAUUAGACGUACGUGAGUGAGCGGGUGUGUACUUUAAUGUGUCUAGUGAGAUGCACAUCUGACACGCUCUGAACCCGUAACCCCUUGCAGUGUAAAUCCUUGGCUCAGGAACUGCAUUGCUUGGCAGGCUCUUCAGGAAACGGCAAUGGUGUGUGGGUGAGUGUGUGUGUGUGUGUAAUAGCUAGGUGUGUACUGUUUAUGUUGGUUCAGUUUGAGAUGGGUUUUUGGCUUCAAUUUUAGAAAUAUCAUCCAACAGAAGCAACACCGAGAAGGGCCACAUUAAUAAUUUUUAAAUAGAUGCACCAACAUUUAAACCAUCCUGCAACAUGCUCAUAAUCUUUUUCUACAACACGCAUCUGCAGAGUGUACUAUGAAACAGGAGAAUAUGGCUGUUCUAAUGAAUGGACAUUAACAUUUCUUUCCAGCACAGUAGUCACACAUCUGCAGAGCUUCUGUUUCUCUUAUCCUGGGCCUGAGGCUCAUUAAAGCAUGCCUGCAUUUGUCAAGAGGCAGAUCAUGUGAGCGGGGGUCAUUGACACCAAAAAUAAUUUCUAAAAAGUCAGGUUAUUGUUCGUGACUCCAGUUUAGGUCAAAGGGUUUCCUAAGGUGAUCAGUUUUGUAUUGGAUUACAUUCCUAGAGUAAUCUUCGCAGCCUUGUUCACACCAUAAAUGUUUUUAUGAGCCUUAAGCUUUGUACAGCAUAAGUCUUUCAUCUAUAGGGCUUUCAGCUGCGUGUUCACUCUGCCAAUAGGACAUGCUGUUUAAGACUUGGCAGCUAGUCUGCAGCCUCAACAGUAAAUGGUUUGCAGCUGACUUUUUUUGCACAGUGGCUUUCUAACUUUUCAAAAUGUUCCUCACUGCAGCCAAAACUGCCUCUGUGGGGAAAGGUUGCUGACCUUUAAAUGGGGGUAAGUGUCAGUCAAUCUGCAUCUUGUCCAAGUCUGUGCAGCUUGGGCAAGCUUUAUUGGUACAACAUUUGAUGCAACUGUGGAUGGAAAUUUUGUCCAGAGUCAUUAGAGCCUCACAAGCAACAUUUGAAUAGGGGACUUAGGGUGCCUCAAUUAAGAGAAACAGAUACUUUUUAAAGGCACUACUGUGAACAAAAGCAUUUAAAAAACUACACAAAUAAUUUAAUCAUAUGGAUUUCCUUCACUUUCAAAACUUGAUCCUUAAAUUACCAACUGUUGAGACUGUUUUUAGUGGUGAAGCUGGCUUCCGAUCCUGCGUAUUUUCAGACUGUAUGACUAACUGUUAGAGCGGAAGUGUGUGAGUGCGUUUGUGUGUUUAUCAGCAGUGGUUCAACCUGCCAUGGGAGAAAUUCCUGUCUACCUGACACAGCUUGUUAACCACGCAGACAGACACACUCGCACACCUUGUGUUUAAGCCUGCUGUGCUAGUUCUCUGUAAAAUCGACAACUAACAUAUAUCUGGAAGGGGAGUUAUAAUAAAGAUAAUAGAGCUUACUGUGUGUGUGUGUGUUGGUGUGUGUGUGUGUGUGUGUGUGUGUGUGUGUGCAGGAGGGUUAAGACGGAGAGCGAACUGGGGAGGGCUGCAUUUAAUUAUUUACAGCUGAGCAACUGAAACGCCUCUCUCCCUCUCAGUCUACCCUAUAAUCCAGAGUUAGGUUAUAAACACAGUUAAAGUUUCCAUCUCUCUACCUCAGCCUGGGUGGCCAAACUGUGUGUGUGUUUGUGUGUAUCUGUGUGUGUGUGUGUGCCUGUCAGUUUUUGUUUUUCUUGCUGAAUCUUUGUGGAUAAAUGUCUGUAAGCGUGUGUAGUUUUUGUGGCCACGCAGUGACCUUUCAUGGCCCUGAUUAUGUUUGUUUCACCUCAUAGGAUCAUAUGAUUUGAUUUUGUUUGUCUAAACAGACGGAGAUGACAUCACUGCAGGAUAUUUCCUGUUAUCUGAAAUGUGAGUUUUCUCACUGGUUUGUCCCUCUCCUCUGCCAAGAAGUGUAGGUGUGUUUGGCAGAAAAAUACACUGCUGAUGCAGCAUGGGGAGGUGAACAGUCUAGAAGAAAAUCACAGAGAGAAAACCAUCUUUAUAUCAAGUGGUAUCAAAUUCAGGGUGGGGAUGCAAUGGAAAACACAUUACAGAGCUCUGUAUCUAAGUUUUUUCACUUGUAUGACAGCCUGAAGACGGAUUAGCAUGGGAUAAAAUUAACAGGCUAGCCUUCACAUCAUUGUAUCACAAUCAUGGGUCUUAAAGGCUCUUUGUAAAGAAGUUUCAUGUUUAAACAUGUUGCAGCAGCGUUAAUAUGAUGCCUCACUGAUCCCUCUACUCAUAUGCUGUUUUUAUUGGGGUCAGAGGUCAAGCUCAGCUAAAGAGCAGCACCACUGCAGAGAAAGCAGGCAGAUGAUGGUACAAUAUAACCCUUCACUGGGUUUUGCCAUUCAACAACAUUGUAUUUGCAUGGGUUAUCAAUAACCAAGAUCAAGUUUGGAUUAAAUCAACCUGUCUAUGCUAGGAUCAUGUGUCAUCCACUCUAAUAAUAUGGGAUAUACAUAGAAACUAGACGCUCAAUGCUGAUUAUAGAGAUUACGUCCCUCUUAUUAUUCUCCUUAAUUAGGUUUUUUUCCCCUCUCAAAUACAACAAUCAACGACUAACUGUGCAAAACACAGACAAAGUCUCUUUGGUGUCACAGGCUGGUUUCUGAAGCAGAGUUUUGAAGCUCAAGUAUGGCUGUUGCCAUAUUGGAAAUUCAGACUCAGACUACAUUUACACAUGCCAGGCUAUUUUCAUAAACGGACAUUUAACCCUCUCCGUUUACAAAAAAACAAACUGCAUGCACACCACUACGUUUUCAGAAAAGUUUCCGUUUACACAAACCUGUGUAUAAAUGCCGUCAAGAGCAUAUCAAGCCUGUAGGUAGCAUUGUAGUGAGAAGCUUAAUCCCAAUUUAACCAUUCAGAAUCCCGCAUAGAAGCGACAACAACAUCCCUUCUUUCUUUCCUGCGCACAAUCUGCCGUCGGCUACCCAAAUCUCUGUUUUCCUCCAUUUUUUCUCCUUUUACAAGCAAAUGUGCAAACAGAGUCUUCCAAAACCUCCACUCUGGCCGGAGUUUUAAAAAGCAUUGCUUUCAGGGGCAAAUUCUCCGUCUGCGUCCUAAUGAAGGGUGCAAACGAUGGUUAAUGUCUCUGUUUUUAAAAAAUAACCGGGCAUGUAUGAACGGGGGCUCAAACUUACUUUACAUCACCUUGGGUCGACCUAAAGAGUAUCAGACCUUUACAUUUCUGGUAAAUAACUAAGCUCACCUGUCCGUCAACUCAGCUAUGACCCUAAUUCAGACCACUUCAGAAGAAUUAAUUACUUGCAUGCAUUAGUUGUAUUUGGCAGGAUGGCUCUGCACUGAGGGCUCCCUGCCCUGCCACAUGCUUACGUAGAAUGCCAAAGCCUACAGCAGAGAGAGUUCACCUCCUCUCUGUUUCAUGCCCAUACUUGAAAAGCCAAGGCAUGGAGAGUAGCAAUCAUUAAACCCCCCAGGACAGAACAGAGCCAACAUCAGUGACACUGUAUAUGACACUAGUAAGAUCAGACCCUGCAUAAGAGGUGGAGCUGGGUAGCAAAGCUGUUGUGGAGGAAGCAGCCAGAGAAAUCAGGCUGAAGCAGUUUAAAUAGAACGCCCUCUGUGACAUUUGCCAAUUGGAAGCGAGGAAGGUUAUCAGCUGAGCUAUCAGCAGAUAUGGUAUGGUGUGAUGAGCAGCUGAUUUGCUGUAGGCCAAACUUGACUUUGUGUCCUGCCUGAACUGCCACUAUGCUCAACUUAUGGGAAACUUUAUCUCUUUAAAAAUUAGUUAUAUAAAUGUCACCCUUUGCACAUUGUGUAUAAAUAGAGAAAUUGGUUCAUCUGACCAAAAACCGUUACAGUGAAAAUAUUUGUUUCUGCGGUAAAACUAGACUUUAUAACAUGGGUACUUUAUAACAUUUGGCUUUUUAAAGGAACCUCUAGAGGACACUUAAGGAACUGCACUUUCUAACACUUAAACAGCAGCUAAAUUUUUUAACACUGUGACUGGUGUUUGCAACCAACAUUAUAAAAAUACUUGAUUGAAAUUCAAGAGCCAAUUUUGUCUCCUUAGAUUUAAUUUUGUUUAGGCCAGACUUUAACCCAUUAAGACCUGAACCCUGUCUGAGACACGCCUCUGAAAUCCUGAGGGCAAUUUUAAGAAAGGGCCCCCAGAUCCUGAGGUCUUCUGAAGUGUUGAGGUUUACAAAAAAGCUGAUAUCUCAGCCUCUGUUGCAGGUAGAUACAAAAUUCAUAAAGUAUUUGAGAGCUUACACAUGUGGCUUUCAAGAUGAUCUUUUAUUUUUCUAAACCUUCAUGAAAUUAUUGGAAACCUUGAACAAACAAACUUAAAUGAAAUAAAGUGGCUGUAUAAAUAAAAGUAAAGGCUCUGCACUGGAGAAUAACAAACAAUUUGCUUUCUGUAAAACAAGUGGCAGUCAUGAUAAAGUGUCCAUUCAAUACAAAUGUAAAUAGAAAAAAUAAAGCAUUGAAAGGGUAUGCAACUGCCCUAGUAUAGUGCCAGUACAAAAACAGCUCUAAAAACAAAUAAAUACAUUUAAGUAAAUAAGUAAAUAAAGAAGUGUCUGACAGUGUGUUCGUGUCUGUGCUCACCCAAAGUCAUGCAACACUCUCAGAAAACACCGAUAGUGUGAGCCAAAGCACUCAAUAUGAAGAGGUUGUUCACACUGCUGGAUGCUUCUCCUCCGAAGCUGCUCUCUGCCUCUGUCAUUGUUUACUUUACUCACGAAGCACAUAGCGAGAUCAAAGCAUGAAUCCAAUCACUUUUUUAAGCUUUAUUAGCCUAUCAGUGGCAGUAUGAUGGCGGUAUGAUGAUUUGAUUUACCACGACUCCAGAAACGAUUGAAAAACUACAGAAUGUUACGAAAUGACGUACAUGCUUCUCCCGGCUUGAAGGGUCGAAAUGCCUACAUGCACUACAGGCCGAGUAGAAGUGUGCAGCCGCACUCCUGGCUUGGAAGGUUGAAAUGCAUACAUGCUGUCCCGGUUUAAAUGGGUUAAGGGUACUCCACUCUGCAGUUAAUCUCCAUUGUCAGGAGUUUCAAAACACAGGUUUAUGUUAGUUGAGGUGACACUUUAUUUACUAUUAUACUGCUAAUACUAUGUUCCCCAAUAACAGCUGAACUGGACUAGACACAGCAUUUCAGUGGUUGUAGUACGAAUUUUUGAUUUUUCUCUGGUUUGUAAGCAGAGCUGAUUUCAGACCUCACAGUUUUACUGUGUCUCUGGACUGUCAGCCUUGCUCCAUUUGAUAGAAAGCGGUCAUGGUUAUAACGUAUUCUCUAUUUGGAUCAAAAUAUAGCUCCCUCUUAAUUCUCACACUUAGAACUGUAGCAUAUUGCACUUUAAGCAACACUCUGCUUCGAAAUUUGUUUAGAUUAAACAUGUUUUUUUAGUUGCCAAAUCUCAGAUUUUGCUGUUGAACUUGGCUUCAGACAUGCAACAUUGUUCAGAGCCAACCAGAAGAGCGACAACACCUCCAAAUUCUGCCGAAAGUCUUUCUCCCUUUCAGUGUAUCUUGAGUCUGUGUGACGUGUGAAAGAGAGGUUGAGGAAAGGCCUUAUAGAUCAUAGCUCAGUGUAGCACGGACAGAAAGAUAGAGGCAGCAGUCCCACCAGUCUAACCAGCCAUGAGAAGCUGCUGUCAGACUCUUUAUUUCCCUUCUGGGAGAACAGAGAGUCUGCUGGAGCUCUGACUGAGUGGAAACACAUUUAUGGCCCUCUGAGAGCAGUGCUGUGUGGGUACCUGUGUUGCAGCUUGGCCAGGGGUCUGUUAUGUAAGGUUCUCCUGUGAGUGUGUGUAUGUGCGUGUGUGUGUGUGUGGUUGUGGAGGAAUGCGAGCUCACAGCUGUAGCAAUGCUGAUUAUCACAGCUGAGGUGACUGUUUAGAGGACCUAAAUAUAUCUUUAAGCAGGGCAUACAGUGACACUUUGACUCAAGUGUUUACUGCCACAGCAGAGAAAUUACUCCAGUUCAGGCACUGUGUUUUGUGGCACUUGGUGGUGGUUUUACAAGCUGCUUCUGAUCUACUAUGUUAAAUAUAUACAAAACAUAAACCAGUAAGAAUAACAGCAAUGUGAACUAGUUAUAGUUCAUAAAGCCUGGCAGUAACAGACUAAUGGAAGCAUACAUCACAAAAGAAAGUAGGCCCGUUUCCCUCAAAACUUUUGCAACUUUCAGCCCACUGGAGUUUUUUCCCAGACAAUUAUCUUGGUCCCUUCUUGCCUCUGAAUUUCUUCUGUACUUCACGGUCUCUUUGUUCAAAAAUUCUGACUUGAAGGUGAUCACAGGUGUAAAGCUUUUUGAAAACAGUAGCCAACAUAAAAGGUGAAGAUAAAAUAGGAGUUAAAAUAUGAAUGUUGCUAAUAGCAGUGUUGCAGGAAAGGUGAGUUUGUUGAGUGUGUUAACUAUUGAUUAAAGUUUUUUUUAAAGUAGUUGAAGCUGUGAAAGUGAGUGUAACUGGACAAAGUGAUAGAGGAAAGAGAGAAGUAGCAGGAUGGUAUGAGAACUUGCUGACUCCACUUUUGGCUGUUAAGCAUAUAGAGAGCCUCUAUAUGAUCUGUGGGUGGCCUGAAACACUUCAGUGAGAGAUGGGAGGGCAGUUUGAGCUUGUUCUGUGGAAAGUGAGGCCAGCCAAUCCUCUCAAGUCUUACAUCAACAUCAGCAUGUUAUUGAUGUGCUCUAUUUUAAGGUGAAGGCUUUCAGAGUCCCUUUCUCUCUCUCCCUCCCCCCGUGUCUGUGUAUGCUUUGAAAACUCCUCUCACAGCAAAGCUAUGUGAAAAAAUAAGCCAGUCUGGCUAACUUUCCCUUAAGUUAAUGAUUUAGAAGAGGUGUUGGCAGCCUAAAUUAUCACCUCCUGAAAGGAACCAUUGAAAUCACAUACGCAAAGCUCACAGAUCUGCAGCAGAGCUCCACUCACCCAACCCAAAUAAGAAAAAAGUCUGUUUAAAACUGUAAUGAACCAUGGCUUUUCAGCUCUUUGUCAAUCCAAGCUUCAAAAAAAUCUUCUGAAGUGCCAAGAUUAUGUGAAUAAAAUAUGGGUCAUGGCCUAUUUUCAGCCUGGGAACACAGUUUUGGAAAUACUAUCGGUCUGCAGAGGUGUUUUGGGCUGUUUUUUCAAGACAAACAGAUUAUGAGAUGAAAUCUGCCUGGGUGAUAAAACUCCAAUAAUCUGAAGACACCUUUCCUUUAGCGAUAAAUUGCUGUGAGACUCUUUUUCAAGGUGUUACUCCUCUGAGCUCUUUCUUCUGCUAGGCUGCAUUCAGGUGUGUGCAGGUUAACCAUGCAAACCUUAAAACACUUAACUGAUGUAUUAGAUGGUUCAUCUUCUGGCCCCACCCCCCGUGGGCCUCUUUUUGCCAAUCCUCCCAUAUGAAAAUGAUGAGAUGAAAAACCCCCCAGAUGAAAGAUCAGAAAGUGAGCCGGUGUAAUAUGACGGCUAAAUUGACUGCAUUGGACAGACUAAGCCGACUGUUCUGAAGGUCUAAUGAAAGGUUUCUUUGAGAGGCCAUGUCAGCAGUAGAAUAGAGGUAAAAUAUGUUGGCCCCCUCCUCCUCCUCCUCCCUCUCUGUCCCUCUCCCCACCUGUCUUCAGCUCUGCUAUCUUUUUCUUCCCUCACUCUCUCUCUCUCUCUGGGCUGAAAAGACCGCCUGUCUCUGAUAGCCAGAGUUAUUAUCAGCUCUUAUAUUGGCCUGAGGCCUGUAUGCAUGUGACUGAGGGCAACAAACACUCAUCAAAAGUCUGAUCUAUAUCAUGUAUAGCGUUACUUAUGAGGCUCAGUAAGUAAUGAGGUUAAACACUGCAUGUGUUUUCCCACAUUCAAGUAACUAUUCCUAAAAUAGGGCAAGUUUAUACUCCCAUACUUGAAAACUUCACACUUCUGCUUACCUAAUCUUUGUCCCAUUGAGGGAAUCACAUGAAUUCCUACACCAGUAGGCUAUUUACAGAGCCUAUGAGCUGACAACAUAGAAUCAAGUAUUAGCCAAUACCCCAGUUUGUUUCUCAAUUGAUGAUAUAAUUAUUAGCAACAGAAAAAGUGGAGAGAGAUGAACAGUGGAGUGGCAUGCUGGACUGGUUGAAGACCAGAUGGGCUGCUGUUCAGGGGGGCAUGUCAGGAAGGAGUUGCAUAAAUCAAUGUGUGACAUACUUGUGCAUGUCAGAACUUAUUAUCUUUAGUGCUAAAAUCAAGACAUGAGGGCUUCAAGAGUUUACUGAACUAGUUUACAAACACACACCAUAUUACACUUGUUGCGGUUCAGUAUUGUGAGAUAUUGUGGCACAGUUGCUGGUUUGACUGACGUGGGCACGUUCAUAGUCUCUGUCUGUUAUCAGUAAUCAGUUUCUUGAUGAGCUAAAAGUUUUGGGUGUCAAAUAAGGUGCUUGCCUCACGAGCCUUCUUCAGAAACCCAUGAAGUGUACAUGGUAAGUGAGGAAAUGCAUAUUCAGUUGACUAAGCGAUUAAACAUUGACACCCUUGCCAGUCAGCAUCCGAUAUAUGUGCAAUAUAUAUACAAUCAUAUGCUAUGCCCAAGCUGUAGCACAGUCACCCACCACUAGUGAGCACUGGAGCUUUGGUAAAUGGCCACUGCCAUAAUCCAUAAUGCAAAAAUACUUGACCAUGUGUAUGUAAACAGCACAUACAACAGUUGGCAUCCAGUUGCAUGGUAUAUUUAGGCAGUAAUUUGAUCUGGACAAUGGAGAUAUAAAUGUGUGUAGUUUGUGUUAAACUGGCCAGUAACCACACGACUGUAGCAAUGUGUAACCAUGCAUGUGGAUGAUGAUGUGCAAAGAGGGCUAAAGGUUUGUGGUGCCGGUGUUCAACUUUGAUGAAUCUAUGAGUGUUUUCUUACUUUCACACUGGUCAGUCAGGGUUUCAAUUCCCAUUUGAAGAGUUUGGAAAGUAGUCACUUUAAAACAUCACUAAUAAUAAGCGGCUUCAUACUACUGAUCUACGAACCGGGUGCACUGAGGAUUGUGUCUGUCAAAGGAGGAAAACAGCAAUCGAUUUAGCGUGUUUGCCUUCAUGAAUAUGCAGAAUGUAUGUAGAUCAUCAGAACGCGCAAAAUACUGGGAGUAGCAGAUGCAAAUGGAAUCAUUUAGCACCCGCAAUGUGAUUUAUCAAACCCGGAAAUCGAUUGUGGUCGCUGUUUUGCGUCUAUGGUUAGCACCUUUGAAAGGCAGGUGCAAGCUGGCACAGCGUUACACACAAAUGGCCAUGGGGGGGAAGGAGGCAGAAGUGCAAUGAUAGACGACAGAGAGAGAAUUAGAAUAAGAAUAAGAGUAACUUUAUUGAGUCGUCUGUGCACAUGUCAACAUAUUUGGACUGUCAGAAAUAAAAAUAGUAGAGUAAUAGUAACAGAUAUGCCAUUUUUGAGCUGCCGGGUGACCUACGGGCUGAUUUGGACCCAGUCACAAAAGUGAUCCAUGCCAUAUGUCCUAUUGAAAAACACUGCAUUUUCCUGCAUCUGGAUAAUUAUAUAUAUCUGUUUGUCUUAUUGGUUUUAAAUGGUUUUAAUCCCUUUUUAGAUUUCUAAUUUAUUUUCUUGCAUCUGUAAAGCACUUUGAAUUGCUUUGUGUAUGAAUGGUGCUCGACAAAUAAACUUGCCUUGCCUGCCUUGGCUUGGCUUUUUUAGUUCGCACAUGCAAUUUAGCGUCCCUUAUUUGGUGCCUUAGUAUAUCAGUCACUACAAGUUUUACUUUAUUGUAGCUGCCACUGCCUUUUGAUACAAAAUUAUAAAUUUUGGAGCAAUUUUGGAGUGAAAUUUAGAUGCUGUUGGACGGCGUGUAUCAGGAAGAGCGGCAAUACUGGCUUUCACUCAUGCUAACAGAUUUUGUUUUCUGUAUUUGCAUGUUUUCACAUUUGUUCUGCUAUUUUUUUUUCGUUAGGUCUCUUUUUCUGCCUUUUUAUUCCAGUGAAUUUUUAUUGAGAGUCAAAUUAAGACAGUUACCCCACUCUCCCCCAAAAGAACUGAUCUGGGGAUAAAAAUCUGCCAAAUUGCCAAAUAAAGAUGCUCCAUGUUGCAAAUCAAUAAAUCUGUAAUGAACUUUAGAAUAUGCAAGUAAGCAAAUGUGUCAAUCAACUCCUUUCCACACAGGAUCCUUGUUUUCCUCUAGAAUUAUUAAUAAUCUGUUAUUUUUUACUUAUCACUGGUUGUCAAACCAGCAAAUAAGAGACAGUUUUCUGUCAGACAUUGUUUAAGUCAGGCUGUUCAAAAGUCAGACAAUCAUAUCAGAUUAAAUCAGGGUUUUAGUACUACAGUAAGUCUUACAACAUCAUAUGUUCCUUAUAUUAGUACAUAGUCAAACUCAUGCUUUGGAAGUGUUUUUGAACAUCUCUUUACAGCAAGAAACGCUGUAUACUGUGCCAGCAUAUUUUACAUUUUAUACGAGAUGAUCUUGGGAUUCAAACUGUGAACACAAGUGCCAUUUAUCCUUGUUUUUUGUUCCAUCCUUUGAGUCACAUAUUUCUGUAUGUGUCUUCAUAUGUAUGUCUUUGUGUGUCUAUGUAUGUGUGUGUGUGUGUGACUGAGAGUGCGACUGAGUGUGUGUGUUUGUGUGUCUGUGCUAACAGAGGGAGUUAUUCCAGUACAGCUACCAGCUACCUUUGAUGGUCCUUGGUGAUUUAUGGCAACAUUAAAAGGCUGUUGCCGGCGUUUGCAUUUUUAUUUUAUGUUUCCUCUUCCUUGCAUGAAGAGACGCUGUGACUUAUUAGUGCGACAGAUUCUGCAGAGGACAGUUUUUUCGUCGUGUGUAAAGGGGCGGGUGGGUGUGUAGGGGGUGGAUCAGUGAGACUGCAGUCUAUGCUGCAUGAAUUUCAAUGAUUAGAUUUAAACCUCAUAUCACACUUUUCCUGGAAAGUUCUGUGCUUUUGAAAGACAGCGGAAAAAAUUAAUGGCUUUGCAGAUUUUAAAUAAUGCUAGGUCAGGCAAAAUUGAUGGAAAUUUGAUAUAUUGAAGUGCACAUGGACCAUCUAACAGAACCAGAAGGGAAUGAGAUAAACUCACCUGGAUGCCCAUUAAUGACAGCUGUUGUGUUGAUGCUAAAGAAGAAAAAAAAACUGCCGCAAUGCAUCAGUGGAUUUAUUGACUUUGACAGUUCUGUUAAAAUCAAAUUACAUUAUUGUUCAAGGACAUGUGCUUUUACACAAUGUUCUUUAUAAGUGUCGGGAUGAACACUGCUGUUGACUGUUCAAACUGCAGCUUCAGACAGAAAUUAGAUCUGACACCACCUUGCAUCAAGCCCCUGGGCAAGUGAAAGACAAUAUGUUGUUCUAAUAUGCUAAUUCUGCAUUAAGAAUUCAGUGAAAAUGAGUGUGUGAGAUGAUCACACCAUUAAAAGUUAGCAUUAGCAAUGUAGUAUGUUAAUCAGGCCAGAUGGGACCAUUCUGCUUGUGUAAAUUAACACUCUGCCUCCUCCUUGUCAGACCUGAAGAUUAUCCAUGACAGGCCUUUGAGAACGUUUUUACAAUGUAUUAGAAUUACACAGAAUUUGUGUAUAAAAAAUGUCACCUGAAACAUUCAUGAUGAAGUACGCAUUUUGAGAAAAAUUAGAGAAUAGCUCCAAAUUAAAGCAUCUGUGGCGUGCAGUGGAUUUUGAAACAUGUCCUCUGUGACUCUGGACCUGCCUCAUCUCUCCUGUUGCGUGCACUUUACAAGAACAUAGUGUUUACUGCUCAUCUCUGCAUGAUUGUUACUUUAAUAAAACCUUUAAAUCCCAACACACCACAUGUAUUUGAUUAUUAUCCUCAAUAUUUCCUGUGAAACAUCCCAAUCUAUUAUCAAGACUAUAAUCCAGAUUAUUUCAGUGUUUUAAAAAGUGAGAGAUCUCUUCGAUCAUGAAGCACAGAGCGUUUUAUUUUGUCCAAGCACAGCCCAUAAAAAAACGUAAUUGGUGGGAACCUUCACAGUUGAACCAACAACUUUGUCCAUGGAGGUUAAAUCAAACUAGAUUGUUUUGCCAAACUGACUACGGUCAUAAAAGAGACAUUUCUUUCCCAGGUAAUGUAGAACUGUGCAGCUCUAAAUCUGAACAACCUCCAUUUAAAUCAAUAUGUAAAGCACUGCGCUUCGAAACCAGGACAGGCUGACUCCCUGAGUCAUGACUUUGAUUUCACUCGAUUUGAGCAUGCACGUAGUUACUGUGAAAAUUAAAAGUGUGGUUCUUUUGAUGAUAAUUCGGGGUUUUGGUAACUACUUGCGAUUUGAACCCUUGUUUUCAACUUGAAGUGUAUAAAGUGUAAUUAUCACUGAGCUGUUAAUGCAAAUAACAGGCAUACAUCCAUUUCCAGUCAAUGUUUUACAAAAACAUGACCUGGUUUUCACAUCAUCUGCUCUUAAUUUAACUUGUGAACACUACGCCAGUAACUGUGCCACAUAUUUGACUUGCUGAUUUACCAAACACUCGGUCUAUUCAAGCAGAAAAUGGGCCGUAAUACUGAUUUUUUUUUUUUUUUUUCAUUUUUAGCAGCGGUGAUCAUUUCUAAUUAUGUUAGUCUACCACUCAUGGAUUACUGCAGGGAAAACAGCUGUCUGCGCUGUAAACUAACUGUUGGCUUCAGCAAACUCUCCCUGUUAAAAUCUUUUAUUUUUAUCCCCUGAAUGCUGUCAUUAUCCCAACAACACCGAACAAACUGUCUCUCACACAACCCAGCAUGUUUCUUAGGCCAAAAUCAGUAUUAGUUUUCCACCACUGUCCCCGGGCAUGUUCUGGCUCUCUGGCUUCAUAAUCCAGGGCAUAUUCUAAGAUCCUUAACCCAGCAGCAAGCUUUGUUUUUGGGCUCUAAUCCAGCUCUACUCUUGGGAGGUCCAAUAGCUCCUCCAAAACCCCUUCCAGUCAUUUUUUUGGCACGAAGGAUUUUUACUUUCAAUCACGUUGUCCCAAUCCCCGGGACAAUUAGAGGUCGUCACAGAGCAGUUUAUAGAAAGUGCAGAGCAGCAGAAUGUUGUUUUGGAAAAGUUGUUAUGGUCCCCAGUGUGGGAGAAAAGACUUCAAACUGCUACAUUAAAACUCUUGUACAAUACAGAAACAGAAAUAGCCUGCUUAUCUUUCAGUAAUUUUUACUUUCCGGAAAAUCUUGUUUGUCCAAAUCCCUGAGGAGUUGAGGUUGUCCAAGAAAAUUAAAUGUUAUGCAUUAUUCAUUCAUUGAAAUUCCUCACCAGAUUUUAUUCAAGCUCCGAGUUUGAAAUGAAAUAAGUUUCAUCCUCCCGUUGCUCAUGCUUAUUAUCUUGAUUAAAUCCACAAGCAACAGGAGCGACCUGAAGCUUUGACACACAUAGGAUGAAAAGUACCAACCGCUGCCAAUAAAUCUCUCCCAGCUGUCACAACAGUGCUGUUAUGUAGAAGAUCGAUCAAAAACACAACUAAUUUCCUGUUUAAAAUACCACGUAGAUGCUCAUUCGAGACUACCUGGUAGUGAAAAGGAGACCCAGGGCAUUUGGCACAACCAAUUCCUCUCAUUCCUUCUGUAUGAGACAAUUCAGCCUACUUUUAAUGGUGGAUAUUUGUUAAAGACCUGCAAUUUUAGAGACGGACCAUAUUUCUAACAGUGAGUAAUCAAAACCAGCCAAUGUAGCUCAGCCACCCUAAAACACAUCUAUUAGAGGUUUAAAAUAACCACGGUGCACUCGUUCACCUCUCAUCUGCUCAUGUAAACUAAACAGUGCCCUCUCUCUUUCUCUCUCUCUCUCUCUCUCUCUCUCUCUCUCUCUCUCAGAGACAGUAUCUUGUCAGCAUGAGGUCAUUGUCUGAUCCCAGCCCCGAUGAUGUCAUUUCCUUCAUAAACAAGUCCCAUUUCCUCCCAGGGGUCCAUAUCAGCUGAGCUUAUCCUGUAAGUGCUCCAGAGGGAGUGUUUUUUUUUCAGUGUCCUUCUCUCCCCUCAUGCUAAACUUAGUAUCAGUUUUGAUUAAAUUUACUCAGCUGCAUGAAUCUAAAUUAACUUUUAACUGUGUACCAGACCUUCUUUGGUUUAACAGUGUUUGGGACAGAGAAAAACAGUCUCCUUGUCUCCAACAGGGACCAGAAAAGACCAGAAACCAGUUUAGUGAGUCAGAUAUAAUCUCAAAAUCAUCCCAGAGUCUACUUUAGUUAUCCUGACUCACAGCAGGGAUUAACUGAGUGAAAGCACCUGACUUUUCACUGGGUUGUUGGUGCGGGAGUGUUUGGUUUGCACAGCAGUGUGAAUCAAGUGAGCAACCACAAGCUACAUCUCUCAGGCACCACAGCAUGGGGAAUUCAGCAGCUCCACUCCAUCUGCAGAUUUAUCCAAGUGCAGUUUGUGUUUUUGUAAAUCAGCAAGGUAAAAAGUUUGAGUAUGAGGUGAUUUUUGGAUUUUUGUAGGAGUGAGGUGCAGCUGUAGCCUGCCUGCAACAACAUGGGUUGGGUUACUGUAUUCAGCCAAAGUAAUCACACAGCCUAGAUGAGCUUUAAAGCUGCUGGUUGCUGGUCGGGGGAAAAGGGGGCUCUAAUCUGUGCCAAAAAACCCUCCUUGCUCUGUUUCUCAGGGAAGGUUGACACAGGUUAGGAGUUUAAAAACUGAAACACACCCAUGUGUUUUAACAGAUCUCCACCACAUGUGUUAUCAGCUGAGCCAUGAAUGUGGGAAAGCCCCACAGGCAGAAUGACAUCAUGGCCUGUGUAAACCUAGUUAUAGUUUAACACACACAAGGGUGGAACUGGGAAAGAGGAGGAAAUGGAUGAGAGUGUCGAAAACAACUGAUAAAGACGCCCCUUCACAGUGAGUCGCAGUUUUGCUUAUGAGUGCACCAACUGGAAAAGGUGCAAUGCUAUACCACAUUUAACAGUUUAACCAGUUAGGGAUCAAAGUCAGGGUGAUAACUCUGAUCUCAGAAUAGCAGUGUGUGCCCGAUUUGAUUUCCAGUUAGAGUGUAGACUCAGGACCAUUUUGAAUGUGAUGUUCCCAUUCCUGGCCUUUAUUGAUGUGUUUUACAACAACAUGGCUAAAGAAAUUGAUUUUUCAGCCCCCAAUUGAUUUUUUUCUGUGCACUAGCCCUUUAAAAGCUCCAGCCUAGUCAGCUGUUUAGUGUUGAAAUGUUUUAACAGUUACAGCUCCUCUGCAUGUGUUAUCAGUUUAACCAUAAUGAGCAAGAAGCCCAGUGGCAGAGUGACAUAAUUUAUAGUUUAGAGUGAACACAGAGGGGUGGGACUGGAAAAUAGCAGGGCAUCUUUGGAAAUAAGUGGACAUUAAGAGGGACUGACAACAAUGGAAACAAUGGAGCGGCUGCAGUUUGUCUGGAGCUAGGGGUUCAGGAUGACAUCCAGUUAUUCAGUCACGUUUGAAACUUGAGCAUGUUGAAGUAAUUGGUUUUGACGAGAAUACAAACAGGGAACACAGAGACUCAUCAGUGUUUAGUAAAGCAGUGGAGGACAGACUGAGGCCGCAGCACUGCAGUCUACAUGACAGACUCAUAAGAAAGAGGUUGGCUUUCUUCAGAAAAAAACACAAAUAAUCACAGAGGAUCUGAUACAAGUUUUCCAUACUGAGACGAAUUCUGUAACACAGACUUGACUACUGGAUGAAACUGAAUCUCCCCUUAACCACCUGCAUGAGUUAGGAAAGCAUGCCUGCUUUAACAUGGAAAUUGGAAAUCAGAGUGUUUAAGUCCUUAUACUAAUACUUAUACCUACAAUAUAACCUAUAGCUGGGCCUUGGCAUCUGCUCCUGAUCAAUUUUGACUUCAGCUAUACUCUCAUUUUCUUCUUUGGCUUGAUGAAUCUUAAGAUGCUUGAUUACAUUUUUGUUAUAAUUUUCUACAUUGCUGUUGUCUCAAACAAACAAACAAACAAACAAACAAACAAACAAACAAACAAACAAACACACACAUAAAAAAAAGCUUUGCACGUUUUGCUAAAUUGGAGCUAUUGGCGAGGCGUUUAAUAUCUCCAAACCACUGAACUUCUGUAUUCAACUCUCUCCAUGCCACAUUAGCUUCACAGGGUAUAUUUUGGAGUUCUGUGUGCUGGUUGAACCUCCACCAACCCCUAUGUUGCUAUUGCUAUUGCUAAUCUAUCUACAGUUUCACUGAUUCACCGUAACUUUCUUGCAUGACAUGUUUUAAAACAGAAUAUAUAAGAUUGCAUCAUUGCCAGGCAAAACCAAGAAGGCAUUCAAAGCAGUCACAGAUUCUAGUAUUGAGUAUGGAGUCUUGAAGUUAAAAAGUUUCACUAUAGUUUCUCACCAUUGAAAGUGAAAUGUCAAAUAUGAUGUCUGUUUAUGUCUGAGGGGAAAAACUGAGGAACUGAUUUAUGUGAACCUUUUCAAAGUGUGUUUUAUUAUUAGAUGCCAUCACCAGCUAACGUUUAGUGAGUGUAUAGACAGCAAAUUGAGCUCAUUUUAAGAAACCUUCAGAGUUCACUGGCGUGGAUACAGAUCAAACUGCGGAUGUAAAGGAAUAAUGUUGCAGAUGAAAUAAAAUGUUUUUAAUCAAUAUAAUUAAAAUCAAUGUUGGUUUUAAAACUGUUCUAUUUUCUAAAGUCUACUGAUUUAUUUAGUGAUAGCCACUUUUUGACAGGGUCCUGCUCAUUCUGUGGGGCUCCAACUUACAAGAACAACCACUUGUUAUACAUCAUCCUUACAUAACCUAUUAUAUCUGUUCGGAUUAUUAUUAUUGAACAAUUUGGGUGUGUUUGAAAAAUCAGGAAUUUGAUAUGCUCUUCUGGUGGAGAUUGUCUGACCAGCAUGUCAUGUUAUAUUUCAAAGUAAUCUUAAUUUCCCCUCCAAUUUACGGUAUAUUAAAGAUAUUAAUAUUAAUGGACACAUUACCGAGGACAUUAUGAGCAGAGCCUCUCCUACCCCACAUGGUUUUUGUAAUUAAGGGAGGUAAAUCAGCCAAAGUCAUUUGAGCCCUGGUUCAUCCCCUGCAGCAGAACCAAAAGUGAAGCUGAAAACGACUAAUGUUGUGAAACUAAAAGGGAAAAAGGCUAGAGGGAAGAUUACAUCAUCACUGUCAUCACCACCAUGACCACUAUGCUGACCAGCACCAUCAUCAUCACCGCAUUUCUAACCACCACCAUCAUCAUCCUCCUCCAGAGCUCAGCACACUUGCAUAUUAACUUAGAGAUUUAAAGGCCUGCUGGAAAGAUGACAUCAUUCCCUUUUCCUCCCCUAUAACUCUCAAGGGUUCGACUGACAGAGUCGAGGAGCAGGGAAGUCGUUUUGUAGAUGAUGUGAUGUGCUGGCAUCUUAGCAGGAAUUGUCAGCUGCUUUGCUGUCUGCAUCUCACAGAAAUAAAAAGAAGCCUGAAGGAAAGUCGACAUCAUCCUCAUGCUGCAGAACAAUCGCUGGCGUCCCUAAUCCUCUGACAUAAAAUUGACAUAUGUCUGGCAGAGGGGAACUAUACGACGACAAUGGAAAUCAUUUGGCCCUUCUGCAGGAAUCGUCAGCUGUUUGGCGUUGUGGAAACAGAGGGGAUUGAAGUGUUUUAGCAGGACGGGCCUCUUGCCAGAGACACGGCCCAUGAACUGUGAACGCGAGGGUUCAAACCUUUCUCAUGAAAUGCUGUCACACUCUUUGUGCACUGUGUGUUCCAAGUCUAUCUGCACUGUAAUGUCUAAAAAUCGGUUAAUGACCCUCUGGAGUGUGACUUCAGUCCACCCUCGGGCUAAAUGAUAUAAUUCCCAGACACUGGGAGCAUGGUGUAAAACUCGAAACUGAUAUAAAAUCGAGGAAACGAGAACACUGAAAUCAUUUCAGAAACCACAACCACACUGGCAAGCUCGAAGUUUAAAACCCUAAAACGGCACCAUGUUUGACUCCAAACUCUGAGCCUCCUCCCUCCAAAUGGUUUUGAUUCUGGAACGUAAAUUAGUGAAACUUGGCAGCAUAGAUUCAUCCCCCAUAAGUGCUUGAGGGAAAUCAGUCAUCUGUGUUAAAGUAAAACCAAAAGUGCUGAAGGCAAAAUGGAUUAAAUCCCCCUGGCUAGAGCAAUGCUAACUGAUUUAAAUAGUUGAGUGUAGCGCUUCUCUGGUGGAUUAGCCACCUUUAAAAGUGACAGCAUGGUGGGAAAUGAUGACCACAGCGCUGGAAAGGUGUGUGUUUGUUAGCUGUCAGCGGUUUCCUGAGCAGAGAGUGAGAGAGUGUUUGUGUAUUUGUGGUCAAGGAUGUUCCACAGGAAAAAAAAAAAAAGCUAAAUGCUCAAAAGGCCAGAGACACACUUGUUCAACCACACACUCUCUCACUCUCUCACACACACACGCACGCUCGUACACACACACACACACACACACACACACACACACACACACACACACACACACACACACACACGUGAUAGCAAAGUGGUGUGUUUUCACAGAGAGCUGACAGGGAGUUGAUGUCAUCUUGCUCUCAAAUCUAGCUGCUGAAGUUAAUGUGUGGGUGUAAGAUAGGAGUUUGUGUACAUAUGCUCAUUGCUACUGUGUAGUGAGAGUCUAUAUCUGCUGUUUUUAUUAGUUUUACAGAAGUAAUUUUAAAAAAAAUGAGAGUUGAAAAUACAGCUUACAAUCAUACAUAGAACGUGGGUUAGUGUUCUUUUAUUCCUGCGCAUGUAUGAAUCACAUACAUGUGCUGUACCAAUUUCUUUUUUCAUGUUUUCUCAACUGCAGUUCCUCUGACAACCACUAGAGGCUGACUACAUGAAAAGUCCCUCUGUAUUCAAGAGGAGAGUUCCUCUAUUUCUACCUUGAAAAAAAAAAGAAAAAUCAAAUUAGGUUUUAACACAAGACACUGCAGUCACGUUAUUACUUUCAGUGUUUGUCUUUCGAGGAUUGGAUAUGAGUUAUAUCAAAAAGUUAUUAGGGUUUAAAGAGAGGUUUGAACAGGGGUUUGAUUGACAGGGAGCUUCAGCUUAACACCCAUGAAUGUGCUGAUUGGUAGAUUCUCUCACCAGGACACAUGGUUUGAUUGUGUUAUAAGCUUAUAUUACACUUAAUAAUCUUAUCAGUCCUAAAAUAAUUUAUUACAUUAAGAGGGUUCAUUGCACUUGUUUGCUCUAUAGAUUGGUAUGCUGAGAAAAUCAACCAAAGGAGUCUUUAAUGUCCAAUGAUGAUAUGAUGGACUUGACUCUGGACUAGGUUCAAAGGAUACUUUCAUAAGAAACUGUCAAUGUCAUUUAGUUCCCGGGCUGCUUUGUAAAGCUCACAUCUUAUCGCGAUUAGUAUGUCCUCUUAAAACAGAUUAUGCAUAUGAGCAUAAAUUUUGUAAGCGGACAAAGAGAUUACAGGCGUCUCACAGGCUGAGAUUAUUAUGAGAUUAUUAUCUUUACAGAGAGAGGUGUUGUCCUCUAGAGUUUUAGAGGACUUUUAACAUAAAUGAGGAGGGAAAAAAAAUUGUGAAAGGUAAAAGGAGAAACAGUGACCGUGCUAAAGUCCUGGAAACCAUAAGACUUUAGAGAGGGGUUUGAACUUUUGACCUAAACACAAUUCAUAACUGUAUUACUCUUAGUAGAAACUGCUACUCUAGUAAAAAUUGUAAAUACAGAUACCAAUGUAAUUCUUCCUUUCCAUUAUUGUCCCUAUAGAUAUCAACAUUAGCAGACUAAAACUAUAUUGUAGAUAUCUGAAACUAAAGUCCAAAACGUAUGAGAGGCAAAAGUGAGAUCAUUUGUACUAUUAGACCUGAUAUUGUGGAUAACUGAAAUGUUAAUUUUGGCUGGGAAGAAUUGGAUUGCAGAAAUGUGUUUAAUUAUUUCGGUCUACCUUUGGCAUUUUCAUACUAGGGCUGCGUGAUAUGGCCUCAAAUCAAUAUUACGAUAUAUUAAGCAGUUCACCUCAAUAACGAUAAAAGGGUGAUAACUACUCCACAAGCUGCUCACCCCCUCCCACAUUAACUUUGUCUACUUUAGCCGCCGCUCCAGCCGCUACAACUUUUGAACCGUCCUCCAUCUCCUCACCUGUCUUUACCUCUUUGUUACGAACUGGAUGGGGUGGAGUCAUGUCUCCGACGUAGGACAGCAUCGCAAAGGGACAUGAGACCAUAGCCUACCUACACACAUCCAUAACCAACUUUUAUCUAUUUAUUUUUUUGACACUGAAUAUAUUGACAUGGGCAAAAUGACAUUGGUUAUUGUUGUAAAAAAAAAAAUUAGAUAUCGGUAAAUUUUCGGUUUAGCGCCCAGCCCUAUGUCAAACCAUUUGCUUUUUAUUAAAAUCUACAAACAGCUCUUGGACAGCCAUCAAUCUGCUGCUAUGACAAUGUAUCCAAGUGCCAGUUAACACAAGCAACCACUCAUUUACCGGAAAAUGCUUCAGGACAUUCAAGCCAGGACAUUAAGGUCUGUAUUGUUAUCUGACUAAGUGCUGGUUACAGCCAUCAUUCUUGUAGACUGGAUCAUUGUGAGACUCCAGCCUUUGGGUUCUGAGAUUGCUGUCAAUAUAACUGAGACCAUUUCAAGCAGUCAUCUAGUUUCUUUAUCUACAUGUUGUGCCUCUUACUCACGCAUAUACUGUAGAGAGUGGUCAUGUUUAUGAUGUCAUCCAUUUGAAUUAAGAUUUAUGUGCAUGCAGCGUGUACAGCUCAGGAGAUGGCUCAUCCAGUGGGUUCCCACAUGAUCAGGAAAAAGAGUGAGUAACUCCUGUUAUUGGACCACUGGAUUUCGUACUCCCAUAUAUGGGCUUGUGGGCCUUACUAAUCUGAAUCACUGAUUUAAAAUGAAUGACUCAAAUGAGAAGGAUCAGACUCGUAGUAGUGAGAGCAGUUCAGCUUUCACGUACAGGUGCACAACAUGCUGUGUUUGACUCAGGCCUCUGUGGGGUGAUGGCAUCACUGUCUGAAUAAUAAUAAAAUCUGAAGCCCCCAGUGCCCCGUAUACCAUAAUCCUCAAUGUGACUUGCUCUGUGACUCACGUGAGUCACACUUGUGUCCUAAGAGGAAGGAUUGUGUUUGAACCAAAGAGGAAAGAAGUCUGCUGGCUGAAUCACCAGGGCUGUACCAACCAUUUGACUCAUGUGCGGAGGUUCAUAAAGGGACUUCCCCGUAUCACAUCCGAAAAUAUGAUCCCACUGUAGGCUGCUAUAGUCUCAGGCUAGCACAGAUAGCCAGUAUAUGAGACCCUAAGUACAAAAUAAACAACCCAUUCACUACAGUAAGAAUACAUUCCUUUGAUUUAAGUGAAUCUCCAGUCCUCACACAGGGAUUGAAAAAAAAACAAGCUCCCCUCACAAGUCCGAUCUAAAAACCAAAUGUUGAAACUGAGCGGUGACCUCUGGUCCUGAGAAAUGGUGCUGAUGUGGAAGUGAGAAAAAACAGCAGUUCCUCAAGUGUCCACUUGAGGCUGGCUGCAAAAGCAGAGACACUGAACACACACUUACUCACAGGGGCCUAUCUUUAUAGUAAAAAUAAACAUGUUUUUGUGCUCACCGGGACAUAGUCAGCAUUUCUAAUAUGGUGACUACUGCUGAUAGACUAAUGGCAGACUUCACUGAGACAACAGCCAUGUACUCUAUGGACUAUGGUUGAAACUAGUUUCUAACAGUAGUCAUGUCAUUGUUUGGACGCACCGUAAACAUUUAGGAUUCAUCCAAACUUAAGCGUAGCAUCGAUUAUUAAAAUGUUGUUGCAGAUGUGUUAUCACUUCAAAUCCAUGAAAACACCUCUUCAAUAGGGCAUUUGUUAAGAGUUUUCUCGUGUGCGAUAGUCUAUGAACUGGUUAAAGGAUAAAAAUACCUUUUUUAGUCCUGCUAAUAACAACCAAAAAGGUAAAACAUGAGAAAAGAAAGAGUUUAGGUGUUAAUAAAAAUAUAAAUAGUAUCAAAAAACAAGUGUUAACUCCAACACACCUAAAAUGAACAGUACUUUUUUUUUGUGUGUUUUUUUGGAAGAUAAAAGUAUCUUUAAAUGGGAAAAACUAAACAGUGAGUACAAAUCCUAGUCAUCAUAUAAGUUAUCACUCAUCCUCUAAAUUAUCACAGCAUUCAAAACAAUACAUGAUGAUAACACACAUUUAAUGGAGGAUUUAAAGUGCUGAGAGUUUGGCGUGAGAUUAAACUGUCAUUCAUGCCUGCAAUCUCUGCCUGCUAUGUUCAAACUAGGCUUCAUAUGAACUAGGACAUAGAUGGUGCCAGCCAACCCUUUCACAUGUGUGCCAUGGCAGAAGAUAGUUCUUACUACCUUAAAUACUUGGGUUUCCACGUAGAGGGAGGUGUGUAAGAGGAGGAUAUCUUUUGUCGGGGUUAAUAGAGACCAAUGUAUUACAAUAAGUUGUUCAAGAAACUCAGGCAAACAGUUAGGUAACAUCAACAACACCCACUCACUAGCAGAGUGUGAACGUAUUAAUCAUUGACUGUGCUCAAGCACUGAUCUACUAGGACAUCAUGUAAACUUCAUCAUAAGAAGCUUGCAGGAAAAAAAUCUGCUAUACAGACAUUUAUGUUAUUGCACACUGCCCACACGGGUCAUGUUGGGUAAUUUCAGGAGUGCUCUGCCAGUGUGAAGAGGCUAUAUCUCACAGAUGCGGUCCAUUACUUUGAAAAGUUGACCAUUAAGGGCUACCAAAAGGGGCAGCCCUGACAUCCACAGAGCAGCACUGCUAUCAUAAUCAUAGUCAUAUUUUUCUUGAGGUCUGCUUUGGGUUUAGUUGUUUUACUGUUCAGAAGGAUAUAUGCAAUAAGAAAGACUUUGAUGGAGGAUCUAAAUUAAACUUCAACAUGUGACGAGGUGAUGAGUUCAGGGCCUCUGUGUUAUCGCAAAGUCGCCUGAGACUCUCUCCUAAUCAUUUCAGAAUCUCCUGUCGGGUCCACACUCACACAUGCGCAUGGACACAUAGUGUUGAGAUUGUCUUCCUUCCUGCAGAAUGACAAUGCUUCCUUGUUUAUCUGGUUGCCAUAAAAAACACAAUCAGCCACAAGUCAACACUGACUGACUCCAAACAAGCUGGAUUAUUGCUCUAAUUAAGCUUUAAUAAGCCCUUAUUAAACGGCCGCAGGCCUCGUUAGGCGCUUCAUUAAGUCAUUUCAUCCUUUUAUUCCUUCAUUAAGUCUCUUUUCUUCUCUCUUUUCUUCUCAGGGAGAGUGGGAGUGGUGAGGUCUGGGAGAUCACGACCUUAAUUCUCUCCAAGACAGACGGUUUAAUUAACACUAGAGGAAUCCUCACUGGCUCCAGACCUCUUCGAAGGGAAUGUGCAGGGGAAUUGGAUUGCCAAGGUGAGACACCAAGCUAAUGUGUUUUUUACUGGCAAUAUACACUAAUAACCUUUUAAAUUACAGCUACCCUGUUCCCUGAAUUUAUGAUGCAAUUAGAUGGUAAUAUUCAAUGCAUAAAAACAUACAAAAAUUAUGAAUAUACACAUAAUUUGGCAGUGUUUUAGAGCAGCGCCGGAAAAUGAAAAACACUGGUUUAAUUUAUUGCAAUCACUUUCUUAUUGCUUUAUUUUUUAAGCAGAACAUCGGAAAUAAAGAACCGAAUGUAAAUGUAAAAUAUGUUGCAGUUAAUCAAAAGUAAAUAAGAGGGCAAAAGCAACAUGGGUUACCAUCUGUUGCAAUCCUCCCACCCCGCUUUCUGCACAAAAGCAUGUGCAGUUUCCCACACUUGUCACUGACAUUUCAGUAGCACUUUUGCAAAAAUUCAGAGCAAAGCUGUUACAACACUUGUGUGAAGUUUGUUUUGUGACAGUUAGAAAAAGGAAUCAUCAUAUCAAAUGUCGAAAUUUCAGAAACUUGCAAAACUAAGUCUGAGUGUGAAAGUGAGAAGGAGGAGACUUUCACAACAGUUUAAAAUCAGCCAGAAGAGGCAGGUCAGAAAAAUACUUAUAUAGUUAAAAAAACAGGCAUUAAAUGUCUUAAAGGGUGUUUAUUUUAAUGUUCAAAUCUAAAUAGUGGAUAUCUAUAAAGGUUAACCUUUAGUUGUUGUAGGUGUUGUGACAUUGGUUUCUGUUUCUGUGGUUAACAACAUGAUGUGACCUUUGGCUUCAUUUAUACCACCACAAUAUCCUCUUGAAACAGCGUGUACGUCAAUUUCAGGACGCAUCAACAUGUUUUAGAACAGCAUGUUAUGGGGAUGUCAGCAUUUUGAGAUAUAAAAGGUUGACUUGGAUCCAAAUUGGCUGAAUAAAAGUAAAAAAAUAAGACGUGUAGAGAGCAACAUGAUUCAAAGGGACCCAGACUUCUUGGAAGAGCUAAAUUUAACUUCAACACCCUUUGAAGAGUGCAAUGUAAAGAGUUUACCCUCAAGCUCAGCAGUUGAAGAUUACAGUCAGUAGCACCUGCUUGUUGCAGAGUCUGCUGUGUCUGGGGAUUUCCAUUAUUCACAGGUGAACUUUGCACGCAGAAACCGUUUCCUUUUCCCUUUUCACAUGCCAAUAAACAGCACCUGAUGGGCUGUUUGCUGUUAAUAGUAAAGAAAGUCAGACCCGAGGGCAGUCUGAGGGGAAACAGCUGUCAUAGCUCCAACAUUAUGCAGCUUAUUACUGGCUCAGUUUGAAGUUAUGGUAUGGACAUGGAUAGUCUGUGCCGCAAAGAUGACUCAAAUAGAAAAAAGAAAUAAUAAUCAGGUAAAUAAACACACCAGAGAUCAGGAGCUGGGUGGCUGUGGGUGCAGGUGUGUAUGGAGAGAGACAGUGAUUAAAUACUCAACCAGUGACACGGUUACUGGAGGCUUGAUUUAUAGGGAGACUUGGCCAAAUUUAGCCCUCUGUUUUGACUGAAGGGGGUGUGCCUGUGAGAUAAGGCAAGAGAGGGAAGGAAUGUGUGUGUGUGCGUGCGUGCAUGUGUGUGUGUGUGUGUGUGUGAGCAUGCGUUUGCAUGUUUAUUAUCAGUUUGGAUCCUGCUGAGGUGACAGAUGUUCAUGACAGAGGUAGGCAGAGAGGAGAGGCAGCGUCCAAAUUAACUCGUGUGUGUUUGUGUUUGUGUGGAAGUCAGGAAAGCUGUCCUUCACCUGUCUCCGUUGUCUUCCUGACACUGUGCAUGCGUAUUAGCGUGUUUGUGUGUGGGUGCCAUAUGUUGGCAUGAUUCAGUGCAGACAGGUAAGACUUCCACCUUCAGCCUUGAAAUGAUUGAGUUUCCCGAAGCUUCAGCAGAUGCUCGAACCCCAGGAUUCACCCUUUGCCUCCUUCUAUCUUUUCCUUUCUACCUAUCUGUUUUUUCCUGUGAGCUCCUGUUUCCCUUUUUAUGUUCUUCUCUCCUAGACUCCUUCCCUUACCUAUUUUGACUGACUGCUGCACUAGAUCAUUUAUUUCAGCUGUCUCGGGGCCAAUUUGGAGAGGAAAACACACACAUAUACAUACACCUACUCAACACAUAUAUAUGGACUGCAUUCUUAUAGAGACAGACAGACAGUACUAAGGCUGCAGAUAUGCACCCACACAGAGUCAGCGAGACACAAGGUGGUUAUGCAAAAUUAAAGCUCCUGUGUAGGAAGACGCACACAUGCACAUCAACACACACACACACGCCCUAUAUGUCAAGUGAUUAGUUACACAAUUAGAACUAUGAGGCCCCUGAAAAAGCAGAAGCUCUGGCUGUUUGUACCUUUGUGCAAGGAGAAAUGAAACUUGUGAAAUACAAAAAUCUCCUGCCAAUUUUAGGCGCCAAUUUCUCUUAGCUUGCUGCCUCCUCAACACGACUUUCUCAUUAUGAUCUAGCAUACACACUAAACCCUGCCUACCUUUGUUUAAUGCGUCAUUAUAUUAAGGUGAAUCAAGAAUGUUGCUCUAGCUAUUAACCUAUCCGGUUAAUUUUGUAUGAUUCACAAUAUUCUUUCACUAUCCAUCUUUGCGGCGCAGUUUUAAGUAAGUGUUAUUCUGAAAUAGAUAUUAACCUAAUAAUAAUUACUGUGGGAGCUUUUAUGAUUUUAGUUAAAAACCUGGAAAUUGAGGUCAACUUAGUCAGCUAAGUGAGUCGACUCUUUGCUGUGUGUUAAAAUGACUGUAAUUGUAGCUGCAGUCUUUACAAUGGGAGCAAUCAAAGGCAAGCUAUUAAAGGCAUUGGUCACCAGUCCUAGGGGCAGAACUUCAGACCAGAAGUGUGCAUGUGCACAUACAGAAACGCAGACACACAUGCACAGAAGCAGUCACCCACACAUUUCCUGUGUGUUUCAUGUCAGGCGCUCUUUUCUUUCUGUUCUGUUUGGAGAGGAAGCACGGGUCUAAUGACUUUUCCUCUGCGUCACAGACACUGCAUGUGGGAGGCAGACAGCCGUGCUGCACGUGUGUGCAUGUGAGAACCUUAAUGCAUAUAUGUAUGAGUUUGUGCAAAGCCUGAUACGUUACAUGCAGGCUGUUUGUGUCAUGCAUUUGUUAAAAGCUCCAUGUGUAUUUACAACUUUGUGGUUUUUGAGAAACUUUGCAUUUAUGCUAAAGUUGCAUUUGUUUACCAGUUUGUCGGAAAUUUCGACACUUUGCUGUAGUUGAAUUUUUUUUUUUGGUCUGCUUCUGCAAAAUAAGUUUGUCUCUGAGGAAUUGCUUGUUCCACUUUGUGUGUUUACUUUGACCCUGUGCACAUGUGGGACACCUGUGCAUGUGCUCUUAAUAAAGCGUGACCGUACAGUAUUGUGUGUGCAUGCAGCUUGUUUUUGCAUGAUAUUCUGGCUCUCUUUUUGUAAACAGAGCUUCCUCUGAGACCUCACACAGUUUUAGAGCUCGCUGCUUUUCUUGUUGUUGUCCUGCUCGGACUCUUUGUAUUGAUCCUAUUCAAUGUUUUAAAACUUAUGAGAAUCACUGUGGUUUGAGCUGGAUUUCAGGUGUAAUCUCUCUUUGUUAGACCAUCUCAUGAAGAAACAGGCAAAUAAACAAACCAGGAAUGAGAAGCUGGGUGGUUGUUACCAAUACUUCUCUGAACAUUUCCGUGGCAGUGUGCUUUACCAAAAAUAAGCAUUUUAAAAAACCAAAAUCAGCCUUAGUAAAUGGUAAGACUUAAACGGGUUCAGUUCAACACAUUUUGAGGUCAAAUAUCUACAGAAUUAACCAGGUAUGUAGCUCUAAAUCACAUAAGUCUGUAUAAUUCUUCUUGAGUUGCCAGAGUGAAACAAGGUUAGCUAAUCCCCCCAUGCUCGGCUCCCUGAGCUGCAGCUGCAUUGAGCGCUUGCACAGUUCAUCUGAGGCCACAGAGAAGUGCUUUCCUCCAAACGAGUACCCAUUCAAAGACCAAGGUUGGUGCUAAGCUAUGAGCAAGUGACUGUUGAAACAUUAUUUUGGGUGAAAUGGAAAAACAGAAUCAAAAACAGUCUUUUGAUUGGAUCCAAGGCCUUUGCUGAACUCUUCCUACAAACUCAUCACUCGCCUUCUCUUACCUUUGCUCCCUGGUGCCAACUCCAUCUUUCUCCUCACUAUGUCUUAGGCUCAUGAACACCCACUCUGCUUUUCCGCCACUGCUGUUUCCCUCCUUCUCAUAUCUUUUCUCCUGGUCCUCCCUUUCUGUCCUUGGCCUCGAAUCACAAUCUGUCCCUGCUUUUCAUUCAACAGUAGAUCUCAACUUUUUCCAUCAACCUAAAUGUUUAUUUCACUCACAUCCCCGCUGCAGCUGUUUGUUUGACUCAUUUAAACUAUGAGCUAUUUUCCUACUUUUUUUCUCUCAUGGGCAUUUUGAACUGAUUAUGAUUUAUUUUCUUACAAAUGUACACAACCCAGUUUAUGUUCAGUCUUUAAUGUAUAAAUUGUUUCAUAAAACAGUCACUGAUGAUGCUUUUAUUUUAGUAGUUUCUUACACCAGGGUUACCUAAUUUCAGGUUCUGAUGAUAGAUGUACUGUAAUCACUCAAAAAAGCAAAUCAGUCUACCAGACCCUAAAUACAUUCACAGAGAAACAGCAAACUAGGAGGUGAUGGAUGGGCUAAAUUAAUCAGUACAUAGCCAGAAAUGCAUUCUGGCAUUCCUUUGUAGCCUACAAACACCGACGCACACUGGGGUUGGGAAGAUACCAAAGUACAGAGUUUUAAAGCUUCUGUGAGGAGCUUUCAGGUUGUGUCAAUUUUGGCGCCCCUUGUUGACAAAGCAGUCUUUCUUUUCUUGUUCUCUACAUGCUUCAGUCAUGUCUAUUGUCAAAAAACUCAUCCCAUCACCUUUUGACAAUUAUACGCCUCUUUCAUUGGGAAUGUUUCACAAGGAAGCUGUAAAAACAGGGCCGCUUGACUGACACCUACCCCCUUUCACUGGUUUCAGGUUAUGGGUGUCCUGAUAUGAUAUUGAUAUCGGAUAUCGGUACGAUAUCAACAAAAAAAAUUACAUCAGGUUAUAUCGGCCUGCAUUUAAAAUCUCCGAUAUCAGCACUCCAAUACAAGCAGUCCAUUCCAGACUCCGCUCCAGCACCUCUAUCUCGCUGCACCCAGAUUCAGCAUGUAGAGCCCAUGUGAUCACAACAACAGUGUGUACUAAGAUACUAACAAAGUACCAAGGAGUAGGAGUGAUGUUGACCCUGUGGCAGUAUUUUUCCCUAAAGUCUGAAAAAGACUCUGCAGCUGACUGCAAAACUUAUCAUGCACAAGUUUAUGCUAAUAUCAGAUCAAUAUCGGUAUCGGACAAGACUGAAGGCUACAAUAUCGGUAUCAUAUCGGCAAAAAAUUGUAUCGGGACAACCCUGUUUCAGGUACUAAAAAUGACAUUAUACUAGUUGUUUGUCUUGUCCCUGCUGGUCUUGUUUGCUUUUGGAUACCAUGAAAAGGCAUCAAUAUGAAUCUCAGUCCAUUUCAUAAACACCAUAAAUGUGCUGUUGUAUUUCAGUACCAUGAUAAAUUAAGAACCUGUCGUCUUCUGGAUGGAAGUUUGUUUUUUUGACAGUAAUUUCAUGUCUCAAAACUUCCCCUCAGUUAUUGAUAACUUGCCCUACUUCUGAGCUUCUCUGCUCUGACCUCUGUGUCUCUUCAUCUUUAUUUCCUGCCUGCCUCAGUUAUGAGGGACAUGCUGGCUCUACAGAUAAAUGGCGCCAUCUAUGAUACUAAAUAUUGGCAUUGGACUGCUAAAUAUGAGACCACGCAAAUAAAAGAUGAUCACACUUUUUCAGAUGUAUUUUGUGUAUUUAUGUUUGGGUUUAUAUGGUACCUUGGAAGGCCAACAAAUAUUGUCUAUUUGUGGAAAAUACAUGACUCAGCUGUUAAAUCUUCACCUUCUGCCACCAUGUUAGUGUGCUUCUCUUCAGCUGCAAGUGUUAGAGACAUAAUGACUUUGACUAAAAGCAGUCAGAGGCAUAAAGUGCCCUCUGCUGUAAAAAAGAGAGUUUUGCAAUUUAUUUUUCACUUCACUGAUUUAAAUUGUCCUCUGUGUUUACCAAUCUUCAAGUAUCUUGUGAGGUAUUGCUACAUUCCCAAAUCUUAAUGUCAGCAAGGAAAUACAUAUUUCAACAGCUCCCAAAACAACAGUUUUCUUUUUUUUUUUUUUUUGUGAAGAGGUUUUAAUGACCAAAAUGUUACAGACUAUGUCAUUUUUAGCAUUUGAUCUUAAAAAAAAAAUCUAUAAGUAAAAUCAUAAUUGCUGGAAACGUGACUCAAGCAUUUCAUGAAACUGAUUCUGAUGUAAAUUUAGUUUUACUUUCAUCACCCAGCUUUGAUUUGUUUUCUGAGUUUGGCGCUUUGAGCUGUUCCAGUAUAACCCCAUUUCUUUACACUAAUUGAAUGGUGGGGUUGUCUAGGGUUUUGCCUCAUCACGGAGGAACAUGCAGAACAUGCAGGGAGCUCUUUUUUUCUUCCUUCUCCUCCUCCUCACCCCCAUCCGUCUCUCUCUGUAGAUCUCUUCAAGCCUCCUAUCUUUUCAGCUCCACAUCAUCAGCGGUGGGACUACUGUUACAGCUGAGUUCAGUUGAGGUCAGACAGACAGUGUGUGCAGCCCUGGGGAGAUACAGACUGGCUACCAACCAGAUAAGUUGGAAGGAGAUGUCCUGGUAUCCCCCCUCCCUCUCCUCUCUUAUCCUCUCUUACCCUCUAUCCCUCCCUUCUCAUUUCUGAGAGCUUCUUGCUCCCACUAAGCGUUGGAGGCUGAGAAAAGCUCAUGAGAAACCAAAUCUGACCAUUAGAGUCCCUAAUAAUAAUAAUAAUAAAAUGAAAUACUGUCUGUCUCUCAUUUCACUAUUACUCCCUUACAGCCUCUCUGCCUUGCUUGCUGCAGCUCAUCUCCCAUGUGUGCGCAGACAUACACACUCACUGAGAUGCAGAUUCAAAUGAUUUAUUUAUGUCAGCAUAAAUUACAGCAAUAAUCUCUGGUGUAGCAGACGAGAAUCAGAUACUAGUGCAGAUGGUUUUUCAAGCAGUGAUGUCUUUAGAUUUGUGUUAGCUCCAUGCCAGCUAAUUUCGAUCGGUGUGUGUCCUUACGUGCAUGUGUUUGUGCGCGUGUGUUUGUUUAAACUCACUCGGCUUUCCCUGACAAGUUUGAUCUAGGUAAACAAGAAGCCGGCCAAAUAACUGUGGAGGGAGAGAGGGGGGUGGUGUGGAGGGAGGAGGAGGGGAAACAGGGUCAGAAAGUGUGUGAAGCAGUGAGAAAGGCAGACACAGACACUUACUCAGGAUAAACCCUGAAGUCAUGGGCAGGAAGCUGAUAUUUUCCCAGACUUACUUUACUCUUUUUUUUGGAGCCUGAUCCGACAAUUGCUGCUUCCUCUGAGGGGCUAAUAAUACAACAGAGCCAUUGUGCAAUGCUACGUUUCCCCCUUGCCUGAUUUAGCAAAGAGAGAAGGCAUUUGCAUGAAAUCUUUCCACUCCCAAUGUGGUUGGGUGGAGUUUUUUCUGCCAUCAGAUUGGAUUGUCACACCACAGUGUAAUAAUGCACCAUUAUAGUCUGGCUUAGAUGAACAGGGAUGAACAGAUAACAUUGCUCCUGCAUGGAGCCACUGUGCAGAUCCCAGUUUACUGCAACAAUCAUAAAGUUCUGUAGCUUAUUUACAAAAAAAAAAAAAAAAAAAAAAAAAAAGGUUAUUUAAGUUUGGAGUAGUUGAGCAGAAAGUCAUCAAAAGUAUGAAAAUUAAUUAAAAUUUGAAUUUCCCUGCAGGAUUAAUAAAGUAUCUAUCUAUCUAUCUAUCUAUCUAUCUAUCUAUCUAUCUAUCUAUCUAUCUAUCUAUCUAUCUAUCUAUCUAUCUAACAAUAAACAGUGAAACAUCUAAAAGACUCAGGUAACUUUUAAAGAUAUUACGGUAUUUGGUGACACAACUCUUGAUAUGUGCAUAAAUGCAUGAAUAAAGCAAGUGGCAACUUUUGUGUUAAUAAAGCCAAUGCAAAAUAAUAAUAAUAAUAAUAAUAAUAAUAAUAAUAAUAAUAAUAAUAAUAAUAAUAAUAAUAAUAAUUUUAAAAAAUGCAGUUCCUGGAAUGUCCACUUGGGGCCACCUGCGGAGCUAAUGAAUCCCCUUAAGUCCCAUAUUAAAAUGCAGCAGAAUGUGCAACCUAAUAUAAAAAAAACAAUUUUUUGUUAUAUGGCCCAUUUCUUGAUUUGUACAUUCUGUACUGGGGCUGAAUAUUUUUUAAGCACAUCAAGGCCAAGAGAUACAUAAAUAUGCCUACUCAUGGCUAUGAUGAAGAAGUAGGAGUGCUGUUGCUGUUUUCAAGGAAACUAAAAGCCUGCCUUAUCUCCAGAUAAGAGAUAGAGACAGCAUUUUGAUCAUCGGGCUUUAAAACCUCCACCUUAUGGGUGAUGUCACAGGGACUGGGUCUGUGUUCGAUACAGUUGAUGGAGUAAACAUAGAGGUGUUUUUGAUCAAUUGUAUCUGAUACCCAAUUAAUACAUGUGGAAUGCAUAUAGUUCGAUGUGCGGAGUGCCUGCUUAGACGCACAGUGAGGCAAACUCUCUAAACAACCCUUUGCAAGCAGAAACAUUGGGCUCUAUUUUGGAUAACAGCCAAAAGACUGACUGUACACAGGCUUUAGCUGUAUGUUAGCUUGUAAUGUAUGCACAUAUCCUGUGUUUGGGCUUGUGCCUGAGUGAGUGUUUGCACAUGGACUUUGUGACUUCAGCAAAGUCUAUACUGAAUUUCCAUACGAAACGGAUGAACAACCAUAGUGUUGUAACUUUUUAAAACAGAUCCAGAGAGCCGAGCAGAGUUUAUUUUCCAACAAGCUGGAACAUUUUAAACCCGAACAGAAGCAUGUUUUCCUGUCAAUAUUAGGCCUGAGGAAAAUCUGAAAAAUAUGCCAUAAGAUGACACUUUAUGCAGUGAGAUACAAAAUAUAUAUAAAAAAAUGUGCAAAUAUAUAAAUACUGUAUAUACAUGAUAAAAAAAAAUUAAUAUAUAUAUUUAUUUUAAAAGUGACACCAAUUGGAGUAGCUGAGCCAUUGCCUGUAAAGCAAACGUGUUUUCACAGUCAAAUCAAAUUUGACUAUCAACUUCUAAUGACAGUCAUUAUUCCAGCAUGAUACAAAUAUUAAUUGGCUUUUUAUCCUCCUAUUAUUAGAAGUAUUUGGACCAGGCAAAACUGCGCUGGGAUCCAAAGCAGAAACAAGGGAGCUACAAGGCGAUCAACACCAUUUUUCAUUGAAAUCUUGAGUUGGGUAUUAUCUAUCAUUUAAUGACUAAAAGGCAAGGGCCGGACAGUAAUCCAUGAUCUAUAAGCAGCUCAAUCUAAUAACCCACUUUUGGUAAAGUAUAGAUUAGGAAAUAUAUAACUUGUAGAUGCUCAGACAGUAAAAGAAUUCCUCUUUUUCAUCUCGAAGUCUUACAUCUGGUUUGUAUUCACUGCCUUGGACAUUCAGUAUGAAUAAAAGGGUGUUUGAUGGUUUUGUCAGUUUCAAGUGUCUUGUUAAAUGUUUAAAACUGAUAAAAAUGCUUUUGUAGUGUUCAGCAGAAUCUAAUAAGUCAUCUAAGGUUGCUCAGUCAACACUUGAGUACCUGUAUUUGCAUUUUUUUAGAUUAAAAACAUCCAUAAAGCAAUAAGUGUCUUUUUUUUUUUGCAUCCCGUGGGAUGAGUUUGGGUUUUAUUAGAAACUGUGUGGUGAGCGGGUACAACAUUGAAAACAGCCUCACACAGAUGUGAAGGCUGAAUAUGGGAUGAAAUUACUUGUGAGAUGGAUGGUUUGUGUGGUGUGCUUGACACAGCCUUAUAAAAGAUAUAAGCGAUCUUGCAAAUGAAAUAUUAACCCUAACAUUGCUUUAUAUUACCUGCAUCCCUUUGCUUUACCUGUAUCACAUCAAACAUGUGGACCUUUAGACAGCAUAAUGUUUUGCUGAAAUUUUAAACACACAAGCUUUCUCUUAUUAUUCACCUCUAGUGGACACAGAUGAUCAAUGGUUGGCUGGGAGAUAAGAUGAUAAUAUAAAAUCAAAAGAAAAGCAUUACUCUUACAUGAGUUGCGAGAAAGAGGGAGAUUUUAUGACCUAGACAGAGAACAUUAAUAAGACAAAUCACUUUGUAUCCUGGCUUACCCUUGAUCAACCCCACAGGGGAGCAAACUCAGUCUGUCUGGCGAGGCUGACCACAUUUUUUUUUGUCUUUGUGUGUGUGUGUGUGUGUGUGUGUGUGUGUGUGUGUGUGUGUGUGUGUGUGUGUGUGUUUGACUGUAGCCUUGCAUGUACCCCUAUCCGCUCAUCUGGCUUCUGGCCUAUCUCCCUGUUUGUCUUCAUGUUUGGCUAACCAUGCAUCUUUCAUGUUAUCAGUAAGUCUAUCAAUUGGUGUGUGUAUGUGUGUGUGUCCAUGGGUGAAAUGACCACAGGGUUUCCCGCUGUGUUGACCACAUGCUGCACUCCAUCUUCCUUUUCCUCGGGUCCUCCUCUUUACCCCACCUGGCUGCUCUACCUUGACCACCCAUGUUGUUCUGUCUGGCCUGGCUUUGUGUGUUCCUAUGAAUGGUCACAUUAUUCCCAAUUUUUUUCUUCCUCUGGGUUUCACCUGCAGGGAGCCCACAUGGGGCCCAGCGUGGGGCUCCAGCAGGUGAAAGUGGUACUUCAUGAGAAGAACAGGGAAAUAAACUCAAAGUGGUUUACCAGACAUUUUCAUGCCAAUAUUUUAGCUACUAUCAAUUAAAAUUUAGUGCUGCUGGUUGGGAUUGAGCCAGACCUCUUUCAUAAGCAAUUUUGGAAAAUUCCUCCCUUUCCUAUCCAACUUGUAUGAUGCAGCUACAAUUGAGCACAACGAUCUGGAAACCACGGCAAGACCGAGGCCUUUCCCUUUGACUGAGCUGAGACUGUAGUGUGGGGUGAUUCCUAAAAUGAGCCACAGAUCACACGGCGUCUUGGAGCUACAGUGCAAAUUUCAAACAAUCCACACAUAGUGCAAACUGAAGCCGACUUUGACCCGAUUUUUGAGACUGAUUUUGACGCCAGACAAAUUUCAGCUCAAUUGCACAUCCAUGCCAAUGUACAGGGGGGAGCACGAGAUAGCUGAUCACAGCCAGGUUUGCGGCUCCCAGCCAUCUGGAUGAAUUUGGCACAAUGAAAUUUUGGUCAACUGACUGCAUUCACUCGCAUAGUAAAGGCAGGGCUCUGAGCUGAUUCCCCAACCUUUUGGCAUGUUUUCCCCCAUUGCACCUGAACAAAGGAUGAACGGCGUCCAGAGGCAUCGAUGCAACUUUAAAAACACACACAGCACAUCCUGGAUAUGAUCAAUUGCUUAACUCUGAGAAAGCACGUUAAUGUGUGCGUGUAAAUCAUGAGCUGCAGUUGUGCAUUGUACAAUUUCUCUAACUGUCUCCACACACCAAGCGCGAGUAAAAUCAUUCGCGCGAAUAAAUUACAUGUUAAGUCAAUGCAAAGAUGUGAUUAAAUGCUCUUACUACUCUGGCCCGCGCGAAUGUCGCAAAUUGGGUGAGAGCUGAAAAUGUCUCAACUUGAGUGUAUAUUCGCGUCGCGAUAACUAAUCAGCACGAAGGUUGCCGGGUGAUGUAUGAAAACGGACGGUUGUUCACUGGUGUCUAAAAUGGAGGACAAACUGAUCGUGUUGGUGCCUUUUCUUUUAACUACCAAAACCGGAGUAAAAAGGAGCUCGCCUGGGGGCAGGUGAGUCAGGAGGUCAGAUUACCUGGUAAAUUGUAAAAAACUUUCGUUUUUCCUGCCUGUUGAACUGGCAGGGGUUACCAUUGUAAUUACCAUUGACGCGGUAAUGAAGCGAGUAAAUACCAUUCAUUCACGCGUCUAGAUUCGCACGAAUUAAGCAAGUAGAUGAUUUUACUCGUGCUUGGUGUGAGCGCCCUAUAAGAAUGUGAUUUCACUUUCCACAACAAUUUCCACAGCGUAAAGCAUAAAUUUAGAGGAAUAUUGGUACUUUUUUGUAAUCCUUGCUGUAGAAAAACUCAAAAUGCCAAAGACCAGUGCUAAAAAGAUCCAAAUAAUUUGUCUCAUUACAGAGUUGGUGUGAUCUACAGCACAGCCAACCUGCAAGGGGUGCCGCACAGAGAUUUCCACUCAACAUGGCAACGAGUCAAUUUUUGUUGAUCUCAGGAGAUAAAAUGUCCCCUAAGAAGUAAGUAAAUUCCUCUCAGUGUUAUUUCCAGUAAAUGACUGAAAAUCUUGAGGUCAUCUGCAGCCUAACCCACAUAAAGGCUCAUUUUUGUAAAGUGAACUCCAGUGCCUCUCCACAAGCUGACUAGUACCAAGAGCGACUUUCACUGAGCUCCAAAACUUAAUGGAAGUGUUUGCUCGAGAAUGUCAUUAUUUUGUGAAUCUGACCAGUAGACAGGGCAGAUAGAUGGGAAUGUCUGCAGUCUAUUCCUCCUUCCUGGCUGACUGCAGAGCACAACUCCUAAACACAAGUCCUAAACCAAAAACAUGCUGAGUAAACUCAUAUUUAAGGACCCGUUUAAUGUUCCUGAAAACUAUCCUGAGAGGAAAGCAGUAGCACAUUCAUCACACUUGAUACUAACUGAAGUUGUUUCUUCUCUCAUUGCCCACACUCUUCAGUAAUCAAACUCUAUAAAUGUCAGAUUUGUCUUGGCCAGAGCCUGUGGGCACAAAUACCUGACCAGUAGGCCAUAUGGUUUGUGAGAGUCUGGAGGAAGUGCAUGUUUGUGUGCAUAACCUUACCUGUCUGAAAGCAUGACUGCUGUUGGGGGACGUGUGUAGUUUGUGUGAUUAAGUGUGUACAUAUGCUCAUUUCUAUCAGGGGUUGUCUUUUAUUACAAUGGCCAUAAAUUCUUGAGUGUGGACUUGUAAGAACCCACGGUUUCUGUCUUAAGACCUGAGGUGAAAUGGCAUGUCCUGGUCUAGACAGAUCUGGAUGAUAAGAAGGUGUGUCACAGUGAGAAACAGGAUCUGGCACUGGCUGUGUUUUUGUUUUACCUGCUUCCUUCCUCUGUUUUAACACUUUAGAAAGGAUUUCAGAAGAAAAAGAGCUGAGCUGUUUGACUCCUGAGGCAAAAUAUCAGACAAAAACUUUUUAUUAAAUCUGAUCCAACUGCAUUACGCUGUGCCUCUUUUCACUGAUCGAAUUAUUGCCUUCCUGUGUGCUCAUGAAUUCUUGACAGCAUGUUACUCUUAUUGAGUUCUCUCAGAACAAUUGAAAUAAGUGCUUGCACCUUUCUGCUCUGCUGUAAACAUUCACUUGUGCCCUCUUUAAACUUUCUUCCAGUCUCUAUUUAAAGGGCAGACUCUAGUAAAACUCCCCAGCUGUCUGCUCUCUCUCUCUUUCCCUGUGUAAACCUAGCCAGCUGUCUGCCCUCCACUUCUGACCUUGUUUUCAUGAACCCUGUUCGAUGUGUACGUGACGUGUGUGUCCAUGUGUGUGCGCAUACAUGUCAGGGGGCUUUUGGCACGACCUUUAACCUUUCCUGACUGACAGGCUAAAUCUAGCCACCCAGUCUCUCUCUCUUGUCUUGCUCCUGUCUUUUUUUCUCCCCUCUGUUUCCUGACUGAUAGCCUGUCAAUGGGACAAGCUCUCAGGCCAGGGUAUUAGGGGUGGUUGAGGGUGGGUGAGAGUGAGUAGGUACCACUGGAGCAGGGCGGGGAUGAGAGCUUGUUCAGUGUGUGUUUGUGUAUAGGUGAGUGUGUGUGUGUGCACGCUAAGGGGGUCACAGAGGAAGACACUGUCCAGACAUUUCAAAAAUAACAACCCUUAUAGUUGUAGAGCUGUGGCUUUGAUACCGUGUGUGUGUGUGUGUGUGUGUGUGUGUGUGUGUGUGUGUGUGUGUGUGUGUGUGUGUGCAUUCAGAGAGAAUAUCUGGUAAUUAUUUAGUCAGGCUUUGACCUUUGACCCCCUGCUUUGACCUCCCACAUCCUGUUCAACUGCAGAGAGGAUGGACGUACAUUCAUUUGUAUGCACACCCACACACACUCACACACAUGCUGAAAAACACACACACACACACACACACACACACACACACACACACACACACACACACACAUACACACACACACACACACACACACACAGGGUUAAGGGGGUUUGUGUGGGCUGAUAGUAAAUUCAGAGGUUUAGUGAAUUCAUUUACGGCUGUAGUUCAGGGGAGAAAAACAUCGCUGGACGAUGAGGGGAUGUUCUCAGGACUGAUCCUUCAGAGAUACUUUUCACUCAGGCACAGAUUUUCCUUUUUUACCUACAUUUUAACCAAAUAAACUGAAUGGUACAAAAGUUAUCAUGCCAAAAUAAUCUACUCUCCAGAAUCGUGAAAAAUAAAGUAAGCUGUCAUUGAACAUGUUGUUUGACAAUUACUGCCAACGACAUUACUGUUUAUUGAUUACUGCAUGCACUGGGCUUUCUUCCAUUCAAUUAAAUGACCUCAAAUAAUUUUAAGUAUCAACUUGGCAACAAAGGGUCCUUUCCUGCCAAUACAAUCAAACCGAAGAAAAGCAGCAGUCUAGCUUUAGGCUCUUUCCCUGCUGGAUAACAUCACUUUGUUCUCGUGCGAUAAAAUCUACUAAGAGCCUUCUACUAGGCCUCAUUAUGCCUGUCCGAGCCUUGUGUGUUUGUUUUUUCGCCCAUGCAUACAAGGCAGGAAAUUAUAUACAAUGCACCCAAUUUGUUAUUCUGUUACAUCAUUUUACUGUAAAUGCAUUUGUGGUAUUUUAAAUGUAUCUAUGGAAAACACCAAAGGGGAGAGGGGGGAUUUUUUACUGGUGCACUUAAACCUACUUUGACGAGUUUUUAGGGGGUUAUGGAACUAAGUGAACUUGCGCCAGUGAUGAUUUCACAGGUAUUAGCUCAAUAAAGUUACUGAGCAGAGAGUAGACUGAAGUUUGUUGGACAGACAGCGCUGUUCUCAACCCUGGGUAACAAGAUGAUAUGUCUCCGCUGUGCAAACAUGCCUGGCUGAUCUAUUUUACAUUAUAAGAUGCCUUCAUGUUCUUUUCAUCAAGCUUAGCAAGCAGGCAAAGUUUUUAAAGACGGCAGUAUGUCAGCCGAUGAUAAAAUAUGUACAGAAGUGCAGUGUGUGCUACUGCUUGCCUCACCUGCCAAGAUAUGUAAGAAGAGAUGAUGAUUUCACAUAUGAUAUCUGAUUUUUGACUCAUGUUUAGUGAAGUCUUGCUACUUGGUCAGAGGCUGUCAGUUUGCAUUAUUUAACAAUGUUUUCAAUAAGAUAAGAGUACUGCAGACCAAUAUUCUAUGUCAUAUAGAGCUCUCAGUUUAGAUAUUACACCACUGCUUGCCCCCCAGUGGGCAAAUACUUCACACUGUUAUGUGAUGGGUUAACUCAGAGAUUUUUCUUUGGGGGGUGGGGGGUUGCAGGGUUCCUGAAAUUUUCCAAAGAUUUUCCAAAGCACAAGUUUGAAAACAGCUUCUGUUUCCAUUUCCGUGUGCAAUGUGGCCAUGAACUCCAUGACCUUGUGUUGUCCAGCUGUAGCCACUGAUGAUGAGGCAACCGCAGAGUCAGGUAAACAGUUACAGUACAGGAUGUAAAUAAAUAAUCAAUCGUUAAAAAAAAGAGAUUUGCUGACAGAUAAUGCCAUUUUUCACCAUUCGCCAACCAUAAACACACUCACACACACACACAAAGUCAACAGUAUACAAAAGAAAAUAAAAACAAUAAAAACACAGCAGUAGAGUGGAAUUCAAUAAAAUCACUUGAAAGCACAGACUCAAUUAUGGUCAAGCUUGAGUUUAGCUGCAGGGGAAAACUUUGUUUUUAACUGCCUGUGCCGGGUGAAUGGGUUGACUUGGUGCUUGGGUGAGACAUUUGUUUGGCUAGUGUGUGUGUGUGUGUGUGUGUGUGUGUGUGUGUGUGUAUGUGUGCGUGUGUGUGGGCGCACGUGUUUGUGUGUGUGCGUUAGUGUGCGGCUACGGGUGUGUUUGUGUGUGGAUGGUAACGGAUGUCUGUGUAUAUAAGCCAAACAGCCCCUAUUCUUAAUUCCAGGGUGAACUUGGACUUCCGCUGCUUUCAAGUCUUCGCACAAACACAGACUGAUGAAAGACAUUUCUGAAUGAGUCAUCUCUCUGGCAGUUCUUCUUCGGACAUUUGCUGUUUUCAUCAUCAUCCUCUACAGUUUGAAGCAGAUUUAGCAGCUUCAGCAUGUGACAGCAGAUGUUUGGAAAUUCAAGUUAGCAGAUGAACAAUGUAUAUCUGUACAAUAUUGCAAACACUCCUGCCUGGUUAUGUCUCUAUCCCCCCCAAUAAAAUAGUGGCCUAAGUCAUUUUUUGAGGAAUAUGAGUUUUUGGCCUAAAUCAUCUCUCGAUAAUGCUGGCCAUCUCUGGUUAAGUCGUCUAAAUCCUUAGUUGAAAGGAUUAUGCCAUGAUGCCAGAAACUCAUUUUCGUCAAAAAAUGACUGGCCAUUUUUUUAAUAGGGUGACGAUAUUGAGGUGAAGAAGGGAUGGACUUGCACUGCACUCUGCCAGAGUCGUCGUUUUUUAAAACAUUAAAAGCCUGCUUCUUAGUCUCCUAAUGUCCACUCUGCAUUUUUUAUGACUUCUAAAAUAAGUUUUGAGCUUCCCUCUCAUUCCGAAAGACACUUUCCUGUGUCACUGUGAAAGGCAAGUGUAGUAUGUCUUUAUAUUGAAUACUCUGUCCGUCCCCCUGGGAUGCUCUCAAAGCCUCCCAAAGGUGCUAGUUGUCGAGCCUUCAGCUGUGUGCUUGUUCAAUGUCACCUCACACCAGACCUGACCCCGCCGACUUUUCACCUUGUGAAGGGUGACCUUUGACCUCUGCAGAAAUGACCCCUGAUCUUUACAGGUCCUAAUGGUGCAGCAAGGACCGCUUGUGACAGGAGACAGAUGGUAACACACACAUACAUGUAAAGACAGACACACAUGUGCCGCUGAAACACACUAAUAGAGUGGAAAGCGUUGCUCUGCAGGCCUGAGGAGUGACAGGAGAACCGUGGGGACACACACACACACACAGACAGAGCUCAGCUUACACAGGAAACUGCUGAGACAUGCAGGUCAGGCCUGUUUCCAUGUUUAUGAACCCAGCAGACUUGCAAAAGCAGACACACACUCACUGUGUGUAAUCAUCUUUCUUUGUUCUAAGCGCUGUUGGACUAAGUUUUGGCUUGGACAACGCUGUCAGUUUGACAAAGUAGUUGCUUGUUUUGUCUCCCCAGAACUACAGGUCAGCUUGACUUUGUUUUAUUACUGCUGUUUUAAAAAAUGUAUUCAAGUAUGCACACACUCCCCAAAAACAUGGCUGCACACCACACACGCACACACCUCACCUACUGUAAUUGAGUUUCCUGAAGGUUAAACUGGACACUAACUAAUUUGUUUUGGCCUCCAAGGGCCUCCUCGGACUAAAAUAAUGAGCCUUGUAGUUUACCCUUUAGUAAACCUCCCCAGUAGACCACAGAUGGCCUUUCAAUUACCAAGCUAAAACAUGCAGAAUAGCAAUGCAUGGCAUUAUCAAUGAAGAUGCAAAGGGACCACAUCCUCAGCACAAACACACAGAUUUGCAGACAUAUACUGUAUGUAUGUAACGUAUGUGCAAACACUUGUUUGAAAAGAUAGAAACACACACAUAUACACACACACAGAGUCACAGUCACAGACAGAUUACUUUGCUUAUUUGCUUAGCAAGCAAUCUUUGCUGGGGUCACCAGUCCUCACCCCUGCACUGCAACAAUCUAUAAAGCCGGCCCCCUGAGACCUGGUCAAGCUGAGGUAUUCAUGGACUGAUCUAAAGUAAGUUGCUAUGCUGCUGCUGACGAGUUCAGUACCAGAGAUUUCAGGUUUUAUUUGAAUGCAGUGUGCAGCAGAUGAUGACUGACUGUCAGCUCUGUUUCAUUCUGAAUCUAUCAUCUCAUCCGUCUGACUCCAGGUAAUUUUCUCUCCAAUUUGUAAUGAUAACUCUUCAGCACUCACUCUUUUCAGCGAGACAGGCCAUCAGAAAUAUUCAGAUGAAAAAAAACCCUGACCUUUAAGAAGUUAAAAUUCACUAUUUGAGACCAAAAAGUGGAAAAAGAAGUGAAGGAUGAGUUAAAAUGUUCGAGUUCACUCACGGUUGAAAUGCAAUAGCUCUACUCGAAUACACUGAAACUUACUAUACUAUACUAUACUAUAUACCAAAUUAUACUAUACUAUCAUGUGCCGUAUACAGUCUUUACUACACAUAUAUUUUAUGCUAUACUACAUUUGAAACAAGAGACAGACAGACAGAUAGAUAGAUAGAUAGAUAGAUAGAUAGAUAGAUAGAUAGAUAGAUAGAUAGAUAGAUAGAUAGAUAGAUAGAUAGAUAGAUAGAUAGAUAGAUAGAUAGAUAGAUAGAUAGAUAGAUAGAUAGAUAGAUAGAUGUUUCUUAAGACAUACGACAUUUCUUAAGAAAAUCAUACAAUAUUAUACUUUUCAAUAUCAUUUUUUCUGUGCCAUACUUAACUAUCUUUUAUUACACAGUACUAUCUUAUUGAUCCAAUUAUCAGACAAUGGCAUUCUUUAUUUUAGUAUAUGAGAUAUGAUACAACACAACACAGUUCAACAGAAAGCACUUUGACUUGCUGUGUGACACAACAUGACAUAUGAUACAAUGCAAUACCGCACAACAUUUCAAAUGCCAAUACUAAUGAUUCAGAUCCCAACUCUUGGGACAUAUUAACAUUUUUUACCACAUUAUGUUUUGAGCUGCUACCACCUCCAUUUUCACUCUCUUUCCAGAAGCCAAUAAUCUGUCAAUCUAUCAGUGUACAUGAAAUAAGCUUGGUGCUGGCCAAGAAGACUAGAGCUGCUAAUUGGGGGCAAAAGAGGAUCUUUUUAAAGCUCCUAACAGAUGUGUUGACCAACAAGAAAAAAAUCUCAUUUAAAAAAAAAAAAGAGUAUUUCUUCUGUGUAUUUGCAUUUUCACAUGUAAUAUUUACAGCUUUAUAUAAUGAAAAAAAGAGAAACAAGUCGUGACAAAGAGACUCUUUAAUCUUUACAUCAGUGUGACAGCUGAAUGCUGCUUUUGGAUGCUUUGGGUGUUACAUGUUUGUCUAAAUUUGUCUUUUUGUAACAGGCUCAUACUUUUACGCUGUGAGAUGAAAAAGUUGUGAAAAGCUAUAUGUAUGCAAGCCCUACUGUUUAGGAAUAUAUAAUUCUCCAUUGAUAUGCUAAAAAGACAUUUGGGAUUGAGGUUUUAAAGGCAGAUAUCCAACAGGGAGUUGUGGGCUAGCGGAGGGUAGCUGCAUAAUCAGCUCCACCAUCAGCUAACUGAUGUUCUGCAUAAUAGAGAUGGGAUUUCUGGGUCAAUGUGUGUAUGUGUGUGUAUGGAGAGUGUGUGUGUGUGUGUGUGGUAGUAUUGGUGGGGGUUUGUCAUUUUUAUCUGCAUGGAUGUCUGCAUGUGUCCCGUCUGCAUGCGUAUGCAAGUGUGCAGUCUAUGGCUGUGUUUUUUUCUUUUCUUUCUGUGUGUGCGUGUGUCCAGGGCACUGACCUCUAUGCCUAGAGCGAGGACGGCCCCUGUCUCAUUAGGGUAGAGAGACUGAGAGAGAGAAGGCAAGACAGACUGACAGGAGAGGAGGGAAAUGAUGAAGGAUGGGGAGAAAUAGAGAGCAAGCAGUGGAAAGCAGGCAGAGAGCACAUAAAAGUGUUUUCUUUUAUUUUUUUCGUACCAAGUUUCAUGGAAAGAUAAUUACAAGAUACAUCACAAAUAUACAGUAUAACACUUUGACUCUGUGCCAUGAAAGCCAAUCAGCUCUUAGAUUUAUACAACUCUAAGGAUGCAUCAGAAAUUAUUUAUCUGUCCUUAAUUCAUAAAAGGAUCGAUUUCUUACUGCUAGAUCUGAUGCAACACCACAUUUCCCACUUCCUGGAGAUCAGAGGGAAAAGAGAGGCUUCAGAGUGAAACCUCUCUUUUCCCCAUUAGAUUAGUCAGCAACAACGCCAUAAUGAAGCUCCACUGUUAUCACCAUUGUACUUUUGUAUUGAUCCCAGCAACUGUGUAAUAAUGGCCUCCCAGUGUGUUUUUACUUUGCCCUGCAGCAUAAAGCUCAAAUGGCAUGUGAGGUUAAUGUUAGGGAUGCAACAAUACAUUUAGCCCACUAUUCAGUAUCUGCCUCAGGUUUUUGGGGACAGUUGUUGGUUCUGUCUGGUUCUGACGGUCUGCGCUUUUAUUCUUGAACAUUUUGUGCCCAUUUUGUUUUUACCCAUAAACCUGUCAGGGACAAGAGUUAGGUUUUUUAAGAUUCUUAAACAAACAGUGUAUUUCAUUAAAGUUGAAAAAAUACUUUUAUACAUGUUCCUGGUGUAUCAAAUGGUCUAACAUGACAUAAAUUCAUAUAUGUGUUGUACUAAACCCAUAUGUUGAUGUGAUGCAUAUUGUAGUUUAACUGCAUGGCUCUGUUUUGUGGCUUUGCAUAAUUGCAUAAUAAAUACAGCAAAUCCAGGAGAACUGCAAGUAUUGGACUCUGUGGUAGGGAUGCACCAAUCCGAUACUUGGAUCGGAUAUUGGCUCCGAUAUUGACAAAUUAACUGGAUCGGAUAUAGGAUAAAUGACGCUGAUCCAGCUUUCUGAUCCAUUCUUUUUUUUCUUUUAAUUAAUCUUUCUUUUAAUACAUGGAAGUUUUACUUCUUUUUGCUGUGUGCUAAUGUGCAAUUUGUUAUUUGUUAAUAAAUAAUAUUUACCAAAUUCAUAUCUGUGUUAAUUUGUUAUCCUUUUUUUAACAAGGCUAAUGUCAAGCCUGAUGCCUUGACUCACAGGGUAAGGUAUACAGUUCAUUCAUUCAACACUAGUAUUGGAUCAGAAUCCGAUAUUGGCCGAUACGCUCAGCCUAGGUAUCGGUAUCGGAUUGGAUCAGGAAAAAAAAUGGAUUGGUGUAUCUCUACUCUGUGGAUGUCAUAAUGAACGUUCAACAUUGUACAAAGACUUUUGGCAACCCUAGUUAACAGUCUUCAUACAUGGUACAAAGACUUUUGGCAACCCUUGUUAACAGUCUUCAUACAUGUGCUAACACUCAGACAUGCUGCUCUACCUUGCUUGCCCUGCCAGUUCACAGUGAUCCUGUCUCACCUUUAUGCCAGCAUAGCUGGGGAACAACUUGGUUCCAACAUUACUCCUCUGUGACUUUUAUUUUGAAGGCAGGAAGUAAAAAAGAAUCUAUAACACAUCUUGAACUGACAAUAUGACAAGGGCUUGUGACUUACAAGUGACAGUGAAGCUGACACUCAACGGGUUCUCCUCAGCUGACAAUGACCAAAUGCAGCUGGUGUCCAACAGAGAAAUCUCCUCUGGGAGACGUAACGAGCCAAGACAUGACAACUUUUAUUUUGUCGACCUAUCUAGAGGGGCGUAGAUUUGCUUUACUUCUGGUCUGAACUAACCUCAGGAGCUUAAUACACCCUCAUCCACAACCACAAUGAACAGCAAGGGCCAUGGCAAAGGGGUCACAAAGUUUCCAAACACACAAAACACCCACACAAACACACACAAAUGCACAUCUCCCACGUCCCUCUGUGGGGUAUAUGUCACAAUCCAGACUUGACUGUAGUUUAAUUGAAUCAAGAGGCAGUGUGUGGGUGUUUGAGGUUUAGGAAAGAGGGGGAGGAAGGAGUGUGUGGGCGGAUGGUGUGUGUGUUUAUAUAGACUGAAAAUCUGAUGGGUUCAUUUCAUGUGUGUAAGCGCACUCAUUGCUCUUGUCUGAACGUAUGUGUUCAGUAACAUAUAUGUGCGUGAGUGUGUGGGCGGACAUACUGUACAUGUUGGUAGAGGAUUAUUCUUGGUUCUCUUGAACUGUGUAGCUCCACCACACAUAAUGCAGGUUAGACAGUCUUUUAUGUUUGAAUUAAGUAUAGCCUCUUUUUUUUCCCCCUGAAAGAGUUAUAUAAGAACAGAGAGGAAGAGGGAGGAGGAGGAGGAGGAGAGACUAUAUAUAAACGUCUGAGGGAAUCAAAGGACAGAAUGUAUCUCUGGUUAUUGUACAUAACAUAUUCAAGUCAUCUGAGGAUAUUUAAAUCACACUUUGAAUCAGAGAAAAAGAGGAGAUCAGGGCUGAGAGAGGCUCCGGUUAAGUGAUACAGAAAUGCUGAGUGACUUUCAUGAUAACCUUUGGGAAAAAAAAGUACAAAGAGACCACUACAGAAGACUUAAACCUCACCGAAGCCCACCUCCUUAUGAUCAAAAAGCCAUGUGAGGUUUCUUUACUUAUUACAGUCAUGAUCUAAACUUUUGUGUUCAUGGUAAAGCACUGCAGCCUACACAUGCUUUAAAGAUCAGGAUUUUUAACCAUGUGCAGCACAGCUUUUUCCCACAUUUCUGAACUGUACCAAUUCAGUGUCAAAACUGUUGCACUGUUUUCAUAUUCUUGUUGGCUAUAUGCAGAAACCAUGUCCUUAGAUCCCUUCAAAUGUUCUUAAUAGAUCUGUAUUACUUCUGAGAAAGUGAAAAAUGGAUGGGUUAAGCUUCAGAGAAAGAUCGAUGGACAUGGAGGAAAGAAAAUUCGACGAAAAAGCCAAAGGGAAACGGAGCGUUGGACUGAAAAACAGCCAGAGAGCAAGGACGGAGAUAGAGUGAGAGCCAGAGAAGGGAAAAAAAAAAGAAAAGACAGAGUGAAUUAAAGAAACCACAACAGAGGGCCAAAGCCCACUAAGUCCCCUUCUCCUUAUGAUGGAGGGGUGUGGUGUUGGGGAUCUGGCACAACUUCCUACAGCACAGCCCCUUUCUAAACAUCUCAUAUAUACACCCAGGCAGAGACAAAGUCACAGCUAACCACAUCACAACGUUAGUGCAGAUGUGUGUGUUUGUGCGAGUGUGUGUGUGUGCGGUUGGCUCAGCUGCUCCCAGGCUCACAGAAAGCAUACGCUGCCUAAGCGUGUCAGAGUCGUCUCUUGAUCUCAUCUGUCUUUUUAUUGCCUAAUCCCUGCUUCUCUUCUCAUUCCUCUCUUCCUCCUUAUGUACCCCCCUCCUCUCCCUCAGCCCCUCUCCCCUACUUCAGCCCUUCAUCUUCUUCCCUCACCCUCAAUGCCCCUCUCCAUCUAUUUUUCCUUUAAGUCUGAAUAUAACCUUAGUUGCUCUGGCAACAUAUGAUCUUUUCCAUUCAUGCCAAUAAAGGUCGUCCCCUCUUCUGCUCCCGCAACACAGACAUACACAUACACGCACAUCUGCCAUUCUCUCUGGGCUUGAUGACUGCCCUGAAUAUUGAACCUUUCAAAGUGUUCCCGUUUGCUGUAGAUGAGUUUUAGAUAGUAGCCAACCCGCCAUAUGGGUCAUUCAUGCACUGUCCCCAUGGGCUGAGAGUGAGACGAUGGUUUGUUCAUGAAUCUUUCAUUCUGGUUUACAUAACAGUGCCUCAGCUCUUUCCCUUUGGAAAGCACACUGUGAAUAUAUGAUCAUAAACUGCUGUCUCUUCUGCUCGCCCUCGUCUUUCUUUAUGUCUGUCUGCAGCAUAUUUUCUGUCCUGUUAAAUUUGCCUCUUCAUCAUUUCCUGUCUAAUUUCAUACAAUAACAGUAUGCAAUUGACACAUUUCAACAUCACACUGUCUCUCCCGGAUAGAUUUUAUUCAAUUUCAACCAGCUUGAUUGGCAUGACAGGUUCAUUUGUGCUGCCAAGGCCUCCAAAGAGAAAAACAUCAGUAAGAAGGUAGAAAGUGGGCAAAAAAGAAGGAAGAAAUACCCGGUAAUGUUUAGAAAAUAGUUGAUAGUUUAACGAGAAAUGUGCAUUCAAGUGGACAGGAUGAACCUCACUGGUCAAAGUUAGAACAAACUCAUAGGGAGAAAUGUGAAUGAACAGUUAGACUACAUUUUAAACUGUUGAAAAUGAGAACGGAAAACUCACUAGACUUGUCAUUAUGCUGCUGUAAGUACCAUAUUGAACAAAACAAUUGAUUUAAUGCCUUAGUCCAACUAAAACUGGACUUUUAAAGAAACAUGGUUACCCAGUGGUUGGACUGAAUCAUACUUAAUUUAAGUCAGACUAACAUACCUGGAUAAUUUAGUUGGGGUUUGAUUUCCUCUUCCAUGUGUGUGGCUCAAUCAGACUGAAACUGGCUGAAUAGUUCAGUGUCCAGUGUUGAAUAGCAUGAAUGGUUAUGAAUAAAACCUUGACAGUUGAAGGAAGGACUUAAAAAAGGGGAAACUUUGCUAUCACACAAACAAAUAGCACAGAGCCGUAAAAGUGACUGUGUUUUUGUCGUUCACGUUCGUUCUGUUAGCCUCUAGCACAUGUGUUUUUGCUGAUUGUUUUGAUACUUGGUCAACCAGGACUCAACAGGGGGCAUGUCCCAACCUACUGGAACUGAGGCAGAAAUACUUGCCCAGUGGUUGUAAACUAGGACAAGGACUGUAGUCAAGUGAAAUCUCCAACGACUCUUACUGACUGCUCUCUGGUUCAUCAUGUUGUUGUGAUGUUGGUGAAAUGGUAUUGAGUCCAUGAAGAUCCUCUUGGGGCAACAGAUAAAUCAAUCCAACAUUGGGAUUAGAGCCCAGCAACUCGAACCAAAACAAGCCAACACAAAAGCUCUUAAAACAAACAAUAUCUAACUCAUGGCGUCACUGUACUAAACAUGUAGUCACUUAGUGUUUUUAAACUGAACUCUUAUCAAUACAACUGCCAUUUUUACUCAUGGCCUAACAUUCAAACUUUUUUUUUUUAAUCUCCAGAUAUAAAAGUUCCUCAUGAUAACAAAGUUAUAAACAAAGUGUAAAGCAAAAGCAAAUCAAGCUUGAUACGAUAGUUUAGGAGGAGAAAUGUAACUAAUAAAGAUGCCCUUCACAUUCAGAGGCCAUGUUAGGAUGUUCUCAUUGAAUUGUGGUAUCCAGUCUUUAUACUGUAGUAGAGUAUAACUGUAUUCGGUGUAUAACAGUGAGGCAGAAAAGUGCAGAUUCAUGGAUGAUCUGUCUUCUUCCUGUCUCGCCUGAAGGCAGCAGAUUCUUCUCUGCUGUACUUUUAUAUUCCCUCAACAGAACAGGAUGCUUUUCAUUUUCUUGCAAGGUCAUGAAGCCUGCAGAAACUUUUUCACAACCCUGGUCAUAUUUUAUUCUCAUUGUUUUCUGAAUGUGGAUUGAAAGUACUAUCUGUGUUUCUUGCCUCCAUCCUGUUACAUCAUGGCGAAACUACAACCUGCAGACUGCUGUGUCAAGUUUUUGAUGUACAGUCUUGUAUGUGUGUAUCUGUUGAGGCCUCAUGUUGCUUUAAGCAGACAAGCCAUUAUGUUUUCAUCUAUAAUUAGUGAGGAGAUAUUAAUUUUGUUCUCCUUGAGGACAGCUUGAGUUUCCCUUGUGUCAGUUCGCCUGGUACUCAGACAUUUAAUAAUCAUCUUAAACAACUUAGUGAGCUCAAACUUUCUUCUCUCUUGCCUCUAAGGGCCAGAUUUAUGUACAUGAAAGCAACACUCAAAUUUCAUUCAAUUUGGGCACACAAUCUGUCUGUAAUUAGUGUCUGAUUUACUAAGGCAGCAGAUAAUUACACAAUCAGUGACUGACGCUGCCUUCCAGGCACUUUCUUUGAGCAGAGGAGGAUCAACUUUUGUGUGUCUCUGGCUUCAUGAAACAUGAAAGGAGAAACAGCAGUUUUGGGAAACAUUUCUGGGGGGUGAUUUGCACGAUAAGUCAGAUGAUGAAGUUAAGCAAAUCUGUUCAGAAACAUCAAAUAACAUCUUUGUGUCUGUCAUACAAUUGUCCUUUUAUCUUAAGAGAGUCUUUACUGAUAGCCAUGAAUUCAAACAAACUUUAUCUGUCAAAUUUUAAAGACAGAGAAGACAGUUUUAUUCCAUUUCACUGAGCAGCCCAUCAGCUCCAUAAAGCUGCCAUUGAAUUUCAAAGUAAAGACACCAGUAUGGAUGAGUCAGGUCUUCAUCUCCAUUGAGCCGAAUCCCUCUCACCACCCAUAAACUUGAAAAUACUUAAUGUGUUUCCAUGCUGGUUCAAAAGCCUAUUUCUGCCCCAGUUGUGGUCCGAGCUCAGUUCCUUCUCCUUUAUGUGUAGCCACCACAACUGUGUGUGAGUCAGGUCCAUUUAGCCUCUUUCAAACCGAGCAGACAGUCAACCAUAAAUGUCUGUGUAUGUCUCCACCCUUUGGCAGAUAUUUUACACCAGGGGCUCAAAGUCUCUCCAAACUUAGGAUCUAAUCAUCACAUUGGGUCAUUAAAUGCAUAUUUUAUAGCAGAGUAAUAAUGAUCUCCUUUGUGUUACAUCUUUCUUACAUUUAUCUUUCAACUGUGUGGGGCACAGAUCAAAAAACAGACACAGAGGUUUACAACAAAUGCAUUACAGAAAAUGCAAUGGAAGCCCGAAACAGAAACAAUAGUAAAUCUGUUGUGUUAACUUUGCCAAAAACUCACAAAGCCGAAAAAUCAAAUGCUCAAGAAAAAGUUCCAUACCUCACCACCGUUUGUCUAAGAAUCGGUCUUCAGCCCCUUUUCCAGGACAUUUCUUUAUGUUUUUUGCCCAUUUUAAGGGACUCUUGGAAAUUUGUAUGUGAUUAUUAUUUUUGAGGAUAAAUAAUGUAUCUGUGCACCAAGCUUAUUAGUUAUUGUCCAGAGGGAGGGGAUAUUUUGGAUCAAUAAUUCUGACCAUACACUUUUAUCUAUUAAAAAAAAAAAAAAAACCUGAUGAAAGUUACUUUCAUUCAUUCAUUUAUUGAGAAGCCGACACAAUCCAACUCAGUAGGUGGCAGUAUCUGCCAUUAUCAGCAAUUACAUGCCCAGAAGAGCCAGUGCAGCUUCUCCAAGCUGACAAGAGAGUAAAAAAGGUGACACUUGUGUGGAUGUCUAUCACCAUUAAAAAAGCGGAUAACACAAUUGCAACUUGCGAAUGAUAAAGAGAGAGGGGGAUUAAAAAAAAACAAAAAAAAAAAACAACGAUCCAUUUUGAUGCUUUGAGGAUAGAAAAAAAAUCCCUCCAUUUACUUAAUGACCCACUUUUUUCUAAGGUAGAUGUCUAGGAUUUUGUCAGCUGAUGGCGUAAUUUGAGCCGUAUGGUCCAGAGUCAGCGUUUUUUUGCAAUGACUUCCAACCUGCCCUGUAAGAUCUCUCUGGUCCCUUCAUACGUACACAGUUGGAUCCUAAACAAUAUCAGUAAAUAAGUGAUAUCACAUACAUAUGGACCUCUGACACAAACCCAGCGCGUAUGCUUAGUUUGAAUGCUUAUGUGAAUCUCUGCUCUUUCAGUCUUUAAGUGUGUUUAAACUACACAUUUUCAGGACACAAAAUAAAUAAAAUACAGUAGGUAUAUCAGUAUCAGCCAUCAGAAGCCAGUCACUACCAGUUGUCAGUAUCAGAUAUAAAACUCCACAUUGUGCAUCCCUAAUUAAUUUGCAUUAUUUCUGAAUUUGCAGCCAAUCUCUUCUGAUUAUUUGGAUUGUUGCAGAGUGUUAGCACUUGUCAGCCACUUUACACACCUCAAUCAUUGUCUGUAACCGGCUCUGUUAAGGUGUUUGCAGGGGUGACAACUCUAUGACUCAGGCCUUCUGGUAUGUUUUUCCUCUUUGUCUGUCUCUCUCACUUUCUGUCAGGUCAUUUAGCAGACAGUGACACUGACAGACAAUGCCCAUGAAUGAUGAAUGAUGACUGCAAGUCUGUCUGGUGCCAGCAGAAUACAUAAUACAGGAUUGAUUCAGUGAUUUCAGUCCUUCACUUUAGACACAUGUCGCUGCUAUUGUAUAUUAUUGAUAAAUCUGCACCAAGUAAAGCAGUGUGACCAAUACGGGUAUCUGGUGUUAAUGUAGUUCACCUUUGACCUCUACUUCACCAGUUAAACUAUGUAUAAAACUUUUACAUUCACUAAUUCGCAUUUUUCAACUCAAGUUAUUAAUAUAUUUUCACUUCCAUUGUUUUCUUUUUUUUCCAUGACAACUUUAAAAUGACUUUCAGACCUUUCACACAAUAUGUAGGAGUGCAUCUGUGUUGUGCAUACAGCAGGACUUUGUAUGUUUAGUGGAGUGGGUGGGCACAGACACGUACACACCAUAUAGACAUGUUUACACGCCUGCAUGUCUGUCUCUGUCUGUUCCUGAUUGUGUGGGCUUACUUAUUUCCAGACUGUGCAGGCAUGUUUCUGUGCCUGUGUCUGCAUGCAUGCAUCUAUAGCUGAUGCCUGCUGUAGAUGUCUGAGCUCUAGUGUAAAAGCAUGUGCAGUUUUGCUGAUGUGAGUGUGUGUGCCUGACAGUAUGUGUGUCUCUACUGUAGUAUGUAGGUCACCAAUAUAUUCCUGAUGAGGUUUAGUCCUCCAGAGAACCCUACAGAUAUGAGGGCCUAAAUUAGACACUAUUAUCUGUUCGUGUGUGUGUUCAUGUGUGUGUGUGUGUUUAAAAGAGAAAGAGAGAGAGCGCAAACUAGACACCAUUAUCAGACAAGGGCCUCAAAGCCAUGUGUGUGCAAUUUUCUGCACAUGCAUGCUUUUACAUGUAAAGGGCAGCAUCAUGAGUGUGUUUGUCCGUUGAUGUGCACAGGCAUCAAAUUGCAUGCUAUUUCCAGCAUAAUGUAUUUGUGUAAAUGUGUGUCUGUGUGUGAUGGUGAUACAGUGGUAUCAUCUGACAGGCUCAGGGCCUGUCAGACCUGACCUGAGACUGUAAACCUCAACCUUCAGUUUUAACGACUGUUGGCUCAGAGAGCCUAUCCAUAUUGCUGUUAGCAUGCCAGACUGCUAAUAAGCCCGGAGCACCACUCCAAGAAAACUAUGAGCCUGCUGGAAAAUCUGUGGCCAUGUGUUAAGGUGUUAUCCAUUAUAGAAGCACAUAUAACAUCCAUAAGGGUUGUAUUUGUAGCAUGAAAGAUGGAAAAAGCUGGUUUUCAAGCGUGUAAAAUGUAUAAAAUUUCUUCUUUUUUUUUGCUUGAAAUCAGUGCAGUUGAGUGUUUUAACAGGCGCAGUUACGGUCUGUGUCAAUCAAACACACACAAAUGAUUCCAUGCAUAGCUCAUACUUUUAUUAAGCACUUUUACAUUACUACCUCUAAAAAGAACCAAGGGCAAGUAUAAUGAGGUUUCUUUUAAGCCCAUAAUUACACAUCUUAUGUCACUUCCUCCAUUAAAAUGUGGCCUUCUGCACAGCUGCUGAUCGAGGAUGGUUUUGUUGAAACACUACAUGUAAUUCCCCUUCAUUUCAGGAUGUCUACAUUUCCAGCCAGCCUACUGUCUGUAAGUCACGGGGACAAUACCACAUGCAGUCAAUCUGUCAAACCAAUUCGGGGAAUUUUGCCGGAGCUCAGCCGAAAAAAGUUAUAUUCAAGCCGAGGGAGAGAUGAAUGGGAGUGCGAGUGUCUACCUUUGAAAAGCUUCAUGCUUUGACCAAAUCAUAUGCUGUCACUCCUAAGCUUUAGAAGGCCUGCACUUUUCAUCAAAGCCCUUGAUGGCUACCUUUCACAGCACUGUCGAAUACACCCUCAAAAGCUUCCCUCCCUCCUUUUCCUCCCUUCCCCUCCCAAAUCUCUUUCUUCUUCUCCCCCCUCCAAUGUCGACUACCCCUCUUCCCUGCCUCUCCUGUCCCCCUCCUCCUCCCUCGAUCCUUCCAUUCCCCUUGUCCUUAAUCCAUCCCUCCCUCCUCAAUCAAAACCUCAAAUCCCUCCAGGUUUUUCCCCCCUCUGUGUAUGUGUGACUUCAGUACUGUCAAGGUAGAUGAAACAGGAGGAAUUCAGAUUCAUCACAGUCAUAACCUGCAAUGAUUAUAAUCCACUACUAUUCCUCCCAUGUGGCGGUAUAGGCUGAUGUUACUGGCCUUUUUGGUGGGUUUAUUUGCAUAUUUGUUUCCCCUUUGUUUCUUUUUGAUGAAUUAUUUACCGCAGAUUGAAAUGACAGCAGAGAUCACUGAUGAUUGUUGAAGCCGGUGGAUGGGUGCCUUUCUUCCUCUUUGUAAUUAUUCUCUUUUUUUCCCCCUGAUUUUCAAUCAAGUUUCUCCCCACAUUCUCCCAGCAACAAUGGACGAGGAGCAGAAAAAGCCACGUAUGUUUUAGCGCUACUGCUGAAACCUUUCCACUGUUUAGUGGGAGUGUAGCUUCCUUUGUUGUUGUAAUGAUUACAGAGUGGGAAACAGGAGGAAAAAGAGAAGAGAACAGGGAGAGAGUUGAGAUUAAAUGGAAAAAUACUGUGAGAACAAAUAUGUUGGGCAGGCCACCUAACAGGAGAGCUGAAAAAAUAACACAAGAUCCUGAUAUUCUAACAAAUAAACAGGCUUAAUUGGUGCUAAAUAAACUAAUAUUUAUCAAUGAUUGCUGCAGUUCUUGAUCUUGAGAGUUAAGUUUGAACAUAGUCAAAAUGGGCUCCGGACAGCAUUAUGUCUUGCACAUAAAUCAGUGUCUUAAGUGUUGUAAUCACAGUGAGUUGUGUCCACAUAACUGCACUGAUUGUAAACCCCACAAGCUGUUAUUCUCUGUGUGUACUCAGGAUUUACCACACUUAUACACACACACACUCACACACACACACACAACACAUACACACUGCCACCCUGUCCCUGUAUUGCCCUAUCCAGGAAUAACAAUCCAUAAUUCAUGUCCCGAAGUCUUGUCUGCAGACAAAAGUCAGCGUUUGCAUUUAUUAUUUAUUGAAAACAGCUCACAUGAUGAAUCCUUUAACAAACACAGCUUCCAGUAAGCACUGUACUUUUCUCUUUUUUCUCUCUCUCUUCUUCUUCUCUCCUUGCUGUUUGUGUUUUGGCAGAGAUUUAAGUGGGCUCAUUAGCAGAGAUGGGGAUGUAGGGAGAGGAGAGAAAUGGCAGGGGAAAGACAGAGAGAGGGAGAGAGUGAGAAAGGAGGAAAUGAGGCCAAAGGAUAAAGGAAUCAUUUUCGUAAAGGUAAGAAUUAAUGAGAGGCUUGUGCGUGGAAAGCUAAUUAAUUUAACAAUGAAAGGCUUUGGGGACUGAGUUAUAACUUUUAGGACUUUAUCACAUUAUUAAAGUAAAAGUUUACUAUUGCUAACCAAUUGGGAUUGUAAGUUACUUAACUGCAUUUCAAAACCUAGAGGAAAUGGAUUCUGCCAAUACGUAAUGCACACUAUGCUGUUGCACUUGUUGUGCAGACUGUUAGCCUUGAGGAUGGCAGGCAAUUUAUCGUAGAGUGAAAGCAGCAUUUGCCAUCCUAUGCUAAUGAAGUCAUCAUUUAUUCCAGAGUACUUUCCUUUUUUUUUUUCUUCUCCUCCUCUUCACCAUCCAUCAAUCAUCUAAGGAACGAGGUAUUAUCUUUGUGGUCAUUUUAUAUUCAGUCUCCCCUCAGAUGGGCGGACGCUCUCACAUACACACGCAGUCAUUUUAGUUAAAUCAAAAAAAUCAAAUCUGCUCCAGCACAGGUUGAAUAAUUGAUGUGUUAUGUUAAAAAAGGAAUGAAAUAAUCAUAGCCUGUUGGAUGUUGGAGGAACAUCAAACCCGGGGCUGGAGCUUGGCAGACGAGGCAGAGCAGGGUAGGGGCCUUAUGUAUUUGGGACGGCUGCCCUGUGAAAUAAUAAUGAACAGCAAAGAGUUGGUGGAUUAGGAGAUUUUUGUUCUGCACUGUACCUGACACUUUGUGCGUGCCCACCCAUGCUUUUUACAGCAUUACCCUGGUACAUCUAUCAGACAUUAAUACAAAAUGACUCGCUGAAAUAGUUGGGUUUAGUGGGCAGGGGAACCAUUCCUGAAAAAAAAAUAGAUACAGAGCUUUAGUAGAGCAUGGCACAAGGUGCAUACAGACAAGUGCUGACCUAAAGGAGAGACACUGGAGCAAUUCUACAUGUAAUCUUAAAUCCCAUUACCUAUCAUCUGAUCAUGAUACAUAGCUUCUUGAAAAUGGCAAAUAUUGGGUUUAAGAAUCAAAUUUCCCUUUUAAUGUGCACAUCCUUGUUCACAGGGACCCAUAAGAUAGGUUUGAUGACAGUAUGUUAAAUGGACUGUACUUAUAUAGUGCUUCCUCCAGUCUCACAUUAUAUCCACCCAUUCACAUCAGAUUCAUUCACUGAUGGCAGCGGCUGCUAUGUCAAGUGCCCAUCAGUAACAACUAAUCCGAUUCACACAACCACACACCAUUGGCACAGCCAUCCAAGAGCAUUUGGGGUUCAGUGACUUGCCCAAGGACACUUUGGGAUGCGGACAGCCAGCACCCGGAUUUGGCUGCCAACUUUGUGACUGAGAGAUGACCAACUCUAUCACUGAGCUACAGUUGCCCUAUGUAUGCCUCUGGAAGCUACAGUUGUCUUUGAAUUAAUACAGGUGAAGCCAUCAGUGAGUAAAAAAGCCUUUUUGAUGAAGACAUUCUUGUCGAUGCAUUUCCAAAGUUUCACUGAGACGAGAAACGUAAGAGAUGAGGCUGAAAGUGGUUUUGAGACAAAAUGUUGGUGACACGACUUAUGGCAGCAUAUGUAUGAAUAUAUAUAUACAUAUAUAAGACAAAAAAAGAUAUUGUUGGACUACCACAAAAGACUUCUUGGAUUUCACUCUUGCAGACUGGUUUCAACAAAAAUAGUUGUCAAAACACACUACUUUACUGUGUACAGUAAGAGCUGCAGAAAUGGUAGGGCGUAAUACUACUUGGACCAUGAACUGAGAAGAGACUGAACCUAAAACUUCUACAGUAAUGUUUAGAGACAACACUGAUGACCAAAGUCACGACCACACGUCUCUUUGCAUAUUUUCUGAUGAGUUCAGCAACUUCUACUCUUCACACAUGCCAGCAAUGCCUGCAAGACUAAAAAACUUCAACACUUUGAUCCCAAAACAGCCCAAUGUCUUUGUGUUCAUACACAUGCAAAUCUUUUUAAAAGACAUAAUUCUGCGAACAAGGCAUGUCAGGAACCAAGCAACAGUGCAGCAGAGAGGUGGCAUCAUAGACUGUAUAUAGAAUGGACGCCGUCUGCCUCCUCGCAGGGUGCAGCAGAGAGGUGGCAUCCCCUAGCAAUCCUUAUGGAGUUCUCGAUAAACUGUAGACAUUUAUAACACAGAAUAUAAAAUUGUCUCCCCCCUGCUUGCAAUGUUGACAUGUAGUUAUUGUAAGACUGGUUUGUGCUCAAGUCCUCUUUUUUCUGUACAGCUCCAUUUUUUAAAGUUAUUAGGGGGUUCAUGUUUUCUAUGAUUGACACUUGAUACAGCCUAUGGGUGUAACAAGUUUUCGUAGUUUUCACAGCGACUCUCCCGCUGAAUGUGCACAAUGCUACUGCACAAGUGGUGGAUUGCGUACAACGCUACUGCGAAAUGUUGGUUUCAGGAAGUGGAGAAAAAACGCAAAAUUACAGAGAGCUUUUUGGCUUCAAGUCCGUAUACUGUGAAAGGCAGAACCAAGACGUCCAUAGCAUAAACAGUCUAUGGGUGGCAUCAUUCACAGACUUUAUUUAAUUUGCUCAUUAAUGUUAGUAGGCUGAUAUUUAAUUCAACUAAGAAACAGAUCUAAUGAGUCAUAAUGAAUCAGCUACCAAAGAGUGUCUCAUAGCCAGACAAACUAACGACAAACUAAUAAGUAUUCUUUGUAUCUCUCUGAAUGCUUAAAGUUGAGCUGACUUUAGACAUGCCUUAUUAUGAAUUUUAACUGUAAGCUUUCUUGUGCUAUAAGCUCACCACACGGCUGAAAUUGAAUCAUAUCUGCUUGUUUGCAUCUGAAGACCAGUGGGCCCCAUUUUCAAAGCUAUGAACGUCAGCCAGGAAUACGUAUAUACUGUCAACUCUCAAAUGGCUGCCCACACACAAACACAAACAGAGUAUGCAUCAUGGUUUCAAAUGUAACCGUUUCUAUGUUGGGGACCGCCUUUUAAGAUUGUCCCCAUUUGGGAAGUAACAGCAGUGCAUGAUGAAUACAUUCAUUCCAAACUCCAGUGAGAGCUGUUCAGCCGUGCAUCUCUGACCGAUAGAUUUUCAUGAUUGUAUGCCGGCUCUACAGUAUAGAUUUUCCCAUAUUGCAGCAGAGGGAUAUCGAUGUUUAUUAUUAUUACUCUUUCAUUUUCCCAUUUGCCAUCUGCAUUUUUUGCCCACCAGUUCCAAUUUGCGUUUAAUGAAUGAUCUGAGGGAAUGGGAGGCGGUGGGGUCAAAAGAUGCAUUUCCUCUCUUUUCCGAUGAGGGAUUUGGAUUUAGGAUUUUAUAGAUACUUGGAUAUUAUGUACACAAAUAAAGGACACAGUUUGACCUACAUGAUGAGUUACUGGAGAGAAAAAGAGGAGCGGGAGUGAGUGAUAAGAAAGCGUCCUUGAAACAAAUUGCUCUGGAAGAAAAAAAAGAGCAGAUUGUGAAUCAGUGUUGUUGUUUUUUCCCUCAAUCACAUUGAAAAUGAGCUUAUUUAGGGCCAUGACCCCAAAUAAUCUCUCUGUAUAAUUGUGUGACUGAGUGGGAGCAAACAGACAAAACUUGAAAUAAAAUGUCUGAUUCAUUAAAAGAUAAUGGGAUGAAAUUUGAUCAGCUUCCAUCAAGAUUUUCCAAAUUCAGAGUACCAAACCUUUUAAUUGAUGGCUUAGGGUUUAACACUUGCAAAUUUCAACACAUUAUCUACAGUCCCUUCUUUGCUUUAGCCAUUAAAACUCCCCCACCACCCAGUUUCUGAGCCCGCUGACUAAAUAGUCUUCUACUCAGGGGGCUUAUUUUAUUAAUUCACUGUUUCCUCUGUUACAGGCCCCCUUCUCUGUAGUCCAGAUUGCGGGAAGACCACCUUACAGGGAUUUUCCCCUUCAGCAGGUAAGCAUAAAAGAAGAAAAGAAGCACAUUAUCCGCAUGUACGACAAACCCUCAAACACACAUGCACGCUCAACGUGCCCUGGGCUUCACAAUGCUGACCACCAGCACAGAGGGAAACACACACACACACUCACAAACACGCACAGCAUAUUAUCUUUAUGAGGUGUUAUACACGACUGACCACCAACACAGGGGUCUCAGUGUUCUCUAAUCCACACUCGGGCUGAAAAGGCCGCUCCAUGCAAUGGGGGGAUUACACUGGCGGAUUAAUGGGACUUUUAAUUUGAGUCAUUGUAAGUGCCCUCGAUAUUAAGAAUAGGUGUAGGAAAGAAUACCACUGUCUCUAUAAGAUAUCAUUAAAUGUGUUACUACUGUACAUUUAAUCGGCUGUGCUUACAGCUAUGACACACACACACACACACACACACACACACCCACUGCACGUGUGUUAGCUGCAGAGGACUGAAAAAGGAAAUAAAGAAGCUGUAGAGGGCCAGAAAAUGUACUGCUGUUGACAUUAAACUACUGCGGUUAUGACACUACCACCACAUACUCAUCUACAUAAACGAUCACAUUGCUGCUAUAAUUGCUUUUUUUUAUAACUAUUGUUACACAGGAGGUUGGACAAUGUUGCAUUAAAAGUUGUAAAGCAGCUUUAUAGUAGCUGGCAGUGAGCUAGCUGUAUGUACUAUGGUCUGUGUUUAUAAGCUGCACCAUCGACUGGAAAUUAAAAUGGACGGUGUGCCCCUGCACUCAAAGUGAGGCAAAAACUGCGGUGCUAUGUAUGCUAAGGUAUUCACUGCUAAUCUAUCCUGCAGCCAGCCACCAGUGGUGCAUCACUUUAAGGGAACUCUUGGGCUAUCUAAGGUUUAUAAAGUCAAAGAGCUGUACCAGCUGGUCUUACCCACCAAGAUAAAACUGAACAACACCAAUCUUGUGUAUCAAUAAAAGCUGAUGCCUAAAGCAAAUAACAUUUAUUUUUAACUGGCACACAAACACAAACAGGGAAAAGGUAAAAGCCAGUAGUUACUUUUCUAAAAAUUUUCAGUUGUUUCGUCAUUAACAUUUUGAACAAAAUGACCGCCUUAAUCGCCUCUUUUUUCCCACUGUAAAGGCAAAAUACUUACUGCAGUGGGCUAAGUUUUGAUUCUGACAUUUUUUGCAAACACUGUCUACACUAAAGGGGUUGUGCUAACAUCAAAUAUACCGUCAACCCAGCCGACAGCUUCUUGAGUUGGUUUGAAGUCGACAUUUAUAGUUGUGGAAAGUUAACGCACCCUUGUUUCAGUGUUUGUUACAUUUCCUCCUGAUUUUCCUCUUUUAUUCCCUUUUUGGUUACACACAGAAUAGCAGAGCUGACCAUCACGAAAGUACGCCCUCCUUUAUGGUACUAAAUGACCAACCCCAUUUAGAAAAAUUAACACUCAGACUUAAUCAGCAUAAUGACCUGUAACACAGCAUGCCAGAAGAGGGCGCUCCAAAUAUUUUCAUCUUUUUAUAAAGUUGAUGCUCCAAAUAAAAACCUGUAUUCUUUGCAUAUUGGGUAAACAAACAACAGCUGCUGAUAAAUAUGGUGGAUAAGCCCCUUAAAUAUCAAGUAUGCACCAUGCUUGAUGCUCAUCACAGAGCACCUACUCCUAUCACUGCUGCUGUUUCAUCAUUUUCACCAUAACUAAUGGGGAUUCAAUUAUCUUAAGUAUUGGGUAAUAAUUCUAAGUAUGAAGUUAUUUAGGUUAUUUAGUUAUUUAAGUUAUUUAUUAGGUAUUAAUAUACUAUAAAUACAUUUACAGUAGACUUAUUUAUACUAGAGAAUUUCUGCUUCUUUUGAGGAAAUGAUGUAAAGAAAGGAAGGAAGGAAAAUGGCGAACAGGCCCGAUGAACUGAAGCAAAGUGAAGAAAGCUUGAUGAAUGGAUGGAUGACUGGAUACAGGGAGGGAGUGGAAAAGAGGGCUGUUUACCAUUCCUAAAGGCAACAAUAAAACCAUGGAUUUAAGCAUAAACAAGGGCAAACAAAGGCAGGCUUACAGAAUAACACUGUAUUUUCUCUGAGUCAUUCUCCUCUCUUUCUUCUGUGCCUCCUUCCACAAACCUGAAGGCUGAAUGCAUGUACUCCCUUUAAGUAAGGAAGUAUGAAAGCUGUGAAAGCACAAAGUACAAAAAGAGAGGAAUUGGAUGUUAAUUAAAUCACAUUAGAUUAAUGAUAUUAUGCACAAGGUCAGCUUGGUGCAUCCUGAUCUCCCUGGGAAAGAGAAUAAAACAACCAAACCUGAAACCUCAGUAGUUGUUGAUCCACUUUACUUAUUAAAACCACCCUGUUGAACUUGCCCUUCAAAAACCCGAAUAGCUGUCUGAAAACUGCUGGUUGGAAUUUUAAUCAAUCCCUGUCCUCAAAAUUAAAGUUCAAAAGCAGACACACGUCUCAAACAACAGAGAGGAACAUGAACAUUGAUCAUUUUUAAUCCCUCUGUGUCUUUAGCCUGGAAACCAGAAGAAUUUGUGAGCUCAUGUUUUCUUUUUUUAUUUAUUUUUUAUUCUUUUCUUCCCAGGCAGAUGGUUCUGGUCCCCCAUCAGACAAAAUCUCCAGCCAACCUGGCACCGGUCUGACUGAUCACAACCACUCAUCUACUACAGUGGGUUUGAAACAUUGACUUUCUGCAGACUUCCAGAGAGGGACUAUCAAAGCCCCAAAGAACCAAGAUGGCCGUCACUUGGCCUGGUCACCAAUAGUUGACCAAACAUAAGUCAGUGAAGAAGAGUCAGGUAGGCUUUUAUAGUUGGUGAGUAAGGCUACCGCAGUGCCUCAUAUUAAAGUUACACUCUGGGUUAGCUCAGCAAUAAACAAAGACAAAAUCAGACUGGUCCCUUUUAAUGACUACCGGGGGACUAGCUACGUUCUCGGUCAGUCACCGAUAUAGACAGUUCUACAUGUAUGAGGAUUACUGAUCACUGAAUGGUCAGUAACAGUCAGUGUGUGCUCUUCAAUCAUGACAUGAAACAGUGAGGUUUCUAUGAUGUACGAAAGCAAAUUUUUGUUACCUGUCACUUAUGUUAGGGGGUAGGUAUGCAGAAAAAAACAAGCACGUUUGAACAGUUUUUAAUAAAUUUCACUGUAAAAAGACAAAAAGAGGUGAUGUUUUUAUCUAUAAACACCGCUUUCACAAGGACAAAUAGAAAUCAUAAACAACUUAUGCUUCAGACUUAUCCAUUUGGCACACAGGAGCACAAGAGUUAAAAAUGACAAAAGCUCCUCAGGAACUUUAGUUUGGACAAUUUGUCCCUAGAAAAGUUGAAGGCUGGGGGAUGGCAGUAUGUGUGAUCAUUUUGUGGUUUUGAAAACUGUGGUUAUACUUUUCAACUUUUUAUAGAUUUUUUAAAUUUAUUUCGAUGUCAUUUGUUCAUUGUUGUGUUUUAACGUCUAAAAUUCUUUAAUAAAUGUCAAGAAAAGUCA
rnacentral:lncRNA from 1 species